rnacentral:lncRNA from 1 species
UGCCUUCAAGCUGCAGGAGAGUUGGAGAAGCGAAAGUCAAGAAAUCAGGAUAAGAUCAUUAAUGAUUAUAAGCAAAAGAUUGAAGGUGAAUUAAGAAAGAUGAGAAAGUACAAGGAAAAGGCUGAGACUUGCGGACUGGGCUACUAUGAUUCCUUUAAGCUCAACAAAUACGAAGAGGACUUUCGGGCUAAUGUGAGCAGGCUUGUGCUAGCUGGUUUCUGGGACGAGAUGAUGGAAAUGUUAAAAGCGUAUGAACUUCCGGAUGACUUUGAGAAGAGCCAUGACUUUAUACGACUUGGAACCGAUUAUCGCCGCACGGUUGAGCCUCUAGAUAUUGCCAACUUCUAUCGACACGCCAAGGAUGAAGAGACAGGGUUCUACAUGAAAAAGGGGACUCGACCAAAACGAUAUCGAUACAUCCAAAAUUGGCUCGAGCAUGCUGAAAAGAAGCCAUCUGGAUCCCGCUCAGAAUCCUGUUUCUGGGCUGAGGUAGAGGACCUCCGCAUUAAAACUAGAAGCUGUGGAUCCUCUCAAGAAAUUAAGCAGAAGGUUCAGCAACUGGAGAAAAAUCUAAUUAAAUGGAUUGAUGAUGAAUCUUUAGGCAAGGAUGUGUUGUUGAAGAAUUCCACCUUUGUUAUAUGGUGGAAAGGCCUUGGUCCUGAGUAUAAAUCAGAACCCGAAUCAUCUUGCAUUUCGAAACUCAUCGGUGGGUAAGAUUGAGAGGGCUUCAUACUGUCAUCUUGAGGCACUUGUUCAAAGCCAAUAACGGCAAUAACCCUGAAUGUAUGCAAAAUCCUGUUUCCUGUAUUAAUUAGUAUGCAAAAUCUUGUUUCCUGUAUUAAUCAGUAUGCAAAAUCCUGUUUCCUGUAUUAAUUAGUAUGCAAAAUCCUGUUUUCUGUAUUAGUAUGUAACGACUCAUUCCCAAUCGCAUAGAUAAUGUCACUGUGAUAUCCAGGGUCUCAGGUCCAACUAUGUGAAAAUCAAGAAUGCAAAUGACUAGAUAUCAAGGGGUAAUGCUCAUAAUACUUUCAUACAAACAAGUUAGAAUUGUGUAAGUUCUACAGACGAUUAUUCAAGCAGUUGUACUUCAACACAGAUGAAGUUUGUGAUUUGAAGUUACAACUAUCUGAUAAUAAAGAAGAUGAGAAGGCAUAUUUCUUAAGAAAAUGGUCAUGAUAGCAUUUGGCAGAGAGGAGCAUACUAAUACAAAAGAUUGAAAAUGGGUUGAUAAAUUAACAGGCAGAUGGACGCUUGAUGUGCAUAUUCCUUGGCCGAUCAAUAUGUAUAUGAAAAUACUGUGACAAAGACCUAGUUAGCUCCACAAUGAAAAAAGAAGCCCUUGCCAUAUGACGACAGAGGCCCUGUCAUAGACUCACAGGUCAACUACAACCAGUUCCUUCCUAGCUGUCAGAACUUUCCUUAUUGUGCAAGAAAGAAUAAGCGUGAUAUUCUGAUGCUCCCUUACUAAUUUACUACUGAACACAAAUCAACAAGCCAUCCCUUUAAGGACAUAUCUAUAAGUUCCAUCUGGAAAGGACCUCUCCAAUGGUUACAUAUAUCUUUCUUUAUAGGCCACUAAAUGAAGCCCUUUUCCAUAACCCAAUACAACCCAGUCGGAACAUAUCAUCCUCAAAAGUGAGAAAUCAUCGACACCAUAAGGGUGCAUUUGGGAUAUGGGAAUCGGAAAGGAAAUAGGAUGGGAAUGAAGGUGAAUCACGUUAUCAUGUAGAAGAGAGGAAUCAAAAUCCUAGUGAAAGUAGUGUUAAGAUAUGGACUCACAUAUCUAACAAUAGUUCAUGACUAAACUAUUCACCUCUUUUCAGUAUUUGUUUUCUGUUCGUUCAAGAGUAUGGGCCACCUAUGUGUAGAGCCCAAUGCCUUCACGGGCCUUAGAUGAUGGGCCUAAGACUCGUGAGACCCAAAAGCCCAAUGGGUAUGGUCCCUAAGGCAGGAGGGUAUAAAAGGUCAAGGGUCUGUUCAUUUUGGUAACAAUCACAUCAGUUUUGGAAUUAGAACAGACCCGUUUCUCUUCGACUCCCAUCGUCUGAGAGAAUUCAGAAAGAGGUGGUGCCCUCCACAGCCUUAGAAGAUCCAUACCGUAUUCAUCGCCGGAAAACAAUGGACUCAGGUAUGUUCUUAGACAACAGUGGAAGGCAUAAUUUGAAUGCUUGGUAUACAUAUAUAUCCUGUUUUUUUUUUUUUUUUUUUUUUUUGUGUUUUGGGUGAUAAUGGAAAUCAAGAAUAAUAACAAAUGGUAUCAAAGCCUCCCAUUUUCACCAAAACACUCUUUAAAACACAAACAUCAGACCCAAAGCAAAAGACGUUGGACUCAGGUGUUGUUUCGGGCAAUGGGAGUAGCGUUAGGGCGCUGCAACGCGUCAUUAGGAAUCAAAAUAGCGCCAUUCCGACGCUGUUCAUUUUGUCGGCGUCCUUUGCGCCGUUUUGACGUCGUUGAGAUGCCACUGCAGGCGUCGUCAGCCCGACGUCGCCACGACGUCGGUUGGAGGAGGAUUGAGACGCCGGUUUGGCGUCAUUCUCUAAUUAAGAACGCUGUUCAGGCGAUGGAAAAUGACUACGAUGCCGUUUAGGCAUCGUUUCUCAGUCAGCUGCUCGUGAUUUAGGCGUCAUUUUUUUGGCGUUCCAGACGCCGUCCAAGCGCCAAUGAGGAGCGCCAAAAUUAGGGCGUUGUUGCAGGCUACUCAGUAACGUCGUUAUUGCAUUUUUCUAGUGAUGGCACCACUGAUGACGCCGCUGCCGGCAUCCCAUAGUAAAAUGUCUAUUUUUGGUACGCCGUUUUGGUGGCACUGAAGCACCAUUUUCAGGCGCGGUUGGAGGGGCUGCUGGCGUCUGUUACAGGCGCCAUUAAGGCGUUUGUUACAAGCACCAUUCAAACGUCGUCCAGGCGUAGUCUGAUGGCAUCGUUCGUAGAUGGCUCCGGGGCUGCUGUCAGUUGGAUGCAAAAAUGAUCCCUUUUUACAACGUUUGAAAUUCCAUGUUUUUUUAAAAUUUUUUUUAUAUGUAUAUGCUUUUAAAAUUAUGCCAUAAUGAAGAUGGAAUAAUUUGAGAGAGUCUAUAUUCUUUUUUUGUGUUGUGGGAAAUUUUAUAUGUAUAUGCUUUUAAAAUUAUGCCAUAAUGAAGAUGGAAUAAUUUAAGAGAGUCUAUAUUCCUUUUUUGUGCGUUAGGAAAUUUAUAUGUAUGUGUUGCAUGUGAAAUAAUUAGGUAUCAUUCAAUGUCUUAUGAAUCAUGCAUAAAAUGGGUUUGUGGAUAAAUUUUUGAUUGAAUUAUUGCUUGCUAUAUUUAUGUUUAAUAUUAUAAAAUAAAUGAAUUAUGUAUACUUGUUGCCAAAGUAACUUGUAUUAGAUAAUUUUAUUUACUUUGAAAUGUGUAAGCAUGUUAUUAUUGUAUAAAAUAAUCAACCCAAAGGAGGAUUAUUUUUAUAUAAUAAUAAAUAAAGUAAUCAUGAAUAUGUGACAUACAAGGUUUAUCUUGCAUUCGAUAUGUUAGUCCAAAGACAAACAUAUUGUUUUCGGUUUUUUUUUUAUUGUCAAUAUUUAUGAAUUAAUUUAAGGAUGCUACUUACAAGUUGAUAUUUCCGUCCAAAGACUGAAUAUUGAUGUUUGUGCUAGGUAUCUUGUUGUAUGUCCACAUGCAUAUAUAUGUUUAAAUUUUAUUUAUUCAUGUACGUGUGAUGUUUAUAUGACUGAUUGUGAGCUUCAUUGUUAUUUCAACAUCUUCUAUAUCUGCAAAUGUCAAUAACAUUCCUGUGCUUAAUGGCAUAAACUUCAAGAAAUGGAAGGAGCACGUUAUAAUUGUGCUCAGGUGAAUAGAUUUAGACUAUGCAUUAAGAGUGGAUCGCCCUUCAGAUCUUACUAGUGCUAGCACUGCUGAGCAAAGGUCUGCUAUGGAAAAAUGGGAGUAAUCCAAUCGUAUGAGUCUAAUGAUUAUGAAGCACUCAAUUCCAGAAGCUAUAAGGGGUGCAAUACCUGAGGAAACCCAAGCCAAGGCAUUCUUGGACCAAAUAGCAAACCGAUUUGCUGCAAACGAAAAGGUUGAGACAAGCACUAUUCUUAGUAAGCUUGUCUCUAUGCGGUAUAAAGGGAAAAAGAAUAUAAGGGAGUACAUUAUGGAAAUGUCUAAUCUUGUGACUAGACUCAAGGCACUAAAGUUAGAGUUGUCGGAAGACAUACUCGUGCACUUGGUCUUGAUCUCUCUGCCUACACAAUUCAGUCCAUUCAAAAUCAGUUACAACACUCAAAAUGAGAAAUGAACUUUGAAUGAGCUUAUUGCUCAAUGUGUACAAGAGGAAGAGAGAUUGAAACAAGAGAAGAUAGAGAGUGCUCACUUGGCUUCCACGUCUUAGGGAUUUGGUACCAACAAGAAAAGAAAGAGGGACAAUAAAGGAAAACAAACUACAGUUUCUGAGACAUCAAAGCAGAAGGUGCAGAAGAAACAAGAUAAGGAGAUCACUUGUUUCUUUUUCAAAAAGACUGGUCAUAUGAAGAACACAUGUACCAAAUACGCAGCUUGGCGUGAAAAGAAAGGCACACUUCUCAACUUUGUUUGUUCAGAAAUUAAUUUAGCUGUAGUGCCUACUGACACUUGGUGGAUAGAUACAGGUGCAACUACUCAAAUAAGUGUCACUAUGCAGGGUUGCCUAAGGAGUUGAAUGUCAACUGAUGGUGAAAGAUACAUCUAUGUGGGAAAUGGAAACAAGGUUGCAGUCAAGGCUAUUGGUCUUUUUAGACUACAGUUGGACUCUGGAUGUACUUUGGAUUUGGAAGAGACUUUUGUUGUACCGUUGUUUAGACGGAAUUUAAUUUCUAUUUCAUGUCUGGACAAAUUUGGAUAUUGUUGUUCAUUUGGAAAUGGAAUGGUUAGUCUUUAUCUAAAUUCAAAGGUUAUUGGUACAGGUAGUCUAAUAGACAAAUUAUACAAAUUGAACAUAAAGGCCACUAAUGGAAAUGAAACCUUGCAUUCAAGUAAUUAUGACAUUAAGUGAAAAUUAAUAAAUGAGAAUUCAUCAAUGUUAUGGCACAAACGUUUGGGUCACAUUUCAAAUCAACGGAUUCAAAGGCUUGUGUCAGAAGGAAUUCUUGAUCCACUUGAUUCCUCAUACUUUCAAGUCUGUAUAGAGUGCAUUAAAGGUAAACAAACAAAUAUGAGGAAAAAUGAUGCCAAUAGGUGCAGUGACGUCUUGGAAUUGAUACAUACGGACAUUUGUGGUCCAUUCCCUACAACUUCUUGGAAUGGACAACAAUAUUUUAUCACUUUCAUUGACGAUUACUCGCGUUAUGACUAUCUUUAUUUGAUUCAUGAGAAAUCUCAAUCAUUGGAUGUGUUCAAGAAUUUUAAAGCUGAAGUUGAGAACCAACUAAGCAAGAAAAUAAAGGUCGUCAGAUCUGAUCCUAGAGGUGAAUACUAUGGUAGAUAUGACGGAUCAGGUGAACAAUGUCCAGGGCCAUUCGCCAAAUAUUUGAUGGACUGUGGAAUCGUUCCUCAGUACAUCAUGCCAGGGACUCCAAGCCAAAAUGGUGUAGCAGAGAGGCGAAACCAUACUCUUAAGGAUAUGGUAAGAAGUAUGAUAAGUCAUUCCAUCUUACCAGAAUCACUUUGGGGCGAAGCUAUCAAAACUGCAGUUUACAUUUUGAAUAGAGUACCAAGCAAAGCAGUAGCCAAAACCCCAUAUGAGUUAUGGACUAGCAAGAAGCCUAGGAUUAGGCACUUGCAUGUUUGGGGUUGUCCAGCUAAAGCUAGGCCUUAUAAGCCAAAUGAAAAGAAAUUGGACUCCAGAACAGUGAGCUGCUAUUUUGUAAAGUAUUCUGAAAGGUCAAGAGGUUUCAAAUUUUAUGACCCCUCAUCUAGAUCCUUCUUUGAAACGGGUAAUGCUAAGUUCAUUGAGGAUGUUGAGUUAAGUGGGAGAGAAUCAUUAAGAAAUGUCGUUUUUGAAGAGGAAUCUAUUAGUAUUCCUACGACUGGACAUGGUCAUAUUAUGUUUGAUGACACUAUUUAGAAUGUACAGUCGAUAACAAAAAUUCAAGACACACCUGAAAUUCCUCCUACUCAAGUUAUGGAACCGAUUCAAGUUCAUCAAGAGGUAACUCAACAACCUCAAGUACAAGUGCCACUGAGGAGAUCCACUAGAGAAAGGAGAAGUAAAAUUUAAGAUGAUUAUGUUGUAUAUCUCCAAGAACAUGAGUUUGACAUGGGUCUGAAAGACGAUCCAAUUUCAAUUAGUUAAGUCAAACAAAGUUCUAACUCUGAAAAGCGGAUAGAAGUCAUGAAGGAAGAGAUGAAAUCAAUGAAAGACAAUGGUGUUUGGGACCUAGUAGAGUUGCCUGAAGGUAUAAAACCGAUUGGUUGUAAAUGGAUUUUUAAAACCAAAUGGGAUUCAAAAGGUAACAUUGCUAGGUAUAAGGCACGCCUAGUCGCAAAAGGUUUCACUCAAAAGGAAGACAUUGAUUAUAAGGAGACCUUUUCACCGGUUUCGUCAAAUGACUCCUUUAGAAUCAUCAUGGCACUUGUAGCUCAUUAUGUUUUAGAGCUACAUCAAAUGGACGUUAAAACUGCGUUUCUUAAUGGUAACAUUGAUGAAACAAUAUACAUGGUGCAAUAGGAGAACUCUGAGUCUAAUGAUUCAAAGCAACUUGUAUGCAGAUUAAAAAGGUUCAUAUAUGGUUUAAAGCAAGCAUCCUGACAGUGGUACCGAAAGUUUGAUCAGGUGAUCACUUCAUUUGGUUUUAAGGAGAACACCGUUGAUCAAUGCAUAUACCUCAAGUUUAGUGGGAGCAAAUUUAUUAUCUUGGUGCUAUAUGUUGAUGAUAUUCUACUUGCAAGUAGUGAUGUGGGACUUUUGCAUGAAACCAAGCGAUUUCUAUCUAGUAAAUUUGAUAUGAAAGAUCUUGGUGAUGCAUCUUUUGUGCUGGGUAUACAGAGAUCUAUAGGGAUCAUUCAAGAGGUAUACUUGGGUUAUCACAAAAGGCCUACAUUGAUAAAGUGUUGAGUAGAUUUGGCAUGAGCAAUUGUGCACUAGGAAACACGCCUGUGGCAAAAGGGGAUAAAUUUAGUUUGCACCAAUGUCCGAAAAAUGAACUUGAGAAGAAGGAUAUGGAGAGGUUUCCCUAUGCCUCGGCCAUUGGAAGUCUCAUGUAUGCACAAGUUUGUACGCGUCCGGAUAUUGUGUACAUUGUUGGAAUGUUAAGCAGAUAUUUGAGUAACCCAGGUAUGGAUCACUAUAAAAAGGCAAAACGGGUUAUGCGGUAUUUACAAAGGACUAAAGACUAUAUGCUCACAUACCGUAGAUCCAGUCAUUUGGAGAUCGUGGGAUAUUCGGACUCCGAUUUCGUAGGAUAUCUUGACAGCAGGAGAUCCACUUCAGGAUACGUCUUCAUGCUGGCUGGAGGAGUAGUUUCAUGGAAAAGUGUUAAACAAACACUUAUUGCUUCUUCCACCAUGGAGGCAGAAUUCAUAGCUUGCUACAAGGCAUCAAACCAUGGGAUAUGGCUACGGAAUUUUAUCACUCAAUUGCGAAUUAUUGAUGGGAUUGAGAAACCAUUGAGAAUCAAUUGUGAUAAUAAGGCCGCAAAAUUGUAUUCUAAGAACAACCGAAGUUCAUCAAAGUCCAAACACAUUGAAAUCAAGUUCUUGGUUGUGAAAGAAAGAGUUCAGAGUCUUCAAGUAUCGAUUGAACACAUAAGCACAAACUCCAUGAUUGCGGAUCCGCUCACUAAGGGUUUCCCACCCAAAGUAUAUCAUGAGCAUGUCACACAUAUGGGUGUUGUACACAUUGAUGAUGUGCCAAUAUAGUGGGAGUUUGUAUUUAGAUUUUGUGUUUGUUUUCUUGAUGUGAUAUCAUGUUAUGUUAUCUAUACAGACCUUGGUUUUUAAAGACUAUUGUAUUUGAAUACUCUGAAUUGAAAUGAAGACUUUUAGAAGCAGUUUAACAUCAAGUGUUGAAAGUGGAAUUUGACUAAUUUUUAGUCAUAAAGUGGGACCAAUUGGAAAUAGACAUAUUAGAGAUCACAUUCUAUGUAAUUUUCAUGCUACACAUCCAUACUUGAUCCAUGUUGCUAAUUUUGUUAAUACUGUGAUCAUUGAUGGGUUUAGUUAUAAUUAUGAUUAACGAAUGCCGCUUUGAUCCUACAUUAGCAUAACUAGUAGACUAGAUUGUUUAAGGAUAUUAAGAUAGAAUAGCAAGAUGAGCUCAAUAAAGUCCUAUCAUGAAUAUUGUUUUGUAAUAUAUGUGGUCCAAGUGGGAGAUUGUUAAGAUAUGGACUCACAUAUAUAACAAUAGUUCAUGACUAAGCUAUUCACCUCUUUUCAGUAUUUGUUUUCUGUUCGUUCAAGAGUAUGGGCCACCUAUGUGUAGAGCCCAACGCCUUCACGGGCCUUAGAUGAUGGGCCUAAGACUCGUGAGGCCCAAAAGCCCAAUGGGUAUGGUCCCUAAGGCAGGAGGGUAUAAAAGGUCAAGGGUUUGUUCAUUUUGGUAACAAUCACAUCAGUUUUGGAAUGAGAACAAACCCGUUUCUCUUCGACUCCCAUCGUCUGAGAGAAUUCAGAAAGAGGUGGUGCCUUCCACAGCCUUAGAAAAUCCAUACCGUAUUCAUCGUCGGAAAACAAUGGACUCAGGUAUGUUCUUAAACAACAAUGGAAGGCAUAAUUUGAGUGCUUGGUAUACAUAUAUAUCCUGUUUUUUUUUUUUUGGGUAAUAAUGGAAAUCAAGAAUAAUAACAAGUAGCAUUUGGUUUCCAUAGUAAUUCAUUUUUUAUUCUUGUUCUCAUUAUAAAAACAAUUCAAACAUAGUAAUUAAUGAAAAUGAAAUUGAUUUUGCACUACUAUUCUCUAUCCCAGUGUGCCAAACAUGACCUAAGUUAUGUUACCUCAUUCUAUUCCUAAUUGACUUGAAGUUCCUUUGGAGCAAAAUAGAACACAUUGCCCUAUGAUAGAAAAGUUUAUUUUUCAGGUCGGCCUACUUUGAGGCUUUUUUUCCAAAUCGGUCCAUUUGAGACAAACCAUUGUCUAACUAAAUGGUGCGUAUGACCUUGCAAUAAAUAAAACGUCAAACAAUGCAUGAAAUUACAACAAGAAAAACAUUCGAGGUCCAACACCCACCUUGAUCAUUUUGAACAUUGUCACUAAAAAAUCAAGAACUUUGAAACUUUUCAACCCAUGUGGGUCUCAUACAAUUGUAACAUGAAGCAUGAUUAAGACGUUAAGGUUAGGGUCCUAUGAAAAUUACUUUUUGCUCUUUUCAAAGUGUCUUGGGUCUUAUCCUUAUCGGUUAGAGAGACUCUUCUUAGUUGGUAUGACUUCUUUGUGGGCAAGAAGCUCAAAAAAACUUGGAAAAUUGUCCCUUCAUAUAUUUUUUGAAUAGUUUAAAAAGAAAUGAACAAACUUAUCUUUGAUGAUGAGGAGUUGUCCAUACAAAGGUUGAAAAACUCCUUUGUUUGUACAUUUUGAUCUUAGAUUAAAUCGUGAUCAGGUUGCUAUAAAUUGAUUUCAAAUAUUCACAUCAAUCUUUGCUAAAAACAAAAAUAGAAUAAAUUAGAAUAAAUCUUGAAGGAAUUAUGCUAAGAUUCAUUAAGCUAAUUGUAAUAACCAAAGAUAAUGCAAUUAUAGACAUCUUUUCCCUCAAAAGAUAGCUAGCUUAUUAUAAAAAUAUUUUAUUAUUCUUCUUUUUCAUAAAUGUUUUUAUGUUUUUUGUCUAUAGCACAUAAGGGUUACAUCAAUUGUGACAUAAAUUAAGUAGAUUUUUCAUUGCUAAAUUACUAUAUAUUCAAAUCUUUAAGUAGAAUUGUGCAACACGAUCCACAAAGUGAUGUAUAAGCAUUUGAUUUUUAUCAAAUGUUUUUCAAAAACUCCUCUAAAUACUUGGUCUUAUUGAGUGUUUAAAAUGGACAAUAUUAAGAUACUUUAUACCAUGUUUCUUAACAUAUUAAAGAUGUUUAAUUAGGGCUAAACAAAUAUUAGUGACUUCCAAGCCUUUCAUGAAUCUAGGGAGCUACAUGCUUUUAUAAACUAAAAGGCUUAUAAGAUAAAGAAGUUUCAUAAUUUUCAAUUUUUAUGUAUACAAUAAGAUUUUUAUAUAUUCUACCACUUAUUUUAUCUUAUAUUUGAUUGAACAUAUAAUAGGAUAAUCGUGGUUUAAAAUAUCGAUAUAUACCGAUAAUAUAUCGGUACUUGAAUUUUACGGAUAUAUCGGAAAUAUUGAUAGAUAUUUUGGUAAAAAUAUUGGUGAUAUGAAAAUUAUUCAAAAUUCAUGUAAAUGCUUGGAAAAACUCUAAAAAUAAUAAAAUAAGCAAAAAUAAGCAAAAAUACAUAUAUUAAAGUUUUUUUACAAAUAUAAUUAACAUAGGUAUGACCAAGGAUAAUAUUUAUCAUUUUUUUUUAUAGAAAAAAUUAUCUAAAACUCCCUUAAUACAUUUAUAUUCGUUUAAUUUCUAAAAUUUUAUUACUUGUGGUGACAACUUUUUCUAUCAAUAUUAAUUUGUUUAAAUAAUUAAAAUUAUUAAAAAUUAUGUUAAUAAUUUAUCUUAUCAAAUUAAUUUUAAUUUAUAAAAUAUUAUAACUUCAUUAUUUUUUUUAUAUUUUAGUAAUUUUUGAAUAAAUUUAUAUUUUUUAAUAUUUUAAAAUAAAAAGAUUCAAAAUUAUAUAUGAUUUUUUUAUACUUUUUAUAUUAUUGCUAUUUAAUUAUCAUAUAAAUGAUUUAAAAAAAAAGACUUGUUAAAAAAAAUUAUAAUGAUGGUUUUCAUACUUUUAUUAAUUAAUUAAAUAAAAUUUAAAAUAUAAUAAGUAGAAUUAAUUUAUUUAUUAAAAUAUUUCUUUAAUAAUGGAUUUUAAUAUAUACUUGUGCACAUUUAUUAAAAAGGGUGAAUUUGCCCGAGUGGUAGUUGGGCUUUAACCCAAGCAUUUUGGUCUCGUUCCAAUCCCUGCCAUAUUUCAGAAAACAAGUGAAACAUCGCUGGGCCGACUUUCAGCCCAUAUUUCAUGUCAGGCCUCACCAACAAAUGAAAUUUCGCCGACAUUUCAAAGGUUUUUUUUUAGUACUACCGACUACAAACUACCACCAAAACAAUGAUAAAAGAAAAAGACUGAAAUAUCCUCAGAAUUUAAAUUUAAGUAAAUAUAUCUUGAACCUCAAAUAACAACCUUUUUAUGGGAUUAGUAUAAUUAAAAUUUGAUCAUGGAACUUUCAAACUUAAAAUUUUAUAUUGAUUUGGGAAACAUGAACAUUAAGGUUAUGUUUGGUUCUCGGAAAAUUUGAGGGAACCUGUGAAAGAAAUAAAAUAGAGAAAAAAAGUAGAAGGAAAAUGAAAAGUAAGUUUAGAUUUAAUAAAUUAUUUUAAAUUAAUUUUAAUUAUAUUUUAUUUUCUUUUAUAUUUUUUAUAGUAAAAUUAAAUAUGAGAAAAUCAUUUUUCUUAAUAUAUAAUUUUCUUUUCCUAGUAUUUUUUGAAACAGCCUAAUUAAAAUCAUCACAAGAACUUAUUGAUUAUUGUAUACAAUUCUAUUUGUAUAGCAUAUCUAGGCUAUAUAGAACUUUUUAACACAUACACCAACAAGCAACUUCUCAUUAUGAUAAUCUCCAUUCCCAAGUUCUAAAUCCAUCCAAAUACGUACUUCAUGGCAAAACUGUAACACACCAAAAUAAACUUUAGGAGUAAAAUAGUAAAUUAUAAAUUAAUUAAUUAAUUAAACUCAUUAAAGGUAAAAGAGUCCUUUUAUAAUUAAUAAUCUUUGGUAUAAAUUAGAUUCUUCUUUAUUGAGAAAACUCUAUUAACCAAAAAUCAGUGAAUUGGAGAACGUAGGGCUCAAGGUUUGAAAGUCUAGAGUUUGAAGUUCAGAUUUUUCCAGGUAAGAUUCUAACUCUAGAUUAAUAUAUUAUAUUCGUUAGUUAGUUUUGAAUAUAUUAGAUAUUCUUUAGAAAAUUUUAAUUUAGAUUAGGGCUAGUUUAGUUAAUUUAUUUUAAGAUAAAAAAAUUGAAAUUAUGAAUAUAAGUUGUUUCAUUUAUGAAAAUAGGGAAAUUCGAAUUUUUUUUUUAUAUGAAUAGAUCUAAACAAUGAGAUUUUAAAAAUUAAAUGAGUAAAUAAAUAUAUGAUUAUAUGUGGCUUAAGGGAUUGGAAAAUAAUAAGAAAAAGAAUUGCAUGUUUGUGAAUUUUGGAUUUGAGGCAAUGUGUUGGAGUGGCAAAAAAUAAAAUGAUAUGUAACUGUGAAAAGGGUGGUAGUGGAAUAAAUUAAAAUAAUAACAAUGAGUAGAGUUGAUGGGGUUGUUGGAGUUGUUAAAAGUACAUGAGGUAUUUUGUUAAAUAAGAGGGGACAUUGAGAUUAAUAAGAAUAAUGAUAAUAAUAAUAAUAAUAGUAAGAAUUGUGUGAUUUGGAUGUUUGUGAGUGAUGUAUAGUAGGGGUGUUUUUGGAUGUUGCAGGGUAUCGAAAAAUAUAGUAAUAAUAAAAAUAAUUGUUUUUAAUAAAAGUUUUAAUUUAGUUUAAGUAUACAAAAGAAGUAAAUGGUUAGAAUAAGAUUUGGAAGAAAUAUGAGUUUAUAAAAAAUUUGGAAAUUCAUUAAAUUAUAUUAUUAUUGUUUAAGAAGUUGAAACUAAUAUUCGGUAGUAAUAAUAUUAGAAUGAUAAAUUAAUUAAGAUCCCUAAUACUAAAUAAAAUAUUUUUAGGAUUGUCAAAUUUUUACCUUUAGAUAAUUAUGUAUGAUAUUAUGUUAGGUGAAGAGUAAAUUCGUCAAGCUAAAUACUUCAAGUUUUUGAGCACUUCUUCAAGGUAAGGGAAAUUAAUGCAGAUUUUUUAUAAAUAAUAAUAAUAAUUUUCUUUUUAUAUUGUAUUUUGAAAUGUGUAAAAAUAUUAUUUUUAUUUUUUCGCAUGGAUCAAAUAUGCAUUUUGUAUGGAAAGUAUAUUUGAGAAUUUUCUUUGUUUAUGAAAAAUGAAAAAUUGAGGAGAUAUAAUAUUUUGUUUUGUAAGUUUGACUUAAUGAAAUAAAGUGUUUGACUAUGGAUUAUAUGACCCUAGUCAAUGAGUUAUAAUUGUUGAUAUUUUCGGUUUUAGUCAACGAUUUAUAAUAGUUGAUAUUACAUAGCCCUAGUCAACAGGUUAUAAUAGUUGACCUUAUGACCCUAGUCAACGGGUUAUAAUUGUUGACUUUUGGUUAUGUUCACCUUAAAUGGAACAAAUUUGAAACUACCCACUCAUUUGUGAAGUCCCACCUAAUAGGCCACCAUUUGUUAUUUGAUAAUCAGAGCAAAGAUAUUUUGAAUGUAUUUGAUUUGGUUUUGAUGAGAAAUUGUUUUGAAAUGGAUAUGAGAAAGUUUUGUUGAAAAGUUUGAAUGUAUUAGUAUUUUGAACUCAAAAGUUUUUAUGAAAAUAAGUAUAUGUUAUACCUCCUAUUUGCAAGUAUGAUUGAAAAUGUUUGAUCCAUGAAACUGUAUUAAUGUUCUUUAUCGGGCUUUGAGUUCAUCCCCCUUUAUUGAUAAUCUUUCAAGUAACCUCAGUUCGGGCGAGGAGUGACCCUUAUGAGGGAAAUUUAGCUUUAUUAGGACAUUUGUUUAAACUUUUUUUAUUUUGGACAUUAUUGAAAUGUUAAAACUUAAUUCUUGUUUCAAUUAUUUUGAGUUUAGAGUUAUUUGGACAAUAACAUUUUGGUUGAUGUAUUAGUUUUUUAAAAAAGUUGAUACUUGGAGAUUUUAGAAUUUUGUCCUAGAAUAGGAAUUUGGUAAUUGGUAAAUUUCCAGUUACAAUACGGAUGUCGUUUCCACUUUGAGCUUUUAGGCUUGAGUUGUGAAAUGACUGUCAUGCCCUUGGAGUGGGUUUUGGGGCAUGACAGAGUGGUAUCAGAGCACUAAGUUAUGAUCUUGUUGGGAACUUGUUUUAGUUUACAUUUGGGAUAGACCAGUGACACAUUAGUUUAAGUUUCAAUUUCAUCUUUUAUAAAUUCCUAUUUUUCCUUAUGAAUCUAAAUUUCCUAAUUAGUUUUUUAGUGACUAAUUUAAUUAUACCUAAUGUUUUAUUGGACAACAUGGCACCAAGAAGAACAACAUCUUCCCAAAACAGUCAGGCUAAUAAUGAUGUACCUCCUCCACUUGAGGGUUUGCCUCCCAUGAAUGUAGAAGAACUUUAUAGGUAUUUUGAGACUUUAGCUGGUUUGGUUAAGCGUCAGGCUAGAGCUAUUGAGACUCAAGCUCUUGGACAACACUCAUCUUCUAAGGGUAGCUCAUUUUAUGACUUUAAUAAGUUAAGUCCUCCUUAAUUUUCUAGUACUUCAGACCCAAUGGAAGUAGAAGCUUGGAUUCUUAAGAUAGAGAAAUUCUUUGAUGUUAUAUAUUGCUCUGAGGAGCAAAAAGCCUAUUAUGCAACAUUUAUGUUAGAUAAAAAAACAGAUCAUUGGUGGCGUAUGACCAAAAGGCUUUUAGAGGAUCAAAGACCUAUAGUUUGGAGACAAUUUAAGGAGGCAUUUUACAAAAAGUAAUUCCCUGACAGUUUUAGACGAUAAAAAGUAGGAGAGUUUGUUCGUUUGGAAUAGGGGGAUAUGACGGUGGACCAGUAUGAGGCUAAAUUUACAGAGUUGUCAUGUUUUGCUCCACAAUUAAUUGCUACAGAGGAGGAAAAGGCAUUAAAGUUUCAGGAUGGAUUGAAACCCUAUCUAAAGAACAAAAUAUAUAUAUUUUGAAGCUUAGUGCCUAUUUAGAGGUUGUAGAUAAAGCUCGUAUAGCGGAAAAGGAUAAUAAAGAGCUUUAACAGUACAGAGAACAACAAAUGAAGAGGAGUAGGAGUGAUGAUGCCCAUGAGAACCAAGAACCAAAAAGGUUUGAUUCAAUUGAGAGUCCGAAUAAAGGGGAAACAAUGCAAAAUUCAUAUUUGACUUGUUCUAUUUGUGGUAAGAAACAUUGGGGUAAGUCUUGCUAUAAAGAGUCUGGAGCUUACUUUGGUUGUGGGAAGCAUGGACAUAUGAUUCAGGAUUGCCCAAAGAAUAAGAAGUUUAUGAUUGGGAAGCCUAAAGAGGAGAAUAAAGAGGAUAAACAGAAACCCAGAGUCCAAGGGCGAAUGUUUGCUAUGACUCAUCAAGAUGCUCAAGCCACUUCUGAUGUGACGACAUGUACUAUUCGAAUUUGCAAUUGGGAAAGUUGUGUUUGUAGCUACCUAUUUGAAAGUAUUAUGGAUAUCAAAUUGGAAGAAGUUGGAAUAUGAGAUUUGACCAUGAAAUGGCAAAAUAUUAUCUUUCUCAUGCACUCUUUUUUUUACUCCAUUUUAUGUUCCUAGAUUGCCCCUCCAUGUUUCCAUGUCAGCAACCCUAUCUUCAUAUUAGCAGGAAACCCUCCAUGUCACAUAAGAGACUUGAAAUUUAUAAAACAGAAAAAUCAAACCUAUGAAAAUCACCUGACCCAAGACCCAUGUAAAAUUUUUAAAAUCUUUCUUCUCUUUGAUUUGGGAGCUUCUCUCUCUCUUUUGGCUUCAUCACCCACACAAUCCCGAGACCCAUGUAAAAUUUCCUAAAAUUGUCUUAUUAGAGAGGAAAAAACCAUUAAUCCAAAACUCCAACCUGUGUGUUUCUCUCUUGUCCACAUAAAAGUGCAACGAAAUGGAGCAUUCCAUCCUAUGAAUGUUCGGUUAAAAGAAAACUUCAAGAGGCGCAUCCGUGAUUGUGAAUCUACUAUAGCAGCAGGUACCGGAACGGAAAGAUGGAAUCCAAAAUAUUGGGUUUGUGAACAAGAUAUCUCUUCUUGUCAUUGAGUGGCAUUUUUCCCUAACCCCAAACCGAAAUAUAAAGGUAAAUUAUUUUCAUUUAUUGUUCUUUAGUUCAUUAAUUUGAAAUAGAGCACAUCAACAAUUUUGGAGUAGUUGGUGGACUUGAACUUUUGUGUUGGGUUGUGGAAAUCGUAUUAUUCCUAAAUAACCAUAUGACCCACAAGUCGUAUUUAAUUCAGAUGAAACUUACAACAUAUCUAGUUAUAAGUCGCAUUGUUAUUUUGUGGACUGUACCUUAGGUACUACCUUAAUAGCCCUUAGGUACUACCUUAAUUUACUUUAGGUACUACCUUAAGGGACCUUAGGUAUUACCUUAGUUAAAGUUGGGUUCUACCUAUCCCAAGCCUCGGACCUUCCUUUGUGACCCUUAGACCAUGCCAUUAUGUGAUUUUUUUAUGUGGGCAAGUGGUUCACCUUUGGUUUUUUGCAAAUUGUACCUUAGGUACUACCUUAAGGGACCUUAGGUACUACCUUAGUUAAAAUUGGGUUCUACUUAUCCCAAGCCUCAGACUUUCCUUUAUGACUCUUAGACCACACCAUUAUGUGAUUCUUUUGUGUGGGCAAGUGGUUCACCUUUGGUUGUUUGCAGACUGUACCUUAAGUACUACCUUAAUAGCCCUUAGGUACUACCUUAAUCUACCUUAGAUACUACCUUAAGGGAUCUUAGGUACUACCUUAGUUAAAGUUGGGUUCUACCUAUUCCAAGCCUCGAAUCUUUCUUUGUGGUCCUUAGACCAUGCCAUUAUGUGAUUCUCUUGUGUGGGCAAGUGGUUCACCUUUGGUUCUUAAAGGACUGUACCUUAUGUACUACCUUAAUAACCUUUAGGUACUACCUUAAUAUACCUUAAAUACUACCUUAAGCGACUUUAGGUACUAUCUUAGUUAAAGUUGGGUUCUACCUAUCCCAAGCCUUGGACCUUCAAUCCCGGACAUUACUUGUUAUAAUUUAAAAUUUGUAGUUUAUCAUUACUAAUACUUUGUAUUUUAAAAUAUGAUAUUAUUUUAAAUUGCAUAUGUUUUUUUUUAGAAUUUCCCUUAAUUUCUCUAAAACAUAUUAUUAAGUAAAUAAAUUUUAAAUCAAAUUAUUAAUUUUUAAAAAUAAUUUGAAACUCAAAAAUCAAUUUAGGGUACUUUUUUAUUUGAAUAACAUAGAAAAUCAUGGACUUCAACAAAAUAGUAUCAAAAAAAUCAUAAAUUAAAAUUCAUUUUGAAUGACUUCACUAGUUUCUUCUUUAUAUAUAAUUAUAUUUUGGUAAAUUUUUUUAUUUGGCAAAUAAACUCUAAAUCAAGCAAGACUUUGUGCAUUGGAUUCUUUAACGGAUCUAGUAAUUUUUUAAAAUAAGUUAAACUCAAAUAGUGAUCAAAUUAAUAUAAGAAAUCUAUGAACAAAAAUUAAUAACUUUAUUGUUUAUUUUCUAUAUAAAAUCAAUUUUUUUAAAUUUUGUUUACUAAAAAAAUAAACUUCAAAUUAAAUAAAAUUUAAUGCAUUGAAUUUAUUAACAACUCUAAGUAAUUUUAAAAAAUAAUUUAAAAAUCAAAUAGUGAACCAAUCAAUACCAUAAAUUUUUGGAUAUAAAUUGAUCUCUUCUGUUAUUUAUUUAUGAACAUAGUUAUAUUUUUAUAAUUUCAUUCACUACAAAAAUAAACUUAAAAAUCAAAUAAUAUUUUGUGCUGAAUUUAUUUAUUUUAAAUGAUACUAUUAAUCAUUCUUAAUUUUAAAAUAUUAGAAUUAAUUUUUAAUAAAAAAUCAAUUAUUAUUUUACAAAGAGGUCAAUAUCCAUAUUUCUAUAAUAAAGAGCAAAAUAGUAUAAUAAAUUCAUUUUAAAUAAUAUUAUUAAUUAUUAUUAUUUUUAAAACAUUGUUAUUAAUUUUUAAUUAAAAAAAAUCAAUUAUGUUUUUACAUAGAUGUCAAUAUCCAUAUUUCCAUAAUAAAGGGUAAAAUGGUAUAACUUUAAUAAAAAUAUAUAUAUAAUUUUGUGAUUGUAAUACAAUAUUACCAUUCCUAUUUUACUAAAGACUAUUUAUUGUUUAAUUACAAAACUAAUUUUAUUUUCAAUAAGAAUUUUAUUAAAUUUAAUUAAUAUUACAUAUAGUAUUUUUAUUAAAAUUUUGUUAAUAUUAUAUAAAUUUAAUUUACAAUGUUUUUACAAAAUCAAAAUAAAAAAUAAUAAUUUUAAAAAACAAUGCAUCCAAAUAAGUUUUUUUAUCUUUAAAUUUAAAAAUAAAUAAAAAAUAACUUACCAAAUACCCCUAUUUUUAUGAAAUACUAAAAAACUAUAUCUAUAUAUAUAUAUAUAUAUAUAUAUAUAUAUAUAUAUAUAUAUAUAUUGGUUUUUAACUUCAAACAAUUUUUUCAAAAAUAUAAUAAAAUAUGACCUUAUAUUCUAUUCAAACUUAAACGUUAAAUAGUAAUUCUCUUUUUGUCUGCGAGCUACUAAUGUGGACCCUGCAUUUUGCACGAUGCGUUAUCACUUGACGACGUGACUUACUUUUUAAUUUAUUUGGUGAAAAUUUGAUAUUUUUUGAAAAAUACUUGGAGUCGCCACUUAUUUUAUUUUUUUUAAGGGAAAAAAAAUAAGAAAUAAAAACCCUAAGUGUAACUCUUGAAGCUGUGAAAAAUCGAGUUUGGGUCCGGGGAUCAGGUUACUUAUUAGGAAUGUACGGUGGUGAGUCGUAGCACCCCUCUAAGCCCAUAUACAUAUGACCUCUACUAAACGAAUUAAGGGAAUUGUGACAAUUAAUUAAUUAAUUAAUUAUGGAUACCAAGAAAAAUAAUCAUGCAAAUGAGUAUGUACAAGUCAUGGUGAAAAUCAUUAUACAUAAAAAUAAUGAUGAAAUCUAAUUACAAAAAUACACAAAAUAAAUGACAAGAGAAUUAUGCAAAAUGAUUUAUUGAACUAAAAAAAUAUUUUAAAAGAAUCAGUUUUCAAGAAAUUUCAAAGAAUUUUGUUAAAAACAAUUUUCAAUUAAUGAUUUUAAUUUAUUUAUUUUAAAAAAAAAAGUCAAUUUAUUUUCUCAACUUCAUUCGUAUUCAAUUUUCAAAAAAGUUAUUUACACUUAUUGUAUCAAAAAAAUUUAUUACAAAAUUUCAAUUUGGCAACAAAAAUUAUUUUACUUGCUUUUACAAAAAAUGAAUGAAUUUUUACAAUUUUAUUUACAAAAGUAUUUCAAUUUGUUUUCAUUUAAGAAAAGUGAUUUAUACAAAUUAUUUAAAAAGACAUGACUUUAUUUGCAAAAGGAAUUUUAAUUGAAAAUAAAAAAAAAAAGAUUUAAAUCAUCUAUUUCUAAAAAAAAAAACUUUUAAUCCCAUUUUAAUUAAGGAAAAAGAAUUCAUUUUUUUUUAAAAAAAGAAUUCAUUUUUUUUUAAAAAAAAACAUUUUUUAGACAAUUUUAUUAAAAAUUAAUUUUUAGGACACCUUUAUUUACAAAACAAAUUUUAAACAAUUUUUAUUAAACAAAGAAAUUUUUGGACAAUUUUAUGAAAAACAGUUUUUCAAAUUCUAUUAAAAACAAUUCUUUUGGAUUUUUCUAAAUGCAGUUUUCUGAAUUUUUAUUAAUGAAAAAGCUUUCUUUUAUUAAAAAUAAUAUUUUAAAAUUAUUAUUUUAUUAAAACAUAUUUACUGAAUUCUUCUUCUUAUUUAAAUAAAAUUUAUAGUUUGUUCGAUGUUCAAUUUUGCACACACUCAAUAAAUAUAUACAAAUGAUUAUUUAUAAGAACUAAUAAAAAUAAAACCAAAUAAAAGUGGGAAAUAAAAUAUGUACUCAAAUAAAUUUAACACAAGCUCAAUAUCUUCCUACAGCUUUUCGAGCCUCACUUUCUUCCAUGAAAUUUUGUGUUCCACAUGUCAUAAAUUCGUACUCAACCAACAAGAUUAUAGGUCCAUGCAAAAACAAAAAUAUCUCAAAUGUAAAUAUCUAAAAAUGUAUAAAAUUCAUAAUAGAUAUUCAAGCCCAAAUUCAAAUUAGUCCAACAAAUUUCAUCAAUUAAAAGUGGACUCAAAUUAGCAAAUAUAACCCGACAAAAAUAUCUCACAUGUCAUAAGCCCUAAUCUAAAAUUUCCAAAUUAAUAGCCAAAAUAUAAGCUCAAUUAAUCAAACCCAAAACAUGAUAAAUUAAAAUAAAUCUCAUUAGGCCUAAACUUAAUAUCUCAUAAUCCAAGCCCAAUUUAAUAUGCAAACUUAAAUCUACAACCAAAAUCAACCCAAUUUAAUAUGCAAACCCACAUCCAAAAUAUACCACAAUAAUAUAUCAUAUCUAAAUUAAAUAAUUCAAAUGAGUACAACUAUAUAAAUUAUCAAUUAAUCUAACCCAAAUUAAGAAAUUCCAAAUUAAUUCACCAACAAUUAAUUAGCCCAAAAUUCAUAUUAAUUUACCAACAACAAAUUAACCCAAAUUUCAUAUUAAUUCAACAAUCUAAAUUUCACAAACAACAAUUACUAUUAAAAUAAAAGGAAAAUAAUAAUAAUAACAACAACAAUAACAACAACAAUAAUAAUAAUAGAAAAUAAGUGGGAUGUGAAAGUGAGGGAAUGAGAGAAAAUGGGAGGGGGUCGUCGGUAGCGACUGACCGGUGAUCUAUCGACAAUGAGGGUUGAUAGGUUUUUGGGAAACAAAAAUGAAAUAAAAAAAAAAGAUAAAUAAAAAAAUGGGAAGAAGAAAAAAAGGAGAAAACGGGGACGGAGAGACGCCGACAUCAUGCCACCGACAGUGAUGAUGGAGUCAGAUGGGGAUAUGGGCAUUGGGACGAGUUGUAGGAGAAAAUAAAAUGGAAAAGAAAUGGGCACCGAUCGUCCAUGUGUGUUGUGGGGGAGGGAAAAAAAAAUGAAAAAAUGAAGUGGGGAAAUGAGGGAGCACGGUUGGGAAUCGGAGUUGGGGGGUGGUUAAGGAGAAGAAAUCCAGAAAUGGGGAUAAUGGAGGUCCGGGUGAGGUUAUCCAACUGUCAGCCCUAAGAGAGAGAGAAGAAAUGGAAGGGCAAAAUGGGAAGCUAGGAAAGUGGGUAAGAAGAAGAUAAAUAAAUAAAUAAAAUGAUGGAAGAAAAGUGAGGGGGGCAUGUCCUCAUGACGUGGGAGGGAUGGAGAGUAGGUGAGAGUAGGUAGGAGAGAGAAAGAGGAAGAGAGAGAAAAGAGGAAAGAGGAGAGAGAGAAUAUAUAUAUAUAUAUAUAUAUAUAUAUAUAAAUAUAAAAAUAUAAUAUAAUAAUAAUAAAAAAUAAAAAUAAAAGUAAAACAAUUUACAAAAUAAUAAAAAUUAAGAAUUAAAGGGUGAGUGGGUAAAAAAUAUCACAUAUAAUUGGGAUUUAAAAUCUAAGUACAAAAUUGGGCUCGAAAUUAACGUAAAAAUAAAAUUGUGACAAAUUUUGGAGUCUACAGCUAUGUUUGCUUUAAAAGAUAUGAUACCAUAAGAUAUAUACAUAUAUUAUAAUAUCAUGUGUCAUUGGAUUGAAAAUAGAUAUCCUAUGGUAUGAUUUCCAAUGAGAUAUGUAUUAUUGGAUGUACAUAUUCUAUGAACAUGAUAUUUAAAGGUAGCAUAUGAAAUGAAAUAUAUUAUGUUUAUAUUUAAUAUGUGAAAUGGAUAAAAAAAUAACAAUAUCAAAUAUAUGUUAUUUUUCAAUGUUUAAAAUAAAAAUUAUAUCACAUUCUAAUAUUUUAUAUUUUAAAAAUUAAAUUUAUGUUAUUCAAUAUAUCAAAAUAAUUUAUAUAUCAUAUAUUAAUAUUAUUUUAUAAUAUUUUUUAUACAAAUUUCUGUAGUAUUUCUUUUUCAAUCAUAAAUUUAAUUUAUAAUAAAAAAUUAUUUUACAAAAUAAGUAUAUAAAAAAAAAUUAUGAUACAUGAGACAUGCAUAUCUCAUUUUGUAGUAUGAGAGUAACAUAUCAUAUGUAGAAGGGACAUACUUGCCAUGAUUAGGCUUCAAAUGAAGUUGAAUUUGGAAUGCCUAUGCUCAAAACAACUGCUAUGAUAAUGCUUAGAGAGACAUUGAAACAACAUUUUAUGAUAACAUUUCAUAUUAACACAACCAAAUUUAAAAGAUUCCAAGGAAAAACAAGGAACAAAAUGUUUUGAAAUAACAUUAGUUAUUCUAUCCUCUCCUGAGAUUGGUCUCCUAAAAGCUGAGUACCAAAGUACAAUGCCACUCAGACCAACCAACUCCAAACCAAUAUUACACUACACACCACAUUCCCCAUCAAUCUCUCAAUCUCUUCACUACACUACAAUACAAGCCAAUGGGUGAUUUGAAACCAUAUAGAAAAGUGUUAUCCGGAGAAAUUCCAUCCCAGCUAACAUCUUUUCAAUAUUUUGGAGCAUAGAAAACAAAAAUUUGAAAUUGAAGAUUUCAUAUGUUUGCCAUACUUGGUGAGACUUUUAAGGAAAGAAGCAGAUCUUAAUGAAGAGUGCCAGACCUAUUUGCAAAACAAAUGAAGCAACAAUCACCAGACUUAUGUCGUUACCCUGUAAGUAGGACCUCGGGUUCAAGGCAACAAAGCAAGCUGAUGCGCCACCUACAAGGACUAUGAUGAGCCAUCGCAGAAACUCAAUUGGAAUAACUAACAGGACUUGAAAAUGUUCCAAGAGAACACAUUAGAUGUUCACAAGACUACUGCUUAGAAACCCAGAAACUAAAAAUUACAUUGUUAAGGUUCUGCAACAAUGGAAACCCCUAUGUGUUAAUCCUUUAAAGACAACAACAGGAUAAACUGGCACUGGAGGUCCAUAGUGUGGAUGAUGCACCACCAACUAUUAACCUAAAUGCUUGCUUGUUAUGUAAUGUAUCUUUUAUUAAGUAAAACUUAAAAGAUACGUUAUGUAACAAUCUUGCUUUAACUCUAGUUAUUUCCCUUGCUAUAUAAUGUUUUUAUAAUUGUACAUAUAUUUGACUAAUAUUGCUUUAUUGUAUGUAGUACAUUUCUAUUAUUUAACAUAUAUUUGGACUUCUAUAUUAAAACAUAUAUUUGACUCAUAAUAAACUUGAUGCAUACAAAAAUACAUAAAAACAUAUAUACUUAUGUGGAUGUAUACACGGUGUACAUGUAGGUAUAUACAUACAUAUACAUGCAUACAAAUAUACAUAGGUAUAUCAGAAUCUAUUAGAUAAAAGAGAUAGAUAACAAAGGACAAAAUUCCUCCAAAAGAAGGAAACAUACACAAAUAUAUUAUAAAAGGAAAACCUUUGGCUUCCCAGCCUUAAGGAAAAAUCCUUAAACUUCAGAGGAGCAUGUGAUCAUCACAUAUGAUGCACCAAAAAAAAAACUUAAAGAAGAUUUUUACAGACAUAGUGAUAUUUGCAAAGCAAAAUGGAGCACAAUGUUCCAAAUUUUCCAAUUUAUUUCUUACCAGAGACACUACAAGAAGAUACGUCACCCUUCAUACAACUAUCACUAUAGUGCCAUCCUAUUGACUAAGACUAAUCAGCCUGGCUCAAUUUUAUCCAACAACCUCCCUAAACAAGAUGUCUCAAUGAUACAGUUGGACCAUAAGGCCAUCGAUAAUGUCAGUGAUCAAGAAAGAAACAUAUAAGCACCGUAUUUUUGCACAUAAAGAAUAUUUGAGAUGGGAGAGUGGGCAAGUAUAGGAUCCAAUGAUAAAUUUGAUUGCGUGAAAGAGAUACUAAUAAUAGCCUAAAUAUCCAAUCUUAUCAAGAGUAAUAUACUUGAGAAAGAUAAUUUGCUAAUAUAGAAUGAGGUCAAACUACUGAUUAUUGGGGAAAACCUGAUGUUUUAUCUUAUAGAAGAUGGUGUUUCAUACCUCAACAUCAAGAUGAAUUCAUUGAAAGCCAUUGGUUAUACUCAUCCAUCCUUAUUAUAAAGGAACUAGAACUUGGGGAGCCGCCUCCACCAUAUGCCUUCACAUUUAUGUGUGAUUACUAUUCAAAAAGUGCUAUUUUGUAGCUUGUAAUUAACUCUUUUAAACACUCUUGAGUAGUAAUUAUUACCUUUUAACUCAAUUGACAUGUUAAAGACCCUUGCAAUCGUUUCUAAUCAAAUUGUGUUAAGUUUUGGUGUUUUUGAUAGCUUUUUGCUACACCAAAGCAAUCCAAGAAUGAGGGAGAGCUGUAUAUAGUUCAUGGCAAAGCUUUUGGAAGCUCAAAUUCAUGAAGAACCAAGCUUUGGAGCUCCAUAUCCCUUUUCCAAAGUCGUUCAAAGUAUGCAAGGAAAGAACAAUGGAGAGAGGAAAAACAGAGUGAAGAAAACUGAGGACAGCAGCUGCAGUCUUCUUUCACACUUUUGGAGCACUUCCCAAAGUCCAUUUUCUACAUGCUAUAUACCAUUUCAAAGCUCAGGAAGUCAAGAAUCCAACGCUUCAAACAGUGUACGAAUUGGAGCUGAAAUGAGGAAGAUAUGGCCUUUUCAAGACAACUGCAUCCAGCUGAAGGACAAAUUCGCAUCUUGCGAAUUUGGAACUCCAACAUGCGAAAUUAAAGCCUACCUUGCGAAAUGAAAAUGGAAUACAGCCGCACAGUCACAGAGAAGCCCAACUUGCGAAAGUGAUUUUGCAACUUGCGAACUUGGAGCUCAACGUGCGAAAAUGGAUUCCAAGUUGCGAAAUCAACUUGCGAGAUUUUCGCAAGUCACCAUGCAACGUGCGAAAUCUACAUGCGAACUGGGAUGUUUGUGCACCGACUCUUUUAGAUCUUUUCUUCAGAUAUUUUUGUAUAAAUUUCCAUUAUUCUCCUUGUAAUCCACCAACCAUAAGAUUUCUUAGCUAGGAAGGUUGGAAAAACUUCUCUAUAUAUACUCCCUUGCAUCCAUUGUAAAAGAUAUAGAUAUAUAAGUAUGUAGAAUCGAUCAAUAUAUAGAAUAUACAGAGCCUUGCUCUGUUUUUCCUUCUCUUUCAUUUUCAUUUUCUUGCUAGCCAAACAUUCUCUGAGAUGUUUUCUCAGAGGAUGAGUGGCUAGGAUUUUUGUUUCUUGGGUGAAGGAAGCUAAGUAAGGUUCCGGCUACAUAAGCGUGAGAUUUUGUUGUUUCCGUUUUUAAUGAAGAGAAAGUGUGAUCUGUUUUUGGUUUUUAUAUUUUUAGUUAACUAGGAUUACCAUGAAUAACCAAUACUUGGUAAGCUUUCGGAUUCCAUGGAUUCUUAUUGCUUGCAAUCUUGCUCCAUGGAGGUCUAAUUGUUAUCUCUUGUUCGCUUGUGAAGGAUGAUUUGAUGGUAAGGAUCACCUUGAAUGGCAAAUACUAGGUGAGAGGUACGAGCCAUUGCAAGGUGUAUUAGUGAGAGGGAUUUAGUGUUGAAACCAUUAAUGGCAAGCAUUUGUAUCACACCGGUUCGGGAAAUAACUAUAGGUUAAAUUCCGAAUGCGAGGAAAAGAUUCAAGUGACCGGAAUCUCCCUCUUUGUAGUUGGCACCUGAUCCUAGUAACCUGAAAUCCCAAGAAACACCUUUCUUUCUAAUUUCUUUCUAGUUAAUUUUAGUUACUUUAUGUUAGGUUAGCUUAAUACCAUCCGUUUUCAUUCAAACUUAUGUCUUCUUUUAAAGCUAACAAAGAAAAGAAAAAGCACCAAUUCAGUUUUUGAACUAAUAUCAAUUGCGAAGUGAAAACCCAUCUCUGUGGACGAUCCUAGAGCCACUAUACUAUGCUAGCUAAAUGCUACCCCGGUAUAUGGUGAAAUAGGUUUAUAAAUUUUGUUGAUUACUCCCGUCUGAGGAUUGAGAUCAAAGCACAUCAAUUGAGUUGAAUCAAUUGGAACACCAAUCGGGCACGAAUCAAUGUGUAAAGAAAACUUGCUUACAAUUAAUCUCAAAUAUCCAACAUUAAACAAAAAAAUAAAUAACUAAGAAGAACCAUGAUUGCUUCAUAUUGAUGCACACAUUCGCAACUUUAGAGCAUCAGUAGCACUAUUAGUGCUCCUUAAACACAUUUUUAGAUCAUUCCGUUGUAUGUAAGUAACAACUUCUAUAGGCCUGACAUCAACAAUGAAGAUACUCUAAGAUGAUGAAGCAUUUUAAUCCACCUAGCAAUGACUUUAAAAUGUAGACAUCUCCAUGAAAAGAUCCUUAGUUUGGAAUUCAGCUUCCAUAGUAAAUGUAAAGCUCUGUCUAGCAAUGGGCUAUGUGGUGAAGCAAUCAUAAGUCUGAGCAAAGGGUGUUGGUCAAAUAGUAGAAAAGGCGAGCAUAGAAGCUACUUAAUAGUAGAUAUGCCAAAGGUCAAUUAGACAUUUAACUGAUUAAGCCAACCUUUAAAAAGAGUUGACAUACAAAAAUUAAUGAACUAUUGAUGUACAUGUGAAAAUUUGUUGAGAUUAUAAUGUUGAAGUGUAUGUAUUUCACAUCCAAUGUUUUUACCAUAUGACUGAAAAGUAGGAAACAAAGUUUACUUCUAGUAAUUGAAUUAAGUUCAUGCUAAAAUGAGAUAAAGGAAAAUGUGAGAAAAAUUAUUUCAUCAUUUGCUCAAGUAGCCCUUGUCAAAGCAGGACCUCUUUAAUUUUUUUCUCACUUUUGAAAUAUUGAAAAGCGUGAGCCUAAGGGCUGAACCCUACUGGAGAAGAAGUACAUAAAGAGCCACCUGACAUGGGCUGAAAAAUAAAGAGACAGAACACAAAAGGAAUAUGCAUGCAGAAAAUAGUAUCACCAUUGGCACUUGACUCAUAACACUGAAUUCAGGAAAUCCAUGAAAGAUACCAUUUCUUCCCCAUGGGUAUCUAAAGAGCAUAAAUACCAAGCUUUAAGGAACACAUCACUAAGUUUUACCACAUGGAGCUCUACAUAAAAAAAAAAGGUUCUCAUGUUCCUUUUUCCAAAUACACCGAAAACACAAAGUGAAGUAGAUAUCCAAAGGUUUCCUCUUUAUAUGUCUGUGCACACACACACACAAACAUAAUAACAUUACUUCUUUUCUUUCCCACAGAAAUUCCUUUCCAAAACCAUAGAAAACUCUUUAUUCAAUCAAGGCAGAACACAAGAAACACAAGACAAGGAAAAAAACUAGUGACUAAAGAGGCUAGUCUACCAUACAACGUAGAAGAAUAUAAUUCACGAAGUACUCAUCCUCAUCCUUUUGCAUAAGCAACACCAAUUAACAAUAGUACAACCCCUAUGCCCCCACAUAAAUGCCACUUCGUCAAAUAGGAGAGCCUGCUAACCUCAACUCCACCCCACAUAUAACCCUUUCAAACUACAAGUAAACCUAAGUUAUAGGCAUGUAACACUUUCAUUAACCUUCCAAAUCAAUUAAUUUUGUCAAAUUCAAACAGCAAGUACCUAACAGGUUCUCAAAUCAACCUUUUUUUCUUUAAUAUAUUUUCAUUUACACAAAUCUGAUUGUUAUAAACAAAAAAAAUACAAUGAUAAUCCUAAGCACAAUCAAAUUGGAAACUUAUGCAUCUUAGUAAUUUUUUUAAUUGCAUUUCCACAUAGCUAAUGAAUCAAGAAAAUAAAAUAUGUUCCUUGUUAACAGUAAUAGUGGUAAUUGGAAAACAGUGCCACAAAAAGGGAAAUCACAAUUCCUAUCAAAUUCACAACUGGAAAAAACAUCAUAAGCUACAAUAAGAAACAAUUAAAUAUUAUUUAUCUUCAAAAUCAUUCAUUUCUUCAUCAGUUAGUAUUCACUUUCUCACAGGAAUCAUAUACAACCCCCAUCUCCACUUCUUAUCCAAUAACUAGAAGGCUUAAAAGGACAAGUAUAUGAUUAAAUAGGAAUUGAAUUUGAAUCAUCAUUAAAAUUUAAAAAGAACAAAUAACAAACAAAGACAAAAUUUAAAACCUAAGAAGAUCUUUUGGAUUUUGGAUUGAUUCGAAUCAUGCAAACAAACAAAAGAAGCAAAUAGAAAAUAAAGUCAUGAUAAAUAAUUGCAAGCCUGUAUUACCCAAAUCAAACCUUAUUACCCUGACCCUUCUCUGUACAUCAAAAUCCUGCAUCACAAUUUGAUUUCACACUAAACUCAUAUGGAUAUGAAUAGAAACAGAAAGAGAAUCCAUAUCAACAUAUUCCCCGAAACAGAAACAAAAAAAAUAAGCAAAAUAAAUUGAAAAAAUAAAUCCAAAAAAAAAAAAAGGAAAACUGGGUGGCUUUGAAUUCAGAAAGAAACCGAUUUAAAAAGAUAUGGAUCCAUCUGAAAAUUUCUUUAACCAAAACAAAUUUUGUCUCAUCUUCAUUCAUGCGAAAAUUAAUCAAAAUACAACAAACCCCAAAAUAUAACACCUUCGGCCCCAAUAUUUUCUCAACAUCCAAAUGAAUCCUUAAAACUCACCUAUGAUUGAUUAAGCCACAGUAAGAGGAAACUCCAUUUCGGUUUCCAAAAACCUUAAAAAAAUUCAACCUUUGAUGAAGAAAUAUGAAGAUAUGCCUCAACUUUGGCUUUGUUGAAGGUUUUUGGAAGAUGCCUAUCAAGUUUGGGUGGUCAACUCGUGAAAAGAGACAUGAUAGGUUUAGGCCAAAAUCAAACGAAGACGGCUUUGGGAAUAUGGGUAUCCAUCGCCUGGUCAGGACAUCAAUAAACAGAUCAGUUGUCUACCUUCGUGUAUCAAACAAGCUAUGAAAAUGGGAAUUUUUUUAGAUCGGGUUAAGGCAAAAUGAGAGGAAGUGACAGAAAGAGUUUCGCAACUUUCAAAUGUUUAUCGGGUCGGGUGUUUUGUGGGUUUCAGAUUUGAUAACUUCAAGUUUCAAAUUUUGGUGUUUAUUAAAUUACGCACCUACCUGCUGACAUGGACAUCGGUGGCUGCUGACAGGGAAACAUUAAAGGGCAAUUUUGGAAAUGGAAACCUAAACAGUAUAUAGUACAUGAGAAAUAUAAUAUUUUUCCCAUUAACAGGCACAUCUCAUAUUUCAUUUAUGUGGGUUUCCAAAACCAUAUAUCUUCCUAAUAGCAGCCUGCAAACACAACUUUCCCUUUGCAAUUUAUUGUUAGAGCCUUGAUUGACCUAAACUCAACACAAUCUAUGUUUCAAUAUCUUUUGUUGGUUUGUUAGGUAUGCUUGUUGAUAGCCUAAACUUUGAUUUGACUGUUGUUUUUCCUAUGGGACAUUCUAUUGUGGAUAAUAUUAUGUUUAGAGGUUAUCUUAUGAUGACUAGUUAUAUGGAGAUGUUAGUGGACUUAAUACUUCUUGACAUUAUGAUUUUGAUGUGAUUUUGGAGAUGGAUUGGUUAGUUUCCUUCUAUGUCUAUAUUAAUUAUUUUGGUAAAAAGGGUGACUAUCCACAUUCCUAGCUAAUAUGCAUUUAGUUUUGAGGGAAACAUGUGAUUAGACCAUUGUGUAUGAUCUUAGCUUUAUGGGCUAGUUUCUUGCUUAGGAAAGGUAAUUAAGGGUUUUAUGCUUAUGUAGUGCGUGAUAAAAAAAAAAAAAAUUACAAUCUAUUAUUGCCAAGUUGAUAAAGGUUUAAUGAUGCAAUCUUAGUAUUCAAGAGGUCAUUUAGGAAUCAAAAAAGGAGAUAAGAGAAAAACAUCCUCAUUAUUUGAAGAUUUAUGUAUGUCAAGUUUAGAGGACUAAACUUUUGUUAAGGAGGUGAGGAUGUAACACCCCAAAAUAAACUUUAAGGGCAAAAUAGUGAAUUAUAAAUUAAUUAAUCAAUCAAUUAAACACAUUAAAGGUAAAAGAGUCCUUUUACAAUUAAUAAUCCUUGGUAUAAAUUAGAUUUUCCUUUUGUCUUCUUUAUUCAGAAAACUCUAUUAACCAAAAAUCAGUGAAUUGGAGAACAUAGGGCUCAAGGUUUGAAAGUCUAGAGUUUGAAGUUCAAAUUUUUUCAGGUAAGAUUCUAACCCUGAAUUAAUAUAUUAUAUUCGUUAGUUAGUUUUGAGCACAUUAGAUACUCUUUAGAAAAUUUUAAUUUAGAUUAGGGUUAGUUUAGUUAAUUUAUUUUAAGAUAAAAAAAUUGAAAUUAUGAAUAUAGGUUGUUUCAUUGAUGAAAAUAGGGAAAUUCGAAAUUUUUUUUAGAUGAAUGAUCUAAACAAUGAAAUUUUAAAAAUUAAAUGAGCAAAUAAAUAUAUGAUUAUAUGUGGCUUAAGGGAUUGGAAAAUAAUAAGAAGAAGAAUUGCAUAUUUUUGGAUUUUGGAUUUGAGGCACUAUGUUGGGGUGACAAAAAAAAAUAAUAAUAUGUAACCAUGAGAGGCAAAGGAUGGUAGUGGAAUAAAUUAAAAUAAUAAUAAUAAUAAUGAGUAGAGUUGGUGGGGUUGUUGGAGUUGUUAAAAGUAUAUGAGGUAUUUUGUUAAGUAAGAGGGGACAUUGGGAUUAAUAAGAAUAAUGAUAAUAAUGAUAUUAAUAAUAAUAAUAAUAAUAAUAAUAAUCAUAAUAACAAUAAUAAUAAUAAUAAUAGUAAGAAUUGUGUGAUUUGGAUGUUUGUGAGUGACGUACAGUAGGGCUGUUUGGAUGUUGUCGGGUAUCGAAAAAUAUAGUAAUAAUAAUAGUAAUUGGUUUUAAUAAAAGUUUUAAUUUAGUUUAAGUAUACAAAAGAAAUAAAUGGUUAGAAUAAGAUUUGGAAGAAAUAUGAGUUUAUAAAAAAUUUGGAAAUUCAUUAAAUCAUAUUAGUAUUGUUUAAGAAGUUGAAAAUAAUAUUGGGUAGUAAUAAUAUUAGCAUGAGAAAUUAAUUAGGAUCCCUAAUACUAAAUAUUUUAAGAUUGUCAAAUUUUUACGUUUAGAUAAUUGUGUAUAAUAUUAUGUUAGGUGAGGAGUAAAUUCGUUAAGCUAAAUAAUUCAAAGUUUUGAGCGUUUUUUAAAGGUAGGGGAAAUUAAUGCAGAUUUUUAUAAAAGAAAAUAAUUUUAUUUUUAUAUUGUAUUUUGGAAUAUAUAAAAAUAUUAUUUUUAUCUUUACGCAUGAAUCAAAUAUGUGUUUUGUAUGGAAUGUAUAUUUGAGAAUUUUAUUUGUUUAUGAAAAACGAAAAAUUGAGGAGAUAUGAUAUUUUGUUUUGUAAGUUUGAAUUAAUGAAAUAAAGUGUUCGACUCUGGAUUAUAUGACCCUAAUCAAUGGGUUAUAAUUGUUGACAUUUUCGACCCUACUAGACGGGUUAUAAUAGUUGACCUUAAGGUCAUAGUCAAUGGGUUAUAAUAGUUGACCUUAUGACCUUAGUCAACAGGUUAUAAUUGCUGACUUUUGGUUUUAUUCACCUUAAAUGGAACAAAUUUGAAACUAGUCCCUCAUUUGUGAAGUCCCACUUAAUUGGGCACCAUUUGUUAUUUGACAAUCAAAGUAAAGAUAUUUUGAAUAUAUUUGAUUUGGUUUUGAUGAGAAAUUGUUUUGAAAUGGAUAUGAGAAAGUUUUGUUGAAAAGUUUGAAUGUAUUAGUAUUUUGAACUCAAAAGUUUUUAUGAAAAUAAGUAUAUAUUAUACCUCCUAUUUACAAGCAUGAUUGAAAAUGUUUUAUCAAAUAAAACUGUAUUAAUGUUCCUUAUUGAGCUUUGAGCUCAUCCUCCUUUGUUGAUAAUCUUUCCGAUAACCUCAUUUUGGGCAAGGAGUGACCGUUAGGAGGGAAAUUUGGCUUUAUUAGGAUAUUUGUUUAAACUUUCUUUAUCUUAGACAUUGUUGAAAGGUUAAAACUUAAUUCUUGUUUGAAUUAUUUUGAGUUUGAAGUUAUUUGGACAAUAACACUUCGGUUGAUGUAUUAAUUUUUUUUUUAAAGUUGAUACUUGGAGAUUUUAGAAUUUGAUCCUACUACUCUGAACAGGAAUUUGGUAAUUGGUAAAUUUCCAGUUACAAUAGGAUGUUUGUGUUGUUUCCACUUUGAGCCUUUGGAUUUGAGGUGUGAAAUGACCGUCAUGCCCUUGGAGUGGGUUUUGAGCGUGACAAAAACAAUUCAUAUUUCAAAUGGAAAACACUCAACAAUUCUCCCAAAUUUCUUUCUUUUUAGCCAAAAAAAAAAAAAAAAAAUUGGAUCCACAACAAUGGUUUUAGGCAAUGAAGAUUCAGCAUCUUCAAAAUGUGGAAAAAUAAUAGAUCUAAUCCACUUGCAUGCUAAUAAAUAAAUAAAUAAUUCAACACCAUCCAAAAUUUAUAUUACAAUUAAAAAAAAAUACCUUUAAAAGUUCCCAUUGAUAAUAAUGAGUAGCUCGAUCACACUAACACAAAGAAGAUACCUCUAAUUGUUGGUAUAUUUUUUUGCUUGUGAAAUCAAGCAUUGACAUAAAAGCAAAAAAAAAAGGAAUGAAUCGUUUUACCAUAUCCCAACACAAAUAAAUAAAUAUACUUGAUAGAUUCAUAAUAUAACACCAAAAAAACAAAAUGAAAAUCCAAUCCAAAAAUAAAAUAAAAUAAUCAAGAGAUAGAAAUUGAAAAGGGUUUGAAAGUUAGAACGGGUGUUGGAAUUGGGUUUGGGUGCUCAAGUGGGCUGAUCCGACCUGACCUAAAAACUGCCACUAUUGUAAAAAAAAAUUAUUUUUCUCCGUGGAAACCCUCUCUUUUUGAGUACUCUCCCUCAAAAAACUUUUUUUUUCUCUCUCUCAAAACCAGAAAGUGAAAAAUAUAUUUCUUCUUUCCCUAAAAACAAAAGAAAGAAUAUAUUUUUCUUUCUAAAAGAAAAUCAUUUCUCAAAGUUUUUUCUAUUUUUCUUCCUGAAAACGAAAAUCAAGGUUCUUGUACCAUAAGAAAAGAAUAAUCUUUAUAUUUGUAAUUUCAUUCAUGAAUUGAAGCAAAAAAAAUUGAUCAGUAAAAUAAUCAAUCAGAAUUCUUAAGCAUUUCAAUAGUUAAUUGAAUGCAUUAUUUUUCAUGAAGGAAAAAUUUUGAAAAACCAAUAAUGAAGAGAAUCCAUAGAGAUAAAGGAAGAAUCGAAAAAUAAAGAAAAUUAUAUAUAUAUAAUUGCAAUCGUAAUCGGUACAUGAUAAAUGGGUGAAGAUUUUGAAAGUGAAAUAAUUGUAAAUGAAACCAAAUUUACUUAAAAAUAAUAUUUUGACGAACACGUCACACUUUUGAAAUUAGUAGGAAGACGUUUGAGCUUUUACACGACGAUAACACAAACCGUCAAAUACGAAAUGACGCGUGUAAGUGGAAAGGUGGGAAUUAAAAAGUUGUUGGGGUUUGAUCUCAAGGCAUAUAACUAAUUUUUAAAAAUGAAAAAGUGGGACAUAGCUCCUCCGACUGUCGUCAAAAGCGUGUGGGCCUCUCUCCAUUGUCAUUUCCGGGCAACUCCAAUCCAGCGGAAUAUGAUUCCAUUCCCGCAGUGAUCCGAAAUGGGCAAUAAACCACUCACUGUCUUGCCCACUGGUUAUAAAUCAAGCUGCAGCGUCACAACUUCAAAUCACACACACAAAGAUAAAAUUUGCAUAGAGAAUAUGGGAGAAACACUUGGAGAUCGUAUUGGGUUGAGUGACGAAGUCAUUAAUGUAUUGGCUUCUCUAGCCAUGAAAGCCCACGAUUGCACUGGUGAGCCAUUUCUCCGCAAGAAAGGUUUACCCGUUACUGUAGGGACCCCUCCCCUUGAUGACACGUGGCACGCAUUUCUAACCAGAUCAGCUUCAUCCGGAUUUCCCCAAGAGUACACAUGGCGCGCUCUCCUAUCCGGACUCCCUCAAGGAGAGGCACACAACACUCACAAACAUAACAUCCGGACAACCGACAUAUAAUUUUUGGAUAUGUUCAUCCGGAUCAUUGACUGAAGUGAGCAAGUCUUGCACGUCAUCACAACAGCCUGCCAUGGCUCACGUUCCGCCACUUGCAGAGUGAGAUGACAGGAAUGAAGUGAUGGCAAGUCACUUCCCACGAUCUUUGACAGCUGCGGCGCCUCCCACGAUCUCUGUCAGCCGCCCUAUGAGUGAUGAUGGCCCUACCACCACCUAGAGACAUCAUGACAAGCCAAAAUAUCUCCCUACCAUUAAAGAGGGAAACAAAGCUCCUUAUACGAUAUAUAUAUAUGAACCUUCACACAAAGAGGAAGGUAAGGUUUCUAUACCUAGUAAAAGGCCAACUGAUUUAUCUCUCUGAACCAUGGCUAACAAAACCAUCGGAGGGUGCGUCCGGACACCCUGUCCGAACGUCUUUUGUAAGAACGACUAAACCAGGAAUCUAUAUUGGUUGAGAUCGUGCGUCCAUCCAUUUGGCAACUACGUGGAUCACCAGGGACGCGAGGCCUCAACAUUGGCGCUGUCUGUGGGAACAUCGCUGAUUCAGUCACCGGCAAACAUGGUCACACCUUCCCGAAGUCGCUCAUCUGGUAAGGGAGAGGAAGAUCAUUCUGAAUGGCGACAAGCCAUCGAAAGAAGACAGUUGGCAAGCGAACGACAACUGCAAACUCUCCUCUGGGAGACAGAAAGGUUAAGAGAAGAAAACGCGGUGCUACGCAUCCAAGCUUCAUCGACGGGGCCUCCCCGUCGCCAGCGUUCGAGAGGCCAGAUGGCAAACUCAAGGCCGGAACCAGAGUCAAUAUACCCUGGGACAGUAAGAGCCAUCCCAAAAACCAGCAACGUUAAGCCACAUGAGCCACACACUCCCAUGCACUGAGCUCCCUGUGAGGAAAACUCAGACUCUACUCAUUUUUCAGCAAAAAGACAACGCAACAAAAGGCCCCAGUUGUCAAACUCGAUGCGCGCAAGACUAGGCCCACAGGAGCAUAGGAGGCCAAGGCCACUAGCAGCCACAGCCUGGGAAGCGCACCCUGACCCUAUGGUCACCCCUAUGGUGCAAAACGUUCUCCCACAUCGUGACCCCAUGGUCACCCCUAUGGUGCAUAACGUUCAACCACACCUAGUGGUACGACAAUCUGGGAGAAACCUCCCAAAUGAGCCACCUAUUGGCUCCAUCAGCAAAAGACUGGACAACAUGCUCUCCACGCCUUUCUACUCUCAUAUCAUUCAUUACGAGCCCCCAAGGGGAUUCCUCGUACCCAAAUUCUCCACAUACGAUGGGUCCAACGACCCCUUCGAUCAUAUCAUGCAUUAUCGACAGCUCAUGACUCUCGAUAUAGGCAACGACGCGUUGCUAUGCAAAGUAUUUCCCGCUAGCCUACAAGGGCAGGCCCUCUCAUGGUUUCAUCGCCUACCUCCAAAUUCUGUUGACAAUUUCAGGGACUUAUUGGAGGCUUUCGUGGGACAAUACUUAUGCUCCGCUCGACAUAAACAGAACAUCAACACUCUACGAAACAUAAAAAUGCAAGAUAACAAAUCCUUAAGGGAGUUCGUGAAACGGUUUGGUCAAGCCGUACUUCAGGUAGAGGCUUACAGUAUGGAUGCUGUCCUGCAGAUCUUCAAGCGAGGCAUCUGUCCAGGCACUCCAUUUUUCGAAUCACUUGCUAAAAAGCUUCCAACAACGAUGGACGACUUGUUCAGACAUGCAAACAAAUACUCAAUGCUCGAAGAUGACGUACGAGCAACCACCCAACAAGUCUUGGUUGCUGGACAGGCAUCUAGAAGUGGCGCGGAUAGAAGUGUCAAACUUCCGGACCGGCCAAGGCCGUCCGAUCGAAGGCAGGAAGGGCCAGGUCGCCCGGAAAGACCGCCCCUCACGCCUCUCUCCAUAUCAUAUGAGAAACUUCUCCCUAUGAUCCAAGGCAUGUCCGACUUCAGGUGGCCUAGACCCCUCGGAACGGACCCAUCCAAAAGAGAUCAUAGCAAAAAAUGUGCCUUCCACAAGGAGCAUGGUCACACAACGGAAGAAUGCAGGUGCCUCCAUUAUUUGGUCGAAAAGCUCAUAAGAGCGGGACACUUAAAACAAUACCUCCCCUCAGAUGCCGGAGGUAAAAACGCUUCUCAAAACCACAACACUGGAGCCCCCAGGGCCCCAGCCACCCCCAAAGUCGUUAUAAACUAUAUUAACGGAGGUCCAUCUGACGAGGAGUAUGACUCCAAAUGAAAAAGACAAAAGUUGUUGCGGGCCUGUAGACCCUCAAUUUUGUCCAUCGACACUGGCAUUUAUUCUUCAGGUGUCACAUCCACCCAUCGUUCGCAUAUGGCACCACUAGGGCCCCUUUUGGGCUUAGUCGGUGUCCGAGCCUCGUGUGGGUUUGUCUGUGGUCCAUUGUGGUGCAUAUGUGGUUCAUUUUGGAGGGUCACCAUGGCCAUUUUCCUAGUCGUUCACAUCACACUAUAGGAAGGAAGUGGGGUCAUCUCGAUGUUUUAGCUUAGUUGGAGUUUAUAGGGGCAUGUUGAGGUUCGGAGCACUCGGGCUUGUUUUGAUCGUAUCUCCCUCAUCCAAACUCGGAAUCAAGAACCGUUUCUUUUUAUGGAUUUCUUAUUCUUCCAGGAACAUUCUGUAAAAUUUUCAGAUUUUUUUUCGCAACCGGUCUGCUGGUUGGCAGCCGGUUCAGCCGGUUCAUCGAGUCAGCCGGUGUAGAACACUGAUUUUUGGUAAUUGUUUUGAUCAUAUCUCCCUCUUCCGAACUUGGAAUCAUGCACCGUUUUUUUUAAUGGAUUCCUUACUCUACUAGGAACAUUCUGUCAAAUUUUCAGAAUUUUUUUCCAUCGGUUUGACCAGUUGGCAUCCGGUUCGGCCGGUUCAGCCGGUUCAGCCGGUUCAUUGAGUCAGCUGAGGUAAAACACUAAUUCUAGUAAUUUUGAGGCCUAAAUCCUACAUGGCUCAGGCCCGUAAGCUCCAGAUCGGUUUUGGGCAAUGUUGUGGGUCCAUUUUGGGCCUUGGUUUGGGUUCCUUGUAGGCCACUACGAAUCCAUAUGGAUUCUUGGUGGUGAAGCAAGCUGAAAACUGAAGGAGUGAGCUGGCCUCGUAAGUUUAAGAGAAGUAAUGAGGGGUGUGGUUCCCAUGCUGAUGAAGGGGAUUUCGGUGUUGAAGGGGAAGGAAUCUAGGAGGCUCAAAUGCUAAGAGGGGUAUGAGUAUAAAAGGUGAGAGGAUAGGAGAGCAAAGGAUAGGAGGGGACAUUUUGGAGAAGGGAAAUUUUGCUGGUGAGAAAAACAAAAGGUCAGUAGCAUCUUCUGAGUUGAGAGCGUGGGAGAAAGCUUCAGCACUGUGAUUUUUUUUAAGAGGAGAGUGACAGCAUCUCAGUUUUGGAAGUCAUCAUCUGAAUACACGGAUCAUAUUUGGUGGAGAUUCUGAGGUAAGCAUGCUGAAUUUUCUUUACUUACAGUUUAUCUUCCUCGUCUUCAUAUGCUUUUUCUCCUUCCUCAUUAUCUUUUCUUCCAUUUGAUAUGAAGAUUGUAUUGCUUGGGUGUGGAUAAUAAAGGCCACACAUGAUUGUUGUUGAUUGGUUAUUAAUCAUUUAGGAACUUUAUGACCGAAUUUGGGGUUUUUUAUCAACCGGCUGAACCAGUUGGGAACCGGUUCAACCGGUUCAGCACAAUAGCUGGUUGCCUAUGUCAGCCAUGAAGAACACCUACCUUUCUUUGUCUGGUUCUCACUCAUCCAAGCUCGGAAUUGAGAACCGUUUCUUUUUUUUGCUUCAUUAAUCACUUAGAAACUUUCUGAUCGAAUUUGGGGUUUUUUAUCAACCGGCUGAACCGGUUGGGAACCGGUUCAGCACCAUAGCUGGCAGCCUCUGUCAGCCAUGAGGAACACCUGCCUUUCUUUGUCUGGUUCUCACUCAUCCGGGCUCGGAAUUGAGAACCAUUUCUUUUGUUUGCUUCCUUAAUCACUUAGGAACUUUUUGACCGAAUUUGGGAUUUUUUAUCAAUCGACUGAAUCGGUUGGGAACCGGUUCAACUGGUUUAGCACAAUAGCUGGCUACCUCUGUCAGCCAUGAGGAACACCUGCCUUUCUUUGUCCGGUUCUCACUCAUCCGAGCUCGGAAUUGAGAACCGUUUCUUUUGUUUGCUUCCUUAAUCACUUAGGAACUUUCUGACCGAAUUUUGGAUUUUUUAUCAAUCGGAUGAACCAAUUGGGAACCGGUUCAACUGGUUCAGCACCAUAACUGGCAGCCUCUGUCAGCCAUGAGGAACACCUGCCUUUCUUUGUCUGGUUCUCACUCAUCCGGGCUCGGAAUUGAGAACCGUUUCUUUUGUUUGCUUCCUUAAUCACUUAGGAACUUUCUAACCGAAUUUGAGAUUUUUUAUCAACCGGUUCAGCACCAUAACUAGCUGCCUCUGUCAGCCAUGAGGAACACCUGCCUUUCUUUGUCUGGUUCUCACUCAUCCGGGCUCGGGAUUGAGUGUCGUUUCUUUUGUUUGAAUCCUCACUCAUUUAGGAGUUUUCUAGAAAAAUUUGGGAAUUCUUCUCAAUAGGUUGUACUAGUUGAGAACGAGUUCAACCUGUUCUACUGGAGGACUUUAGGUAGCCCUCGAUUUUGGCAUUUUUCGAGCCCUUAUCUAUUGGGGCUCAAACCCAUUUUCUAUAGGGCACUUGUGAGCCAUCUUGAAGGUUUAAGUCAGUGUUUGAUUUCAGUUAGUAUGGGCAAUUUUGAAGUUAUGGGUGGUGUGGUCUAGAUGAAUCUAGUUCGAUUUGUAUGACAUUUGGGGAGUCCCUUACCUCAUUUCAACCAGAUAUCUUCCUUUUUGGCACAAUCUUUGAUGCUUGAUUUUGAAUACAUGUUGCGUGACUGACUCACCCUCUGCUGUAGCACAUGGCUAGGGACUACAGGUACGGAUCGUUGGUUUUGAUUGUUGAAUCAUAUGCAUGCAUGGUGCUUAAUCUUGAAUGUUUGUUAUGUGUUUAUCGACCUUUUAUGCAGCGCUUGGCUAGGGACCACAGGUACGCACCCAUUAUUUUAGUUGGUUGAAUUCAUAUGCAUGCCAAAUACCAAUUAGGAUUGUGUGAUUCAUGUCAUCUAUUUAGCCUAGGUUUCAUUUGACCUUUGACCUAUAUGCUCCCACAUACCCAAUUCAUUAGUAGAGACCGAGUUUCGGGCCUAGAGGGGUGCUACCUCGCAUGAGGUACCUUCCCAACGGGUAACCUGAUCCCCGGACCCAGAAUCUAGUUUUUGUAGACCGUUUUUUCCAUACUGGGGUCAUUAGGGGUUUUUGUUCUUAUUUAAUUUUCCCCAUUUUAAAAACAAAAAUAAAAAGUAAGUGGCGAUUCCAAACAACACCGUUCCUCAUCGGGGGCGGGUUUUUCAAAACUGGAAAACACCAACUUUUUCAUUUCUUUCUUUUCUUUUAAAAGCGAGUCGCGUCGGUCCGGUGGAUCGGGUGAGGGUCCACAGGGCCGCAUCGGUACGCGAAUGUAUCAACUCCAUCCGGCCUGGGAUAUCUGGAGGGGGCCCCCACCCCAAAGAUGGGACAAUCAUUUUUCCACCAGUACACCCCACCCAGAUAUUGCAUCCGCACCGCGACGCCCUCAUCCUGUCCCUAGAGAUAGGAGACUUCGACGUGAGGCGCAUCCUGGUCGACCCAGACAGCUCAGCCGAUCUUGUACAAGCAUCGGUCAUUAGCCACAUGGGACAUAGUCUCACAGGCCUCGAAAACCCUGGGCGAAUCCUAUCCGAAUUCAACGGGUCGUCAACUACGUCAUUGGGAGACAUUGUACUAUCGGUCCAAGCUGGCCCAGUCACUCUCAACAUACAAUUUUCGGUGGUACAAGAUUUAUCACCCUUCAAUGUCAUAUUGGGGCGCACAUGGCUACACUACAUGAAAGCCAUCCCCUCUACAUAUCACCAAAUGGUAAGUUUCCUUACCAAAGAUAGGCAAAUUGACCUAUAUGCUACCAAAUAGCACGAGAAGCAAGGACCAGCCAGGAGGAUGCAUCCCUCCCUGAGUCCAGCCUUGCACGUGACUAAUAACAAUUAUUGGGUCCGGCGGACAAAGAUCCCCCGGCAGCGGAUCCCUUGCAAACAAUCCAAAUUUCAGAAGAAGGUACUCACCUUACGAAUAUCAGUUCCCUCCUGACACCAGAAGAGACCCAGAAUAUGCAGAACGCCCUCAGACAAAACCAUGACGUCUUCGUAUGGGCACAUUCUGAUAUGAAAGGAAUUCAUCCCUCCAUUACCUCUCAUAGACUCAACGUCUUACCAACAGCCAGACCCAUCCGGUAGAGGGUUAGGCGUUUUCACCCAGACAGACAAAAAAUUAUCCAGAAUGAGAUUGACAAGUUGCUAGAAGCUGGAUUCAUCAGAAAAGUGGAUUACCUAGACUGGUUAGCAAAUGUAGUAGUGGUACCCAAAAAAGAAGGCAAAUGACGGGUGUGCGUCGAUUACACCAACCUCAAUAAUGCAUGUCCAAAAGACAGUUUUCCUUUGCCACAGAUAGAUCAAAUUGUCGAUUCCACUACUGGGCAAGGGAUGCUCUCUUUCUUGGACGCCUUCUCCGGAUACCACCAAAUCCCCAUGUCCCCGAAUGAUGAAGAAAAAAUAGCCUUCAUAACACCACAUGGUCUCUAUUGCUAUAAAGUCAUGCCAUUCGGACUCAAAAACGCUGGCGCCACUUAUUAGAGACUGAUGACAAAGAUCUUCAAAUCUCUGGUCGGCCGCACAGUAGAAGUAUAUAUUGACGAUAUCGUGGUCAAAAGCAAAACCCGAGAGGAGCAUGUCUUCCACUUGCAAGAAGUUUUCCACCUCUUAAGGAAGUAUGGCAUGAAGCUAAACCCUUCCAAAUGCGCCUUUAGCGUAAGUGCUAGCAAAUUCCUGGGAUUUAUGGUCAGCCAAAGGGGGAUAGAGGUUAGCCAGGAUCAAGUGAAAACGGUCAUGGACACACCACCCCCCAAGAACAAAAAGGAAUUACAACGCCUCACAGGCAAGCUUGUCGCGCUUGGGCGUUUUAUAGCCCGAUUCACUAAUGAGCUGCGACCAUUCUUCUUGGCAAUACGAAAAGCUGGAGCCAACGGGUGGACAGACAAUUGUCAAAACGCUUUUCAAAAAAUUAAACAUUGCCUCAUGCAACCGCCCAUCCUGAGCAGCCGCAUCACUGGUGAAAAAUUGUACAUGUACCUAGCUGUAUCAGAGUGGGCGAUCAGCGCUGUUCUAUUCCGCUGCCCCUCACCCAAGGAGCAGAAACCUAUCUACUAUGUCAGUAGGGCAUUGGCGGACGUAGAAACCAGGUAUUAAAAAAUGAAGCUAACAGCCUUAGUUCUUCGCAGUGCUGCCCAGAAACUCCGCCUCUACUUCCAAGCACACCCGGUGGUCAUGCUAACUGACCAGCCCUUUCGCAACAUUCUGCACAAACCGGACCUAACCGAAAGAAUGCUUCAAUAGGCCAUAGAGUUAAGCGAAUAUGGAAUUGAGUUCCAACCCAGGCUGUCCAUGAAAGGCCAAGUCAUGGCUGACUUCGUGCUGGAAUACUCCCGAAAGCCUAUCCAACACAAGGAAUCAAGUGAAAAAGAGUGGUGGACUUUGCGGGUCGAUGGAGCCUCAUGAUCAUCCGGAUCCUGUGUAGGGCUCCUGCUGCAAUCACCAACGGGGGAACAUUUGGAGCAAUCCAUUUGGCUAGGGUUCCCCGCCUCAAACAAUGAAGCAGAAUAUGAAGCCAUCCUAUUCGGAUUGGACCUCGCCCUGGCUCUAUCCGUCUCCAAACUCCGUGUGUAUAGUGAUUCCCAACUUGUGGUAAGACACGUCCAGAACGAGUAUGAAGCUAAGGAUGCACACAUGGCGCGAUAUCUAACUAAAGUAAGGGACACCUUACAACGAUUCACCGAGUGAACGAUCGAAAAGAUCAGACGAACUGAAAAUAGGCGCGCCGACGCCUUGGCAGGCAUAGCUGCCUCCCUCCCCAUCAAAGAAGCCAUAUUGUUGCCUAUACAUGUGCAAACCAACCCUUCUAUCGCGGAAGCUUCCACUUGCAACACCAUUGAGGCAAAACAGGCAGACGACCAAGAGUGGACGAACGACAUUAUAGGGUACCUCCGGACAGGCACUCUACCUGAGGAUCCCAAGCAGGCACACAAGAUCCAGGUGCAAGCCGCCCGUUUCACCUUGAUUGGGGAGCACCUGUACAAGCGAUCCUUCACAGGUCCCUACCUUCGGUGCCUAAGUCAUUCAGAGGCCUUAUAUGUGUUAACUGAAUUGCACGAGGGAGUAUGUGGAAAUCAUUCUGGAGGACGAUCUCUGGCGCAUAGAGCCCAUUCGCAAGGAUAUUACUGGCCCACAAUGAAGAAGGAUGCGGCAGCCUAUGUCAAAAAAUGUGACAAAUGUCAAAGGCAUGCCCCCAUUCCGCAUAUGCCAUCGGAGACAUUGAAACCAAUUUCAGGCCCCUGGCCCUUCGCGCAGUGGGGCAUGGACAUAGUGGGACCCCUCCCAGCCACACCUGCCUAGAAGAAAUUCCUACUUGUCGCCACGGAUUACUUUAGUAAAUGGGUAGAAGCUGAAGCAUACGCUAGCAUCAAAGACAAAGAUGUCACCAAAUUUGUAUGAAAAAACAUCAUCUGCCACUUCGGAAUCCCCCAAACCAUUAUAGCUAACAAUGGUCCACAGUUUGAUAGCAUCGCCUUCCGAAAUUUCUGUUCGGAACUGAACAUCCGGAAUUCAUACUCCACACCGCGUUAUCCUCAAAGUAAUGGGCAAGCAGAAGCCACAAACAAAACGUUAUUCAUGGCUUUAAAGAAAAGGCUCGAGCAAGCAAAAGGAAAGUGGGUGGAGGAGCUACCCGGAGUCCUAUGGGCUUAUCGAACCACACCCGGACGCCCUAUAGGAAACACUCCCUUUGCCCUCACAUACGGUAUGGACGCAAUCAUUCCUACUGAAAUAGGACUACCCACUAUCCGGACCGAGGCAGGAACGCAGGAUGAUGCAAAUGAGGAGUUAGGAAGAAAUUUGGACUGGGCAGACGAAGUAAGAGAAAUUGCAUCCAUUCGGAUGGCAGACUAUUAACAAAGGGCAUCCGCUCAUUACAAUCGCAAAGUAAGGUCCAGAAACUUCAAAAAGGGUACGCUGGUCCUUAGAAAAGUUUUCGAAAAUACUGCUAAGACAGGGGCGGGAAAAUUCCAAGCCAACUAGGAAGGCCCCUAUAUAAUAUCUAAUACAAGUGAAAGUGGAGCUUAUCAUCUACAAAAGCUAGAUGGAACUCCAUUACUCAGACCAUGGAAUGUGUAUAAUUUAAAAUAGUAUUACCAGUGAAGGAAAGAUACAAAUACAAUAUGGAUAAGUAUGUCUUACUUGCGAAGUUGUAUGCAAAAAGUUAUCCGGACUACAAAGCAUAGAAAGAAAGAGGCAAGUACAAUAUGAAUAAGUAUGUUUUAUUGAUACUUAUGAAUUUUGUAUACAAAGGGUCCUCCGGACUACAAAAUACAACGAGAAGAUAGCAAUACAAAAAUUAUUACAAAAAGAAAAGCUCUCAUUGAGCAGGCUUGCUGCGCAACUUCUCUUCCUCACCCGGAGGAAUCGAAAGGACAUCCCGCUUGAUAUCAUGUUUCUUCAUAUAACAGCGAUAGCUGAAGAAGUACAUGUCGUCUACUUGCUUUUGGUAGUCCGCUUCAAGUUCCUCCCUUUCUGCAGCAAACUCAGCCUCCAACUCUUCUUUUUGCGCUGAUAAACGCAACUGCAAAUCUUCUCUUUGUUUUUUCUCGAUGGAAACCUCCGUCCGGAGUUGCCUCACCUCACCCCUCAGAAGGGUCAUCUCAUUUUCCGCCUCAAGCAGGCGGGCAUCCAUGGAUUCCUCCCGGCUCUUUGCCUCAGCUAGCUCCAUCAGGAGGCCUUCGUUCUCAUCUCGAGCGGCGGAUAAACUGGUCUCAGCCUGCUCCAGUCUCAAACGCAGCUCCUCUUCACUAUUUCUACGCUGAGAGGCGAAGGCCUUCAUAUAAUCAGCGGUCCGCAGCAGGUCAGAGAAGAGAUCAUGUUGUUGGACCAUGCCGCGAAGACCGCUCACCAGCUACAGAAAAACACACAAGCAAGAAGAGCAAAGUUACAAACCAUGCCACAAACACAUCAGUAUGGCAAGAAAAAUCAAGAAGUGAAACUAUACCGUUUCCACCACUUCGAACAUUUUCGCUGAAGGCAUGACAACGUCUGAGCCGGGUGGAAUCCGUUUCAGCUUCUCUUCCAACUCUGCGUAGCUAAAAGCGCUAGCAGAGAUGCAAGCUGCAUCAUCAACUGGAUUCCCCCCUGAUGAAGCAUUGGAGAGUGACUCCUCCUCUGGGUCUGGGGCCCCAUCAGUCUCGGCCGGCUGGGUUGCUCCGAGUGAAUCCCCAUCCGGAACCACCACCGGGGCAGGUGGGUUCUCUGCUGCCAUCUCCGCCUCGCUCUCCUCCGGAUGAUCAUCCUGGACGGACGAGCAGCUGGCUUAGAUGGUUUCCAAGAACCGAUCCUGAAGCCGCCCGAUGAGGCCAGACUUUAGGUCUCGCGCUGGACGCAACCUUCUUCUAGCUGGCCCCUUCACCGGCACAAGGGCAAGGGGGCUUGGCCCGCAAGGAGACAAACUUUGACUCUCUGCCCCCAUUUCCUCCAUUGGGGAUGCCGUCGGAGGCAAUGCUGCAGCACAAGAAGCCUCAGCUGCGUCCCCAUUCGGAUGGGGAGAGCCGAGUUGAUUUAUUGAAGUAGCUUCUUCAACCAAAAGAGCCAGGCGGCCCGCCACUGACAUUGAAGGCCCUGAGUGGUUCAGACCCGUGAGAUGUCCGGGACCGCUUGAAACAGAGGGCGGGACGGGAUGUUCCGGCUCUCUUAUUGUUACUUCCUUCACAUAAGUCGAGGGGGAAUUACCAACUCCUUCGGAGGAGUUGGAGGUUUUAUUUCUUUCCCCUUAUUAUUAAGAACCAGCUUUCUCUUAUUCUUCUCUUUUGCUGGAGCUCCAGCAGGAAGGGAGGGUGCGGAGCGUUUUUUCCUAGGAGCCUUCCGUAGAGUUCCCUCUUUCCUCUUCCCCUCUCGAUCGUCAAGGAGUGCUCGGCGUUUCUGAGCGUCUACCUUUUGCACCUCCUUAUAGAAAGGAAGGUCUUUCAAAAUGUAAUGCUCCCCAGGCACUACCUUUUUUGGCAGCCUCCUAGGGAGAAUAUUGGUGAUAUACGCCUGGGACUCCCGGACAACGGCUAACAGGUUUCGCGCAGUGAGCAGCGUCUCAUGAUGCCUCUUGGCGGUGGAAAUCUCAAAUAACUUGUUCAGCAGGGCGAACGACGCUUUUUCUACCCACUCGACUAUGCGACCCCUCUUGUCCGGACCUGCAUUAUCAAUGAACAAAGAUAUUAAGUCAAAUGAUAACCCUCUCAAGCAGUACAACAAAAUGAAUGCCGGACAAGACCCGCAACCUGACUUACCCGGAAGCACUAACGAACGGUUUGGGGAAAAUGGCCUCUCCGGAUGCUCCAGAAGACCAUCCCAAGCACCCCGGACCAACACAUGUCCCUUGGCUCCUCCCUUCGUUGAAUCCGGUAACUCAGUCACCAGUUGAAGGGAGGGCAGGUGGGCAGCCAUGCUAAAAAUAUCAUUCUUCCUCUUCUUGAGGGAGUAGACAAAAAGAACCUCCAGCAGCGAGAGGUCCAAGUUGAAAAGCAGGCUGAGAACGCUGCAUCCCAUUAGCACCCGGACUAUAUUGGGGUGGAUGUAGGCUGGUGGGAUCUGUGUGAAAUGAAGGAAUUCCUUGAACAGUGACGGGAACGGGAACCGGAGCCCAGCGUUGAACUGCUCCUUUGUAAAAAUGAUGGCAUUGUCUUCAGCUUUCUCAGUAGACACUGCCUCCUCAUCCAUCAGCUCCACGAGCACGCCAUUUGGGAUACAGAAACGUUCGCAGAAUUCCUUUGCACUCAGCUUAUCCACAGAUUUCUCAUGAGCAUCGCUGGACGAGCCAGAUGAGGUAGCUUCCUUAUUCGCAGACAUUUUUUAGCCUAGGGUUGAAAUGGAAUCUGCAUGAAAGAAGACCAACAGUCAAAAACAGCAAUCCAACCCCACAAAAUCUAACCCAAAGCAGAGUCAAUGGCCCACAAAAGACACAGGGGGGCAACAGAAAUCCUAAACACAGUCAAAACCCCCCAAAAAAGCCCUAGCAACCAAAAUACCAAACUUCCAGUCGCAAAGCAACUUGCCCAACAGCAAAACCACAAAAGCAAACACAACGAAGAAAAGCCAAAGGUAAGCGCACGUACCGAGUGUAAACUAGAAAAAUAGAGUUGAAACCGCACUGCAAUCACCGUCACAACGCGAACGUUGCCAGCAGAAAACCCUAGAGCUUCCCUCAAGAACGACGGUAUGCAGAAGGUAGAAGAGAAAGCACUAGCAGAAAAAACGCAGAAGGAAAAAUGCAAAAGGAAGGAACAGUCUGCUAUUUAUAGCGAGACAAGCCUCUCGGUAUUUUAAACGUUCAGCUGCACCAUUAUUCCAACCGACACGCUGCCUGGGAAUACCCAGAGUCGAAGGCUCAUCAUAAAUGUUUUUCUGUCUCUUCGCCCCCGCUCGCCACGUGGUCCAAUCAAGCAAAAAGUAACCUCAGUUUCAAAAGCACCAAUUAUUUUUUAACCCGCCCAUUUUGCUCAGGCAAAAUAGGCAAGUUAAAAAGGGGGCAUUGUAGGGACCCCUCCCCCUAAUGCCACGUGGCACACAUUCCCUGAUGACACGUGGCACGCAUUUCUAUCUGGAUCAGCUUCAUCCGGAUUUCCCCAAGAGUACACGUGGCGCGCUCUCUUAUCCGGACUCCCUCAAGGAGAGGCACACAACACUCACAAACAUAACAUCCGGACGACCGACAUAUCGCAUCCGGACGAUUGACAUAUACUAUCCGGAUAUGUUCAUCCGGAUCUUUGACUGAAGUGAGCAAAUCUUGCACGUCAUCACAACAGCCUGCCAUGGCCCACGUUCCGCCACUUGCAGAGUGAGAUGACAGGAAUGAAGUGAUGGCAAGUCACUUCCCACGAUCUCUGACAACUGCGGCGCCUCCCACGAUCUCUGUCAGCCGCCCUAUGAGUGAUGAUGGCCCUGCCACCACCUAGAGGCAUCAUGACAAGCCAAAAUAUCUCCCUACCAUUAAAGAGGGAAACAAAGCUCCUGAUACGAUAUAUAUAUGAACCUUCACACAAAGAGGAAGGUAAGCUUUCUAUACCUAGUAAAAGGCCAACUGAUUUAUCUCUCUGAACCAUGGCUAACAAAACCAUCGGAGGGUGCGUUCGGACACCCUAUCCGAACGUCUUUUGCAGGAACGACUGAACCAGGAAUCUAUAUUGGUUGAGAUCGUGCAUCCAUCCAUUUGGAAACUACGUGGAUCACUAGGGACGCGAGGCCUCAACAGUUACUGUUUUUGCAUUUGCUGGAUCUUGGCUUCCCGAUGAUUGGUGUGCGCAGCCACCUUUUGGAGAAACGAAGAUGGGUACUUGUAACUUUCCUUCGCUUAAAAGUUUAGGCGAUGACGGAGUCGCUCUGGUCAAUGGGUCGUUUCUCCAGCGAUUCAAUGCCAUCCAUUCAUCACUUGCCAAAAAGGUACUUCAAUUCAACUUAUGCAUAGAUAUAUGAAAAACAAUCUCCAGAAUUCAAAAUGUGGAUGUUGGGGUUGGAUUUUUCAGGUGAAAAAAGUAAUUGCAAAGAAGAAGCAAGUUGUUUUCACCGGCUACUCGUCGGGUGCUCCGGUGGCCAUCCUGGCAACUCUAUACCUCUUGGAGAAGUCAGAGCCCAAUCAGAGUCCACCCCACUGCGUCACUUUCGGAUCCCCCCUCAUCGGUGAUCGGAUCUUCGGUCAUGCUGUCAGGCGGGAGAAAUGGUCCGACCACUUCAUUCAUUUUGUUAUGAGAUACGAUGUGAUCCCUCGGAUUAUGCUUGGCCCUUCAUCCACUGAGCACAAAAAAAUUCUCGAUUUCUUCAAUCCCAGAUCUGAAUCCUUCAGAAAACACACUGAUUCUUCUUUAGGUUUAUAUUCCAGCGUGAUGAGGAAUGCAUCCAUGGUUGCAAACUAUGAUGCCUGCAAUUUCAUGGGAUGCAGAAUCCCGACGCUGGAAACUCUAAGGAACUUCAUUGAGCUCAGCCCUUAUAGACCUUUCGGAACUUACAUCUUCUACAGUGGAAGUGGAAAACUGGUUGUCGUAAGGAACCCGAAUGCAGUACUGCAGAUACUGUUUUACUGUGCUCAGUGGAGCCCAGAAGAAGAUGCAGAGGCUGCAAAAAAAAGGCCUAAAUGAACACUUGGCCUACCAAAAGGAACUACAAAAGAGCUUAGGAAAGCAAAAUGUAGUCUAUCUAGAUCAUCUAGAAGAGCUUCCGGUGUCUUCUGAUGGCAGUCCAGCCACAGUCAACACGACCUUGAAUGACCUCGGCCUGGUGAGCCUUCUUUUUUUCUUCUUACUGCCAAACUACAGAAUUUUAGCUUCCAUAUAUGUAUGUAAAUCUCAGCUGAUGUUCUAGUGUUUUGGAUUGCAGAGCACACAAGCCAUGCUAUGCCUUCAAGCUACAGGAGAGUUGGAGAAGCUAAAGUCAAGAAACCAGGAUAAGAUCAUUAAUGAUUAUAAGCAAAAGAUUGAAGGUGAAUUAAGAAAGCUGAGUAAGUACAAGGAAAAGGCCGAGACUUGCGGACUGGGCUACUAUGAUUCCUUCAAGCUCCAAGAAAAAGAAGAUGGCUUCCAGGCUAAUGUGAGCAGGCUUGUGCUAGCUGGUUACUGGGACGAGAUGAUGGAAAUGUUAAAAGCGUAUAAACUUCCGGAUGAAUUUGAGAAGAGCCAUGACUGUAUACGACUUGGAACAGAUUAUCGCCGCACGGUUGAGCCUCUAGAUAUUGCCAACUUUUAUCGACACGCCAAGGAUGAAGAGACAGGGUUCUACGUGAAAAAGGGGACUCGACCAAAACGAUAUCGAUACAUCCAAAAUUGGCUCGAGCAUGCUGAAAAGAAGCCAUCUGGAUCCCGCUCAGAAUCCUGUUUCUGGGCUGAGGUAGAGGACCUCCGCAUUAAAACUAGAAGCAACGGAUCCUCUCCAGAAAUUAAGCAGAAGGUUCUGCAACUGGGGCAAAAUCUAAUUAAAUGGAUUGAUGAUGAAUCUUUAGGCAAGGAUGUGUUGCUGGAGAAUUCCACCUUUGUUAAAUGGUGGAAACCCCUUCCUCCUGAGUAUAAAUCAGAACCCAAAUCAUCUCGCAUUAUGAAACUCAUCCAUGAGAAAGAUUGAGAGGGUUUCAUGCUGUUAUCUCGAGGCAUUUGUUCAAAGCCAAUAAACCCUGUAAAUAAGCUCUAGCUUUGACUGCUCUCUUGAUAACCGAAAUGUUCUUGAUAAGUCCAUUAUUUACUAGUAAGAUGGUUUUCUUCCUGAGUGUAUGCAAAAUCCUGUUUCCUAUAUUAAUACAUAACGAUCCAUUCUCAAUCGUGUAGAUAAUAUCACUGUGAUACCCCGGGUCUUAGGUCCCACUAUGUGAAAAUCAAGAAUGAAAAUGACUAGAUACCAAGAGGUAAUGCGCAUGAUUUUUUCAUACAAACAAACAAGUAGGUUGUACUUCAACACAGAUGAAGUUUGCGAUUUGAAGUUACAACUAUCUAAUAAUAAAGAUGAUGAGAAGGCAUAUUUCUUAAGAAAAUGGCCAUGAUAGCAUUUAGCAGAGGAUACUAAUACAGAAGAUUGAAAAUGGGCUGGUAAAUUAACGGACAGAUGAACGCUUGAUGUGCAUCCUUGGCCGAUCGAUAUGUAUAUGAAAUUAAAUGCUGUGACAAAGACCUAGUUAGCUCCACAAUGAAAAAAGAAGCCCUUGCCAUAUGACUACAGAGGCCCUGUCACAGACUCACAGUUCAACUACAACCAGUUCCUUCCUAGCUUUCAGAACUUUCCAUAUUUAAAAAAUAUUAAUUUUAUAUUUUAUAGUUGGUAGUUAAAUUCAUAAAAAUAAUAAUUAUAUUUUUCUAUAUUUAAAAUAAUAAUCAAUAAUUAUUUAAUAUUAAUAAUAUUUAAAUUUAUAAAGUGUGGAAUCAAGAAGUUUCUAGGAUAAUACUAAUAAAUGUUGGAUCCGCAUUUUUCACAUGCAUUCCCACUCAACGACGAAACUCAUAUUUAUUUAAGGUGAAAAACUGUAUUUUAUAAGAAACUGGAAUCGCUACUUAUUAUUAUUUUUUAAAAGGGAAAAUAAGGAAAGAUAGGUUUGUAAAAACUGAGUUAGAUUCGGAGGUCAAGUUACCUAUUGGGAAGAUACAGUGGCUAAUCGUAGCACCUUUCUAAGCAUUACAAGUCAGGUCUCUAUUAAUAAAACUAAGACAACUAUGACAAUUGGUUGAUCAAUUUAUGGAUACCUAGCAAGAGUCAAAAUAUACUACGACCAAAGCAUGUAUCAAAAGAUAAUCGAAUGAGUAAAGAAGGAAAGGAGUGUACCUGAGUAAUAAGUCAAAGUGUGCUUCUAUGGAAAACAAGGUUAAUAAAUAAUAUAAGUAUAAAAUAUCUCAUGUCAAUCACAAACAAAAUCAAUCAAUAUUAAUCAAGCAAAGCAAUUAGAGGAAGGAGUGUCAUGGAUGUUGGGCCCAUCAAGGCCCAAUUUAUUUUUACAUGAAUUAAUUCUAUAAAUUCCAUUAUUUUUGGAAUCAUAAAAUUUAUUUAUGCAUUAAAAAUAGAGAAAAUCAAGAAAAACUACAUAAAAAAAAAUGUGAAAUGUGCUUGCCGGGGGGAAAUAUGACAGCAAUGUUUAUAAAAAUCGGGAUUUUAGUGCCUAAAAUAGUCUAAAGAUGAACAUUUAAAAUUGGGUUUAUUUCAGUCGAAAAUAGUUUUGAAAAUUCAAUUUAAAAACCUGUAAAUUCUCACCAAGAUAGGAAAAACACACCAAGAGGAAGGAAGGAUGACUUAAGAAUGGUGCACCAAAGGUGGCAAUGGUGGAGUGGGGCUCGUGGGUAGGCAGGCAUGUGCAUUUCCAUAUCAGAAUCCCUGUGCUGCUGCUCAUUCUCCAGGAGUCUGUAAGUCGCUUCACCCCUAUUCCCAUGCAGCAGAAGAGUGCUUCAAUUGUCUGGUUUUGCAGCUCUCACCCUUGUGUUUACUCCAAUUCAAGAUUAUCCCCCUGCAUCCCAAUCUCUCUCUAUGCUGACUCAAGCCGAGCUUGCAGAAUCCCAGUCGCAGAAUCAUUCCUUUUGAGCUCACAAAAUUAACCUGGUAAUCUCUUCUUCCCAGAACUCUAGUUUUUUAUUGUACUCAGUGGUCUUCCUAAGCAAUUCCUCAUAGCUAGCAUCAGUUCCCACCUUUGGGAUGCAAUCUGCGCUCCAUUAGAGCCCCAUCUUCUCCCAUAGAACUCGCCCAGGUUACCAAAUUCAUUCCUGCCAUAGCUGAGUCCUCCAUUAGGCAGCAACAAAUACAACACUUUAAAUGGAUUAGUUUCCAGAUCAAAUUGGAGGACAUACAGAAUGCUGUCAUCUAUGGGCAGCUUUUCGAGUUCAAGAGAAUUUUAAUGGCCACGUGAUAAGGGAUCUUAGUGACAGUCAACAUUCAGCUAAGCAGAAAUCUGGAGAGGCUAUAGUAGUGAUCAGCAUUGUCGCCCAUCCGUACAUUCACCUUGACAAAAUUGUAUUUGGAGGAAACAUUCUGAAUGGAGAAUCAAAUGGUUGGGAGAGAGGAAUCAGAGAUGUCUUCUUCUGGGGUGUCAGGGUUUGGACAAGUUGUGUGAAGACUGCCAGGUACUGAGGAUACCAAGGCUGGGAACAAGAACUGGUCACAUGUACACGGAGAUGGCCAUGCAUGUGGAUUGCAUGCACAUGGGAAAGAUGGUGCAAUAGACUUCGCUAAAUUCAAGCUUCUUGGAUAGCUUGCAACUUCAUCCAGAUAAAAGAUGCUUUCUGCUUCACAUAGAUGUAACAAAAUUGAUGGGGAGAAGAGAGUUGACCACUUCAUCUCCAUUAACGUCACUCUCAAUAUCAGGAGGAAUUUCUUCUCUUGUUAACGAGGAAUCUGAUCUCUUCAAAGACUGUGGUGGCUCUGUUGAAGCCAUUCUUAAAUUGUACAAUGCUCAGACUCCUUCAAGUUGGUCACGGCCUCCAAUACUAGAUUCCCCAGCCUUACGAUGUACCCUCUUUGAACCAGUAAUCUGCUCAGGGUUGCCAGGGAAGGCAAGGGCCUUAGCAUCGACAGUUUGAUCAUCACUUUGAACUAUUGCGCUGAGAGGCGGAGAAUUCUCCUGGUUUAGGGCUUGUUGGCACCCUUCUGUGGGCCAAUCUAGACUCCUCUCUUGAGCCCCAUCCAUUUUCCAUCACAUUCAUGUUCCUUCAUUGCCCAUCAACAAUAAAUCUGUACUGAUAAAUACCCGAGGGGAGCAUUUUCAUAAUGGUGGACUAUUUCCUCAUCUCUGCAAGGGUUUUCUUAUCUUCCAAUUAUCCCAUAAUUCCUCCGCAGCUACUUCCUUGCUAUCAUAGCUCCAUGUAAUCAUAGUUGGAAUUCCUUGCUCACUGCACACCACCUGACCUUGGCCACUCAUUUCCAAGUCUCAAAACUCUGCCUUUCUCACCCUCUUUUACUACCUUUGAGGCUUUGCUGCAAAAGAUCAAAACUGUAGGCUACCUCAUGCAAUGGCACACACCACCCUUUCUCAGAUUCCCUUAUUAGCUUGUGGAGAAAUUUAUUAAAUUUCACAUCAAAGGCAAGAAAAUUGGAAGGGGACAAUGAACCGCAGAUGGAUGAGAGAAUAAUGGCCUUGUCGUUGCAUGUUCAUGAGCAGCAUGAACUGUAUCCUUCAUUUCAGGAACUGAGGCCCUAUGACCUCCAGACCUGAAGGCUCAAUGAAUAGUCAAAGAUUUGACUUCCUGUAGGCUUGCCACAUCCUGAACAGACCUGAAUUUUCUCUUCUUCCGGGCCUUUUCUCAGAAGGUGGUUCCUUAGCUGUCUUGUAUGUCAGAGGCAAAUUGAUGCCUUGGAUUAAAAGAGUCUGAUGACAGAGUACUAAGAUGCUCCUGAUUGAAACGGAACACUUUCAUAGCAGCAUAUUCAAACUACCACAGAAUUGAGCAUCAGGAUGAAUUAAGCCACUUUACUUCAUCAACUUUUUGCACUUUCCAACAGUGCAGGACCAUUUUCCUUGCCAUUGCUGAAAGACUGUUGAUGAGCGCAAUGAUCAUUGAAUUACUGGUGGAUUUUCAUUGUGGGAAACCUAAGCUGAUUAAGCAACAAACCCAAACUUUGACUAGCUUGAAUUGAUAGAUCUCCAACAUUGGAUACAGGAUGACCUCUUAGGAGCUAAAGAUAUAUUAAAUUCCACAAGCUUUCCUUCAGAGGGCUGAUCAAGAGGUGUAUCUAAACCUUAUUUGGCAUGACCAACAAGCUGUCACUUUCACACGCAUAUUCUAAGCAUCUUCCCAGAGGCUUAACAGAAAAGGGAUCUUCAGGUUUACAGAGGAGGGAAAGGAAACCCUGCUUUGCAUUCGGAAAAGUUUUGUUGCUGUUGACAUCUUCACCAUUCUGAGUACUUGGGACUGUUGGUGCAGGUGUGGAGCAACCAGAAAAGUUGUUACUCAGACCCAAUAUUCUCAAUAGCACUGCUUAAAUUUGCCAGGCUCGAGAACAAAAAUGAGAGGUAGCUAGUUCUUUUGAUGCUUCCCUGCUAAAUUUGCCAGGCUCGAGAAUAAAAAUGAGAGGUAGCUAGUUCUUUUGAUGCUUCCCUGCUUGAAUUUGGAGUAUUUGAACCGGCAACAACUCUAUCAAUCCCAAGGGUAGAGAUCAGCUUCUCAAUUAUAGUGACUUGUGACUCCCAGAUCAGUGGAGAUCCAUCUUCAUGACCAGAGAUUGACCAUGACUCCACCUCAUGAAUGAUGAAUUCCUAGAGCCUCAUCUGUUUGAUGAAGGUGAAGUUUGAUUAGUAGGAGUUUUGAGUACUAUUUGAUAGUCUCUCUUCAUGCUGUGGGGGGUUCACUACAGGUUGAUGAUCAUCAUGAGAUGAGCUCGACAUGCUCACUCCUUAUUGGAUUUAUACUCCGAUACUGAUGUAGCCUUCAAACUCCACAAAUAAGCUAUACUUGAACCGAAGACUAAGGAUGACUAAACCAUCACCUCCAUCCUAACUAUGCUGGCGUUCAAAUACUACAAAAUGAUAUUUCAAUGGUCCUGCUUUCAAACCGCAAUUCCACACCUGAAGACGUUUCUCACCGAACCAAAGGCAACGGUGGUAUUGGCAUUAUUGGACAUACAAAUGCUCUGCAUGGACCCCAAACCACCAUGGUACUUCAAUGUCAAGGCCCAUGGCCAUUUCUGUUGUCCAUGAAAAUAAUCUUGAAGGGCUAUACAACUUUUAGCAACUCUUUAAAGGAUGCAAUGUGUCUGGAAGAUUGAAUUGAAGAUGAAUGACAUUUGUAGAAUCAACAGAUGAGGUUGCAUUUCUAGAGCCUCUUUCUGGAGGCCUUUCUCCAAGAAUUUUUCCAUGGCUCUCUGUUGUCAUCUUCUGCACAAUAGGAGAUGAUUUCACAUCCUACAGCCACUUGCUCCUGUUAUUAUGCUUCUGUCACCCCUCUCACAGUUUUCUUGCAAGAUACAAAUAACUCUCUCCACUGGGGUCACGAAUCUGUGGCAAUGAGCCAAAACACAGCCCUCUCUUCUCAAGCGUAGAUCAGAACACAAAACCAAUUGUCCAUAGCAAAUCGAAAUAUGUGAGCCAGAAACAGGAUAUGGAUUGAGAUACUGGAAAUAGAGAAGUGAACAAAACAAGAUACAACAUACCCAGAACAAAAUAAACAAGUAAGCAAAACAUUAAAUGGGAUCCCUUUUCAUGUUGAAAUCAAUGGGUUCAUAGAGCAGUGGUGCAGUAGGAAAGUUCAACACAAAUAUCAAAAUGAGGUCAUCAACAAACUCCUACUGUAAGAGUGAGCCAUAUUCAGAUUAAAAAAUACGAAAGAAGAGCGGUACAACAUCACAUCCAUACCAAAAAUAAUAGAUUUUCUCUAAUUAUCUAAUUAGACAGCUCACGCCAACACUCCCCCUCAAGUUGGAGCCUAGAUAUCUCUUAUGCCCAACUUGUCAAGUGAGUUGUAGUAGUUCCUUGCAGACACUGCUUUUGUGAGUAUAUCAGCCAACUGGUCUUUUGAUUUAACAAAUGGAAGCUGAAUAAUCUUUUCUUCAAGGUUCUGUUUGAUGAAGUUUCGAUCCACCUCAACGUGCUUAGUGCGAUCAUGUUGGAUUGGAUUGUGGGAGAUAGCAAUGGCUGCCUUGUUAUCACAGAACAGGUUCAUUUCAUAGCUGAGAGCAACACCGAUCUCAACUAGCAGCUUUUUAAGCCAAAGAAGCUCACAUAUUCCUUUGACCAUUCCCCGAAAUUCAACUUCAGCACUAGACAAUGUAAUUACCUUUUGUUUCUUGCUCCUCCAUGUAACCAGGUUGCCUCCCACAAAAGUAAAGUACCCUGAAGUAAAUUUCCUAUCUGUGAUGUUCCCUACCUAGUGAGCAUCUGUGUAGCCAACAACAUUCAAAUGACCAUUCUUUGAGAACAUAAGUCCUUUCCCAAGAGAGGACUUCAAAUAACGAAGGAUCCGCAUUACGGAAUCCAUAUGGUCUUCACUCGGGCAAUGCAUGAACUGACUCACUACACUCACAGCAUAACCAAUAUCUAGUCGAGUAUGAGAUAAAUAGAUGAGUUUACCCACUAACCAUUGAUACCUCUAUUUGUCCGCUGGCACCUGGUCUACAUAUUCUCCAAGUUUAUGAUUCUGGACAAUUAGAAUAUCAACAGGCUUGCACCCUAGUAAUCCUACAUCUGCCAGCAAGUCUAGUAUAUAUUUCCUUUAGGAAAGAAAUAUGUCUUGUCUUGACCUUGCUACUUCAAUGCCUAAAAAAUACUUAAGCCCUCAUAAGUUUUUCAUUUCAAACUCAGUUGACAAUUGCUCUUGAAGCUUAGAGAUUUCUUCUACGUCAUCCCCUGUGAUGAUCAUGUCGUCUACAUAGACUAUGAGGGCUGUUAUUUUUCCCACUUGAUGUUUUAGGAAGAGUGUAUGAUCAGAAUUGCUUUGUUGAAAACCAUAUUUCCUCAUUGUCGAACUAAACCUGCCAAACCAUGCUCGAGGUGAUUGCUUUAGUCCAUACAAUGCCCGUUGUAAACUACAUGCGAUCUUUGCCUCUGAGGUAGCAGUAUAACCUGGUGGAAGAUCCAUGUAAAUUUCCUUUUCAAGAUCACCAUGGAGGAAGGCAUUUUUCACGUCCAGUUGGUGCAAUGGCCAAUCUAAGUUUGCUGCAAGAGAUAAUAGAACUCUAACAGUUUUUAGUUUGGCUACAGGUGAGAAAGUUUCCUGAUAAUCUAUACCAUAUUUCUGUGUACAACCCUUUGCUACCAACCUUGCCUUGUAUUGAUCAAUAGACCCAUCUGCUUUGUAUUUAAUAGAGAAAAUCCACUUGCACCCCACCGUCUUCCUUCUUUCAGGCAAUACACUCAAAACCCAUGUGUUAUUUUUCUGCAACACCUCCAAUUCCUCUUUUAUAGCUUGAGCCCAUUUCGAAUCUGAUAAAACUUCUUCAACACUACUCGGAAUUUGACAUGAGGAGAGUGUAUGUGCAAAUGCCCUAAGAGGUUCAGAUAAUCUUUGAGUGGACACAUAAUUGGCUAUUGGAUACUUGGAUCGUCGUUCUUCUAUGUCUGGGGAGUAUCAAUUUGGUGGCUUGCCUCGAUUGUGUCUGAAAGGUAGAACGUAACCCGUAGAUGUAUCUAUAGCAUUAGUUUGUAAAGGUGUGAUAGAAAAGCUUACCUCAGGGAUAUUCUCAGAAGGAUGGUCGUUGGGUACUAAAGAGUGAAGGGAUUCAUCAGAUUCUGCAUCUUCCGAUGAUUCAGGUACAAGUUCAACUUCAAUUCUUGGAGGUUCAACCAUGUCGUUGCCAUCAUUCGGAUGUGCUAGAUUGUCACCAACGUCCAGCAUUUCAACAUCCAACCAAUUUCUUUCUUCACCAUGGAUCUCUCCCUGAAGAGGAGAAUUGGAUACCAGUGAUGGGAAUUUUUUUUCAGAUUCUAGGAAGGUGACAUCCAUGGUGAUGUAGGUUCUUUUAGCAAUGGGAUCGUAGCAUUUUUUGUACUCCAUACCCCAAAAAUAGACACCAGACAGCACAUGGAUCCAACUUAGUUCAUUGAUUCUUAUGGAUGUGAACAAAAACAACACAACCAAAAAUUCGAGGAGGAAUCAUCAAAACAUUAGGUAAUGAGACAUGAUCGGAAAGCACCUUAACCAGAGUCUGAAAUUGUAAGACUUUGGUUGGCAUACGGUUCAGUAGAUGCACGGCUGUGGCAACAGCAUCACUCCAGUAUCUAUUCGGCACAUGUGCAUUGAUCAAUAGAGCACGGGUAGUUUCUAAGAUAUGUCUAUUCUUCCUUUCAGCAGUACCAUUCUGUUUGGGGUUUGAGAACAUGAGGUUCAUGGAGAAUACCAUGACUGUUGAAGUGUGUCUAGAAUUGUUGGUUAACAUACUCCCCUCCAUUGUUAGAACGAAGGAUCUUAAUUUUUGCAGAAAAUUGUGUUUGAACCAUGGUAUGAAAUGAUUGGAAAACAACAAAUACUUCAUCUUUGUGUUUUAGGAGGUAAAUUCAUAUCAUUCUUGUACAGUCAUCAACAAAAAUUGCAAACCAACGGUGACCAGAAGACGUAGUAACUGGGGAAGGUCCCCAUACAUCAGAAUGGAUUAAAUCAAAAGGAAUCAUACUUUUAUUCAUACUCAAGGGAUAAGAAGCUCUAUGACUUUUGGCUAAGAUACAAGUAUCGCAUUUAAAAUUUAAGUGUGAUACUUUGGAAAAUAAACCAGGUAGUAAGUGCUUCAAAUACCCAAAAGAUGGAUGCCCAAGUCGAUGGUGCCAUAACCAAAUAUGUCUUUUCUUGUUACUAACUGUGUGGUGCAUGUGAUUUGCUCUUCCCGAACUGAAGUCAUCAACGUAGUAUAAUCCCCCCCUCUUAGUACCACGCCCAAUUAUCUCCUUGGUAAGAAUAUCCUGAAGAAGGUAAAAAGUAUAAUACAUUACUACCACACAAUUAAGAUCCGUAGUAACUUGACUCACAGACAUCAGUCUAUUUGAAAGAGAAGGUACAAGUAAUGUAUUAGAUAAUGAAAGGGAAGGAGAUAACGUCACUGUUCCCACCCCUGUAAUCGGAUAAGCGACCCCAUUGGCAUUUUUAACACAACUCCGUCUCGAUUGAGUUGCAUUAGAAAAAUCAUUUGAAUAAAAUGUCAUGUGGUAUGUAGCACCAGAGUUGAGAAUCCAGUCAUCAUCAUUAUUGUGAGUAGAGAUAUGAAGUGUCUUACCAGAAGUACCAGAAGUACUUGGAUCAUGUGAAGAUUCUACUUGAGGGAUGAGGGAUAAUGAAGGAUCACAAGUAACCACGACAGCUCUCCCAGUGUGGUCAUCAUUAGCAAAGGUUUCACGUUUUUUUCGUGCUUGAAAGUCGUUCCACCAAUCUGGAUACCCAUGUAGUUUGAAGCAGGUGUCACGGGUAUGUUUGGAGUUGCCACAAUGUGUACACUUCAUGCCAUCAGAUGGUGGUUUGGUUUUGGAUUUUCCCCUGCUUAGAGAAAGAGCCCCUGGUUUCGGUGUUGUCUGGUAGUGACUUCCCUUGAUCCCUUUGGAUAUCAUAACUCCUCCAGGAGUGGUAUCUGUACCUGAGAUCAUCACAAUCUGCCUGACAUCUUCCUUACGAACAAAAGCGUAGGCCUGUUCCACUGUAGGGAAUGGUUUUAAUUGGAGCACAUCACUCCGAGUUUUAUCUAGUCUGUCAUCUAGUCCAUCAAGGAAAGUAUAAACCCGAUCUUCUUGUAGAAUCGAGUUGUAUUUCUGUAUGUCAAUAGCACACUCCAUCGGGUUAGGACGACGAAAAUCGAUUUCUUGCCACAACCCUUGAAGAUCGUUGUAGUAUUUUUCAAUGGAUCCACCCCCCUGCUUCAUACGAGUAACACGACGCCGGAGAUCAUAGACUUGAGAUGAUACUGUCCCAUCAAAAUAGGUUGUAGCAGCAGAAUCCCAAACCUGUUUUGUAGUUGGGAAGCGGAUAAAGUUGGCAAUCAAGGAAGGGUCCAUUGAAUUGAUCAACCAUCCCUUGACAAUGGCAUUUUCGGUUCGCCAUAUCCUGAGUGAAGGAUCGGUUUUUGGAGGUUGAGGGGAAUCUCCAUUAAUAUAUCCUAACUUGUCCUUGCCAGAGAUAUACAUCUCGACAACCUGGGACCAUAAGGCAUAGUUGGAUCCUUCCAACUUGAUACCGAUCGGAGCAGUUGAGGAAUCGGCAAGCAGAGGUUGAGGGGAAGUUUGGGCUCGAGUCAAGACUUCCGUCAUUUUUGUCGUCAGAUCGUUAAGGAUGGAGUUGGUAUGGGGAAUGAGAGAUUGUGUUAGGUCUCCGGAUUCCACCAUGGAUUCUAUUGGGUCUGGGUUCUUUCCUGGUCAAGCGACGCCGUAAAAUGACCACGUCGGCAAUGGCGCAAGCCUGUCAGUUGGAAAAUCCGUCGGGGUCGUCUCCGACGAACUCUGGAGAGGAUCUGGGGUCGACUUCGACUUCGUCUCCCAAGUCUGUGGAGACUACGACGAAGGUGCAGUUUGCUGGAAGGUUUUUUUCUUCUUUUUUUAUUUGAGUUGAAUACCAUCAUAUAUAGAUACAGAGCAAAGGAAUUUUAGGAACCUAUUCUAGCCUAUACACAGGUUGUGGUAGAAAUUGUAGAUCACGUUUGAAGUAUGGAAUUUACAUUAAUAGAUUUUCUCUAAUUAUCUAAUUAGACAGCUCACUCCAACAAAAACAAUUUAACAAUGCCUAGAAAAUUAGAAAUAACCAGAGAGAAUGAAAAAAAAAACAGAGUGAUAAGUGAAAAUGAGCAAAGAAGCUACAAAAAACGUACCUGAAAAUGCUCCCUCCAACGAGAAUAGUUGGGCUUCAAGCUGCUUUGUUUCUUCUUUCAAACCUCCAGAAAACCACAACAAAAUCAACUUCCCUUUCUCUCCCUUGCUCCUAAUCACCCUGCCUAGAAUCCUCUCUGCUCCCUGUUUUCUCUCUAACCCCCAAUUCCGAAGAAUCCCACCAUCACUCCAACCAACCUCUUAGCAAUUCCCCCUGUUUCCACUCUUUCCAUUUCUGUUUUUCCCCUGUCUCCACUCUCCCCCGACCCACACUCUCAGAUACUUUCCUGCUCAAGACUCCUACUUCUCUCUAAAAAAACGACCCGCCCAAAACUUUGCCACAUGUCGCUCUCACUGGCUCCCUUUUCUCUCUUAGUAAGUAACUCACCAAAAAGACAAAAAUUCACGCUCCACCAUUUUGCAGAUCCUCCUUGCCCACCUAGUUUGCCACGACUCCAAAAUAGAGCUUAAGUCCAAAAUAAUCUGUUGGUAGAAAAAAAUGGUAAGAAUAGUAGUCAUCUCAAAAUAUUUGUCAAAGUAGUAUUUUCUAUCCACGUAAUCAUUCAUGCGAGUUUUUUUAGUGUAAAAAACCACCGUUACUAACUGUGAUUUUAAAAGUUUCAGAAAUAUCUUUAAAACCACAGUCACAGAAUGUGGUUUUACAAUUUUCCUCGUUAGUAACUGUGGUUUCAUAAUAUUUUUAAACCGCCCCUGUUUCAAUGGUAUUAUGAUUUUAAUAUUAUUUUUUAAAAUAUUUUUUAUCAUAAUAACCAUAAAACCACAGUUAGUAACUGCAAUUUUAAAAAUAUUCUGAAAACCAUGAUCAGACCAUGGUUUUACAAUUUUCUUUAGAACCACAGUUACUAAUUGUGGUUUCACAAAUAUCUUUAAUGAGAACUCGUGUAACCAUACAUCAACUAAAAAAAUAUAUGGGAUUUUAGAACUUUGCUUUUUUCUUUUUAGUUUUAGUGUAAAAUGGGAAAAAAAUAUUGUUUAUUCAUGCAUUUCGAUAGUACUUUCAAAUCAUUUCACAAUUACCCUCAUAAGUGAUAUAAGAUUAUAAAACUUUGUUUUUUUAUUUUUAAUUUUAGUGUAAAUAGGAAAAAAUAUUGCUUAUUCAUGCAUUCCAAUACUGCUUUUAAAUUGAUUGUGAAUCUAUUUUUUUUUUUGGUUAAAAUCUUUAAUUUUUAAUUAAAAUAAAAUAUAUUUUUCAUUAAAAAAAAUGUAAUUAACCUUUUAUAUUAAUUUCAUAAAAAAUAGGUACACCCUUAAAAAAAAUAGGUAUAUUCAUGCUUAGGGGAACCGGAACCACUAUCAUACUUAUCAUGGUGUAUAUUCCUUUGGGACCCUCGAUAAGUAAUCAGAGGUCCUUGCCCACCCCAAAACAAACUUUGGAAUCCUAGGUAUAUCAUUUCUUAGAGGAACCAAGACCCCUAUUUCCAUUAUCAUGGUUCAUAUAUUCCUUUGGGGACCUUUGAGAAUGAAUUGGAGGUUGUUCCCCACCUUAGAAUGGACAUUGGAACCCAAGGAACAUCCUAAAGAUAAUUUGGUACAUCAUUUACAAAAAUUGGUACAUCUUUCACAAAAUUUGACACAUCCUUAAAACAAUGUGGUACAUCCAAUCCACGAGCCACCAAGACCUCUAUAUUAUUACCCAUGGUUCGUUUAUUUCUUUAGGGAUCUUUAGGAAGUAAUCAAAGGUCAUUCCCUACUCUGAAACUAACUUUGGAACCCUAGGUACAUCCUUAAGGAAAUUUGGUACAUCAUUAAGAAAAUUUGAUAUAUCUAAUCCUUGAACUAACGAGACACAUAUCUUUCUUCCCAUUGUCUAUUUAUUCUUUUAGACAACCUUAGGAAGUGAUUAGAGGUCGUUCCCCAAUUUGGAACAAACUUUGGCCCCCUUGGUACAUCCUUUACAAAAUUUGGUAAAUAUUUUAUAAAAUUUGGUACAUUCUUCACAAAAUUUGGUACAUCCUUAAAAAAAAUUGGUACAUCUAAUCCUUGAACUACUAGGACCCCUAUCUUAUUACCUAUGGUCUGUUUAUUUCUUUAAAUAUCUUUGGAAAGUAAUUGAAGGUCGUUCACUACUCCGAAAUGGACUUUGGAACCAUAGGUACAUCCUUGAGAAAAUUUGAUACAUCCAUUACUUGAACUAACAAGACACCUAUCUCUCUUUCCAUGGUUCAUUUCUUCCUUUAGAGACUCUCGGAAAGUGAUUAGAGGUCGUUCCCCACCUCGGAACUGACUUUGGCAACCUUGGUACAUCCUUUAUAAAAUUUGAUACAUCUUUUACAAAAUUUGAUACGUCCUUCACAAAAUUUGGUACAUCCUUCAAAUAAUUUGGUACAUCCAAUCCUUAAGUUACUAGGACCCCUAUCUUAUUACCCAUUGUCCAUUUAUUCCUUUAGGGAUCUUUGGAAAAUGAUUGAAGGUCGUUCCCUACUCCGAAAUGAACUUUGGAACCCUAGGUACAUCCUUGAAAAAAUUUGAUACAUCCAAUCCUUGAGCUAUUGGAAUCCCUAUCUUAUUACCCAUAGUCCAUUUAAUCCUGUAGGAAUCUUUGGGAAGCAAUUGGAUGCACCAAAAUUUCUUAACGAUGUACCAAAUUUCCUUAAGGAUGUACUUAGGGUUCCAAAGUUCGUUUCUGAGUAAGGAAAAUUUCUUACAAUUUUCCAUUGUCAGUUUUAAAUUAUUAUUUUUUUACAAAUCAUCCUUAACAAAUUUUUUUUUUACGACUGUUUUAAAAUUAUAUUUUUUUUUCAUAUUUUCCUUGAAAUUUUGAGAAAAUAAUUUUACCGACAUGCAUUCCCAUAAAAUUUUUAUAUAUUUAUGGUAAAUAAAAUAUUUAUUUGUUUUAUGAAUUUUAUCACAUAUGAAUUAAAGAAAAUUGUUUUUUCAUAUUAUUUUUAAAUUUUAAAGAAUAUUUUUUAUAAAGAAUAUUUCAAAAAUAAUAUUAUGAUAAAGAAUAUUUUUAAAAUAAUAUUAAAAUUACAAUACCAUUGAAACAGGGGGUGGUUUAAAAAUAUUUUUGAAACCACAGUUGCUAAUUGUGGUUUUAAAGAAAAUUGUAAAACCAUAGUAAUAGACUGUAGUUUUAAGGAUAUUUUUGAAAAUUUUGAAACUACAGUCAUCAACGAUGGUUUUUUACACUAAAAAAAAAACUCACGUGGAUGAUUACGUGGAUAGAAAAUACUACUUUGACAAAUAUUUUGAGAUGGGUACUAUUCUUACCAUUUUUUUUCUACAAACAGAUUAUUUUGGACUUAAACUCUCCAAAACAUGCUCCCGCAAAAAGAAAAUCUGAUUUUUUUUUUCUCCUAAAAGAAAGAUACCCAAAAACAUGCUAUUUCCCGCCAGCUACCCAUGAAAGGAUACAUCUCAAAAGAGCCCUCCCAAAAUGGGGGUCUAUAAUAUGUUAUAUCAUUUAAAAUUAAGGAUUAAUUGAUUAAAAAGAUGAAAACAUUCCAAAAUACCCUUCAACAUUUUCAUUAUUUACAUGUGUAUUUUAAAAGAAAUGGUUACUUUUACAAAAUAAAUAAAUAAAUAAAAAAUGAUGAGGGCAUUUUUAUCAAAAAUGAGUAUUUUUUAGAUUGAAAAAAUGUGAAGGGUUAAUUUUCCAAAAUGUCCCUAUCCUUAAAAUUAAUGCUCAUUGGCUUAUAAGGGACCUGACCUCAUCCAUUGAUCUAAGCUUAUUUUUGCCCCGUAUUUAACACCUGGUUUUUAAAAAGGUUAUUGUGGACCCGAUGUUUUCGCUUGAUGCAUUCCCACUCGAUGGUGAAACUCGUUUUUUUUAUUUUUUUUAUUUGUGAAAAUUUGAUUUUUAGAAAAAAAACUUGGAGUCGCCACUUAUUUUUGAAAGGAAAAAGCAAUAAUAAAAAAGAAAAACCCUAAAUGUGACUCUGAAGGAAAAAACAAGUCUACGAAAAACCGAGUCUGGGUUCAGGGGUCAGGUUACUUAUUGGGAAGGUAUAGUGGUGAGUCGUAACACCCCUCUAAGGCCGUAUACGUACGACCUCUACUAAAUGAAUUAAGGGAAUUAUGGCAAUUAACUAAUUAAUUAUGGAUACCAAGAAAAAUAAUCAUACAAAUGAAUCUGUACAAGUCAUGGUGAAAAUCAAUAUACACAAAAAUAAUAAUGAAAUCUAAUUACAAGAAUACACAAAAUAAAUGAUAAGAGAAUUAUGUAAAAUAAUUUAUUGAACUAAAUGAAAAAAAAUGGUAUUAAAAAAAAUGGCUUUCAAGAAAUUUCAAAAGGAUUUUAUUAAAAACAAUUUUGAAUGAGUGAUUUCAAUUUAUUUAUUUGCAAAAUAUUUUCUUCAAGUGAUUUGGUUCAAUUUCAUUUGUAUUUAAUUUUCAAAAAAAGGUUAUUUAUACUUAUUAUAUCAAAUAUAAUUUAUUACAAAAUUUCAAUUUGGCAACAAAAAUUACUUUACAAAAAAAAAAAAAAAAUUUUACAAGUUUGUUUGCAAAAGUAUUUCAAGUUUUUUCAUUUAAGAAGAGUGAUUUAUACAAAUUAUUUAAAAAUGCAUAACUUCAUGUGCAAAAAGAAUUUUAAUUAAAAAGAAAAAAAAUAUUUAAAUAAUCUAUUUCUAAAAAAAAUACUUUUAAUUCCAUUUUAAUUAAGGAAAAAGAAUUCAUUUAAAAAAACAUUUUUUGGACAAUUUUAUUAAAAAUAAAUUUUUGGGGCAACUUUAUUUACAAAAAAAAAUUUGGACAAUUUUUAUUAAAUAAAGAAAUUUUUGGACAAUUUUAUUAAAAACAAAUUUUCAAAUUCUAUAAAAAAAAAUUCUUUUGGAUUUUUAUAAAAGCAUUUUUCUGAAUUUUUAUAAAUAAAAAAAACUUUCUUUUGUUAAAAAAAAAUAUUUUAAAAUUAUUAUUUUAUUAAAAUAUAUUUAUUGAAUUCUUCCUCUCAUUUAAACAAAAUUUCUAGUUUGUUCGAUAUUCAAUUCUGUACACACUCAAUAAAUAUAUACAAGCAAAUAUCUACAAGAACUAAUAAAAAUAAAAUCAAAUAAAAGUGGAAAAUAAAAUAUGUACCCAAAUAAACUUAUAACAAAUUCAAUGUCUUCCUACGACUUUUUUAUUAUCACUUUCUUUCAUGAAAUUUUGUGUUCCACGUGUCAUAAAUUCAUACUCAACUAACAAGAUUGUAGAAUAAGUCAAUGCAAAAACAAAAAUAACUCAUAUGUAAAUAUCCAAAAAUAUGUAGGGUUCAAAUAAUAAUUCAAGCCCAAAUUCAAACUUUAAAUUAGCCCAAUAAAUUUUAACAAUUAAAAAUGUGUCCAAAUUAACAAAUAUAACCCAAUAAAAAUAUCUCACAUAUCAUAAACCCUAACAUAAAGUUUUCAAAUUAAUAGCCAAAACAUAAGCUCAAUUAAUCAAACCCAAUAAAUUAGGAUAAAUCUCAUUAGGCCUAAAUUUAAUAUUUCAUAAUCCAAACCUAAUUUAAUAUACACCACAAUUGUCUCAUGCCCAAAUUAAAUAGUUCAAAUUAGUCAAACUCAUAUAAAAUAUUAAAGUCAUCCAACAAAUCUCACCCACAUUAUGGGUCCAAAAUUCAUAUAAGUUAACAAGCCCACAUCAAUAAUAUACAUGGCCAAAUGAAAUAAUAUUUCAAGCCCAAACAAAUAACCAAUUAACAAUAGGAUCAAGUCCAAAUAAACAAUAUAUAAUUGAUAUAAUCCAAAUAUCUCAAAUUAAUCACCAAAUACAAUAUAACCACAAACCCAAAUUAAAAAAUUUUAAAUUAAUUCACCAAUAAUAAAUUAGCUCAAAUUUCAUAUUAAUUUACCAACAACAAGUUAACCAAAAUUUCAUAUUAAUUCAACAAUCCUAAUUUCACAAACAACAAUUACUAUUAAAAUCAAAUCAAGAAAAAUAAUAAUAAUAAUAAUAAUAAUAAUAAUGGAAAAUGAGUGGGAUGGGACAACAAGGGAAUGAGAGAAAAUGGGAGGGGGUCGCCGGCUGGUAGUGACUCGCCGGUGGCGACUACAAGGGGCUCACCGGCGGUAGUGAGAGAUUGGGUAUGGUGAGAGGGGAGUAGAAAAUAAUAAUAAUAAUAUAAUAAAAUAAAAUAAAAUAAAAAAGAAAUGAAAGAAAAGAAAAUAAGAAGAAAUCAAAAGAAGAGUGUUCGGAUGGAGAGAAAGGGAGGGAAAAUGUGGGAAAGAAAAAAAAAAUGGGGGCUAGUCACCGCAUUUAGGAGUUAGAAGAAAAAAAUGAAAAAAAUGAAGAGGGGAAAUGGGGAGGAUGAUUGAGAAAAAUAUAAUAUAAUAUAAUAAUAAUAAUAAUAACAAAUAAAAAUAAAAUAAUAAAAACUAAGAAUUAAAUGGUGAGUGGACCAAAAAACACAUGUAAUCGGGAUUUAAAAUUUAUUGACAAAAUUGAGCUCAAAAUUAAUGUAAAAAUAAAAUUAGAACAAAUUUUGGGGUCAUAGUUAUAUUUGAUUAAAAUGAUUAUUGAAAACUCAAUUUUAGAAAUUUAACAUUUCAUCAUUUUUUAUUAUCUCAUUUUAACAAAAAUGUUCUUAUUCUUUUCAUGUAAAAAUAACUUUUUAUUUUAAAACCUACAUGUAAACACUUGAAAUGAUAAAAAAACUAUUUACAUCAAAAGCGGGAUACUCUUCAAACAAAAAUACAAGAAGGUUUAAAUUCACAAAUAUGAGGAUUAUUUCACCAUUUUUAACUAAUUAAUUUUUUUUCAAAUUGGCAAAAUGUGAAGCUAGCACGAUUAACAUUAGUAAAGUAUCUAAUUGCUAAAGAGAAUGGUAGGAUUUAUUGACCUAACUCAAUUUAAUAUAUGUUAAAAUGGUGACAUUUUCUAAUUAUAGGCAUAAAAAAAUUAGGAGAAUGACAAAACUUAGUUAUUUUUCUCAAAAAUGACAUUAAAAAAAAAAAAAAAACAAGGUCCUAAUAUAGUCUUAUAAACUACAAAAGAAAGAAAUUUGAACUGUUGUACACCAAGGCCUAGCCUUGCAUGACAAAUAAAUUGGCAACAAAGGAUUAUGGUUUUGGAAAAAAUGAAAAGAAGGAAAGGAUAAAACAUGGAUUAUUUAUUUACUAAAAACCGGAGUCAAGAGGUGGAAGGAAAUCAUGUUUAUGAGAGUUAUCGCCAUGAUUGGACUUGAGCUUCUAGCACAUGAAGUAAAGAGCUGCUAGUGGUACCUAUUAAAUACGAAUAUGAUUGGUACAUUGUCGUUAUGUGGGUUGGUGUUAGAUAAUUUAUUAUUUAUUUAUAUUUAUAUUUAUAUAUAUUUUGGGUUUACUAAGCUUUGGACAGCCGUUGGGUGUUAAUCUCACACUUUUAAUAUUAGUAUGGAAAAUUUGAGCUUUCACACGACAAGGAAAGGUGGCAUUACAGCCAAGCAAUUUAAUUAUUAAUUAGUUACUGGAGUCGGAGCUUCCUAUAACUAAUUUUUAAAAAGAAAAAGUGGGAAAUGGCGCCUCCAACAGUCAAAAAAUGCCGUUUCAACCGGGGCUUAAAAAUGGGCCUCCCUCCGCUGUCAUUUCCACGCAACUCCAUUGCAACGACGGAGUAUUAUUCCAUCCCCAUAGACCACCAUCCAAGUCAACUAAAAGUCUAGAUCAAUUACUUGUUUUAGUCACCAGAAAUUACCAAUAAACCACUCACGGUCUUGUUAUAAACCAAGCUGCAGCGUCACCAGAAACUUCAAAUCACAAGAGAGAAAAUUUGCAUAGAGAGAAUAUGGGAGAAACACUUGAUCGUAUUGGAUUGAGCGGAGAAGUCAUUAAUGCAGCUGCUUCUCUAGCCAUGAAGGCUCACGAUUCCACUCGCGAGCCAUUUCUCCUCAAGAAACCCCGUGGCUUAUCCGUUGCUGUUGUUGCAUUUGCUGGAUCUUGGCUUCCCGAUGAUUGGUGUGCGGAGACACCUUUUGGAGAAACGACGAUAGAUGCUGGUACCUUUCCUUCGCUUAAAAGUUUAGGCGAUGACGGAGUCGCUCUGGUCAACGGGUCGUUUCUCCGGCGAUUCAAGGCAAUCUUAGGCCAAUCAUCACUUGCCGAAAAGGUACUUCAAUUCAACUUAUGCAUAGAUAUAUGAAAAACGAUCUUGUGAAUUUAAAAUGUGGAUGUUGGGGUUGGAUUUUUCAGGUGAAAAAAGUAAUUGGAGAGAAGAAGCGAGUUGUUUUCACCGGCUACUCGUCGGGUGCUCCGGUGGCCAUCCUGGCAACUCUAUGCCUCUUGGAGAAGCCAGAGCCCAAUCAGAGCCCACCCCGCUGCGUCACUUUCGGAUCCCCCCUCGUCGGUGAUCGGAUCUUCGGUCAUGCUGUCAGACGGGAGAAAUGGUCCGACCACUUCGUUCAUUUUGUUAUGAGAUACGAUGUGAUCCCUCGGAUUAUGCUUGCCCCUUCAUCCACUGAGCACAAACAAAUUCUCGAUUUCUUCAAUCCCAGAUCUGAAUUCUUCAGAAAACCCAUUGAUUCUCCUUUAGGUUUCUAUUCCAGCGUGAUGAGGAAUGCAUCCUUGGUUGCAAACUAUGAUGCCUGCAAUCUCAUGGGAUGCAGAAUCCCGGCGUUGGAAACUCUAAGGAACUUCAUUGAGCUCAGCCCUUAUAGACCUUUCGGAACUUACAUCUUCUGCACGGGAAAUGGAAAAUUGGUUGUCGUAAGGAACUCGAAUGCAGUACUGCAGAUGCUGUUUUACUGUGCUCAGUGGACCCAAGAAGAAGCUGCAGGGGUUGCACAAAGAAGCCUAUCUGAACACUUGGCUUACAAAGAUGAAAUACAAGAGAGCUUAGGAAUGCAGAAUGUAGUCUAUCUAGAUCGUCUGGAAGAGAUUCCAGUGUCUUCAGAUGGCAGUCCAGCCACAGUCAACACGGCCUUGAAUGACCUCGGCCUGGUGAGCCUUCUUCCUUUCUUCUUAAUUACCUUACUGCCAAACUACAGAAUUUUAGCUUCCAUGUCUGUAAAUCUCAAUUGAUGUUCUAGUGUUAUGGAUUGCAGAGCCCACAAGGAAGGCUAUGCCUUCAAGCUGCAGGAGAGUUGGAGAAGCGAAAGUCAAGAAAUCAGGAUAAGAUCAUUAAUGAUUAUAAGCAAAAGAUUGAAGGUGAAUUAAGAGAGCUGAGAAAGUACAAGGAAAAGGCUGAGACUUGUGGACUGGGCUACUAUGAUUCCUUUAAGCUCAACAAAUACGAAGAGGACUUUCGGGCUAAUGUGAGCAGGCUUGUGCUAGCUGGUUUCUAGGACGAGAUGAUGGAAAUGUUAAAAGCGUAUGAACUUCCGGAUGACUUUGAGAAGAGCCAUGACUUUAUACGACUUGGAACCGAUUAUCGCCGCACGGUUGAGCCUCUAGAUAUUGCCAACUUCUAUCGACACGCCAAGGAUGAAGAGACAGGAUUCUACGUGAAAAAGGGUACUCGACCAAAACGAUAUCGAUACAUCCAAAAUUGUGUUAAAGUAUAUUGUAUUGUGGGCUCUAGGCCCAGGGGCCCAGUUAGGUUACUUGUAUAGUACUUGUACUAUACACCUGUACUACACCUUUGUACUACACUUGUACUACACCUUUGUACUGCACCCUUGUACUACACAUAUAUGCCUCCUAUAUAAAGGCACUGAUGUAUACUCUUUUACUCACAGAAUAGAAUACAAUUAUUCUAUAUUUCUAACAUGGUAUCAGAGCCACUGCUCUGACCUCUUUUUUUUCUUCUUAGCAGUCUUGUCUUCAUUAGUGUGACUUCCUUUUUCACUAAGCGCUUCCGCCAUCACAACUGCCGCUGUAGCCUCUUGCCGUUGAACCUCCGACGUCAUCCAGUCGUCAUCCCUGGGUUCCGGACCUGCAACCUCAGUCAUUAAGAAGUCUCACACUGCACAGACCACUGCCCCUUUGCAUCAUCGCUGCGAAUAUUGCUCCGAUUUCACUUUUGAAGGUACCACUGAGAUCGUCCAGCGCCGAUCUACACAUUCGUGGAUAUCUCGCCGCCAUCGGAGACCGCACGCGCCCCUCAAAGAUUCUGCAACGCCUCCACGUGCCUUCACGCGCCCCCACGCGCUGCCACAUCAGCACUAGCUCGUCAGGCCUCCACGCGCUGCCACGUCAGCCCUAGCUGCGUCAGCAUCCACUGAUCUGCUGACGUCAUCUCCAGUCGUUGACCGUUGACCAUUGACCGUUGACCACCGUUGACCGUUGACCGAACAUUGACCGUUGACUUUGACCGUUGACCGUCCAAUUGACUUUUUCCCCGGCCAGGUUCUCCUUACCCAGUUUUUCGUAUAGAUUUCAUUUCUGCAGUCGGUUUUUGCAUAUUGCGUCCCUAAAUGGAUAAGAAGGAUGUUUUUCUUCCUCGCCCCAUCCAUACUGUAUUGGAGGGGACUAAAAAUUACUUAUCCUGGUCUCAAGCUAUGCGCAGUUUUCUUAAGAGUCGCAUGCUCUGGCAUUAUUGUACUGGUGCAAUGACUAUUCCUGUCAAAGGAGCAAGUGAAGAAGAUGCUGUCUUUCUUAGUCGCAUGAUUGAAUGGGAUAGUCAUAACCACAUGAUCCUCACAUGGAUCCGGAACACUUCCAUUCCCUCUAUUUCCAACCUAUUGGGCAGCUUUGACGAUGCAAAAUCUGCAUGGGAUAUGUUGACCAAAAGGUACUCCACUACUCAUGGAUCCAUGAAAUAUCAGUUAGUGGUUGAAUUGCAUCAACUCAGGCAAGAACCGGGGCAAUCCAUCAAUGACUAUUAUGAUCAGCUUCGCUUCAUUUGGGACCAAAUUGACCUUUCUGAACCAACUUGGGGAUGCUCCACAGAUGCUCAGCAAUAUGCUACCAUUAGAGAUGAAUUUCGCCUCUAUGAAUUCUUGAUGUCACUUCACAAGGACUUUGAGCCCAUUCAUGGUCAGCUGUUAAAUCGCAGUCCUGCUCCCUCUCUUGAUACUGCUGUGAAUGAGUUGGUUAGAGAAGAAGCUCGUCUUGCAACCCUUCAAGCCCAGAAUAAGCUCAAUAUUUUGGCUAUUACUCCAUCUACUCCACUCAUAGAGCAACCUCAGCAAUUAGGUGAUUUUUCUGGCUCUAGCAAUCGUCGCAAGCAAACCAACAAGAAGUUCUGCAACUAUUGCAAGCGUCCUGGCCACACCAUUGAGACUUGUUACCGUCGUAACAAAUCUACUGCUGCUGUUGCUAAUACUGCACCUACUCCGCCAACGGUUUCCACGUCCUAGUCUUCUGGAUCUACUAUCAACCUCUCUUCCACUGAACUACAGGAGAUCAUAGCUCAGGCUGUUCGUAUGGUUGGUAAUGCAUCUCUUUCCACUGCCUUAUCUGUUCUACCUGGUAAGUCUCAAACUUGGCUCUUUGAUUCUGCCUGCUGCAAUCACAUGACACCUCACUCAUCCCUGUUCACCAACCUUGACCCUGCACCACAUCCUCUAAAUAUUCAUAUAGCCGAUGGUUCCACCAUGCAUGGAAAUAGUCUAGGUUUUGUUUCAACCUCUACCCUUUCUGUUCCUGGAGUCUUUCACGUACCUGACCUAUCCUAUAAUUUGUGCUCUGUGGGACAAUUAGCUGAACUCGGUUAUCGCCUUAUUUUUUACUAUUCUGGGUGUAUUGUACAGGAUCCGAGGACGGGGCAGGAGCUUGGGACCGGUCCUAGAGUUGGGCGUAUGUUUCCCGUGAACAAUCUUCAUCUUCCACCUGUUGCUCCUGUUUCUAUUGCUGCUGCAACAGCUGCAGUUUCUUCCUUACCUUCUCUUGCGCUUUGGCAUUCUCGUCUUGGUCAUGCACCAUCUUCUCGGGUACAACAGUUAGUGUCUAGAGGUCUGUUGGGUUCUGUGUCUAAAGACCAUUUUGAUUGCACUUCAUGUCAGUUAGGAAAACAACCAGCUUUGUCUUUCAAUAACAGUGACUCCAUUUCUAAAAGUAUUUUUGAGUUAAUUCAUUCUGAUGUUUGGGGACCUUCUCCUGUUGCUAGUAUUGGUGGAUCUCGAUAUUUUGUUGUUUUUAUUGAUGAUUACUCUCGUUAUAGUUGGAUUUUUCCUAUGAAAUCUCGUUCUGAAAUUUUAUCAAUAUAUAGCAACUUUGCAAAAAUGGUUGAAACUCAAUUCUCCAAACGUAUCAAAACCUUUCGAUCUGAUAAUGCUCUUGAAUAUACUCAACAUGCAUUUCAAACUCUGUUACAUUCCUAUGGCACUAUCCAUCAUCUAACCUGUCCAGGUACCUCUCAGCAAAAUGGUCGAGCCGAAAGAAAACUUCGUCAUAUUCUUGACACUGUUCGUGCUUUACUUCUUUCUGCCAAAAUUCCUGCCCCAUUUUGGGGUGAAGCCAGUCUUCAUGCUGUUCAUGCAAUUAACCGCAUUCCAAGUACUGUCAUCCAUAAUCAGACUCCAUAUGAGCGUCUCUUUGGGUCACCCCCUAACUAUCAUCACCUUCGCUCCUUUGGAUCCGCUUGCUUUGUUCUUCUUCAGCCUCAUGAGCACAACAAACUUGAGCCUCGAUCUAGACUCUGUUGUUUUCUUGGUUAUGGCGAAACUCAAAAGGGGUAUAGGUGUUAUGAUCCUGUUUCUCAUCGUCUUCGCGUUUCUCGUAAUGUUAUCGUUUGGGAACAUCGAUUGUUUGUUGAACUCUCUCACUUUCGUUCUUCCUUGACUAACUCCUCUGUUUUAGAAAUCUUUCCCGAUGAGUCUCUUGUUCCUUCUGCAAAUACUUUUGAUCUUCAUUUAGACUUCUCUCCAGAUAUCUUUGAUGCUUCUCCUAGACAGGUUGCAGAUGAACAGAUUAUUCACGAGCUACCCCACUUUGAGCCUGGGUCCCCUGCUCCUGCUCUGCCUGAAGAUCCUCCACAAGACAUUCCACCUCGCCACUCAACCCGGGUAAGAUCCAUUCCUCCACACCUCCUUGACUAUCAUUGUUACACUGCCCUUGCUACACUUCAUGAGCCUCAAACCUAUCGUGAGGCCUCUACUGACCCUUUAUGGCAGAUUGCAAUGAAAGAGGAACUUGAUGCAUUAACCAAAAACCAUACUUGGGACCUGGUUACUCUCCCUCCUGGACAGUCUGUGGUUGGUUGUAAGUGGAUCUAUAAGAUCAAGACUCGCUCUGAUGGAUCCGUUGAGCGCUAUAAGGCUCGUCUUGUUGCCAAAGGUUUUACACAAGAGUAUGGGAUUGAUUAUGAAGAGACGUUUGCUCCAGUUGCUCGUAUCUCAUCUGUUCGUGCUCUCUUAGCUGUUGCUGCUGCUCGUAAAUGGGAUCUUUUUCAGAUGGAUGUUAAAAAUGCCUUCCUUAAUGGGGAUCUGAGUGAAGAAGUCUAUAUGCAACCUCCUCCUGGUCUCUCUAUUGAAUCAAACAAGGUUUGUCAUCUUCGACGUGCACUUUAUGGUCUCAAACAAGCCCCACGUGCUUGGUUUGCCAAGAUCAGCUCCACUAUUUUUCGCUUGGGUUACACCGCCAGUCCAUAUGAUUCUGCCUUAUUUCUUCGUCGUACUGAUAAAGGCACUAUUUUGCUUCUUCUCUAUGUGGAUGAUAUGAUCAUAACUGGUGAUGACCUUAGUGGCAUUCAAGAACUCAAGGAUUUUCUCAGUCAGCAGUUUGAGAUGAAAGAUCUUGGACAUCUCAGCUAUUUCUUGGGUCUUGAAAUUACUCAUUCCACAGAUGGUCUUUAUAUUACUCAAGCCAAGUAUGCUUCUAACCUGUUGUCUCAAGCUGGGCUCACUGACAGCAAAACAGUUGACACUCCAGUUGAACUUAAUGCGCAUCUGACACCCUUGGGGGGGAAACCAUUGUCUAAUCCUUCUCUUUACAGACGAUUGGUUGGCAGCUUAGUUUACCUCACAGUUACUCGUCCAGACAUCUCCUAUGCUGUUCAUCAAGUGAGCCAGUAUUUGUCUGCUCCACGAUCAACUCACUAUGCUGCUGUUCUGCGCAUUCUUCGAUACCUGAAGGGUACCCUUUUUCAUGGCCUUUUCUACUCAGCCCAGUCUCCUCUUGUACUCCGUGCAUUCUCAGAUGCUGAUUGGGCAGGAGAUCCUACUGAUCGCAGGUCCACUACAGGUUAUUGCUUCCUCCUUGGUUCUUCUUUGAUUUCUUGGCGAAGUAAGAAACAAACCUUUGUGGCCCGCUCCAAUACUGAAGCAGAAUAUCGUGCCCUUGCUGAUACCACAUCUGAGCUCCUUUGGCUAAGAUGGCUCCUUAAGGAUUUGGGUGUAUCCACCUCCUCUGCUACUCCUCUCUAUUGUGACAACCAGAGUGCUAUUCAUAUUGCUCACAAUGAUGUCUUUCAUGAACGGACUAAACACAUCGAGAUUGAUUGUCAUUUUAUCCGUUAUCAUCUUCUCCAUGGUGCUCUUAAGCUUUUCUCCGUCUCCUCCAAAGAUCAACUUGCAGAUAUCUUCACCAAGUCUCUUCCUAAGAGACGCACUCGUGAUUUAGUUGACAACCUCAAGUUGGUCUCACAUCCACCUUGAAGUUGAGGGGGGCUGUUAAAGUAUAUUGUAUUGUGGGCUCUAGGCCCAGGGGCCCAGUUAGGUUACUUGUAUAGUACUUGUACUAUACACCUGUACUACACCUUUGUACUACACUUGUACUACACCUUUGUACUACACUUGUACUACACCUUUGUACUGCACCCUUGUACUACACAUAUAUGCCUCCUAUAUAAAGGCACUGAUGUAUAAUCUUUUACUCACAGAAUAGAAUACAAUUAUUCUAUAUUUCUAACAGGCUCGAGCAUGCUGAAAAGAAGCCAUCUGGAUCCCGCUCAGAAUCCUGUUUCUGGGCUGAGGUAGAGGACCUCCGCAUUAAAACUAGAAGCAACGGAUCCUCUCCAGAAAUUAAGCAGAAGGUUCAGCAACUGGGGCAAAAUCUAAUUAAAUGGAUUGAUGAUGCAUCUUUAGGCAAGGAUGUGUUGUUGGAGAAUUCCACCUUUGUUAAAUGGUGGAAACCCCUUCCUCCUGAGUAUAAAUCAGAACCCGAAUCAUCUCGCAUUAUGAAACUCAUCCAUUAGAAAGAUUGAGAGGGUUUCAUGCUGUUAUCUCGAGGCAUUUGUUCAAAGCCAAUAACAGCAAUAACCCUGAAUGUAUGCAAAAUCCUGUUUCCUGUAUUAAUUAGUAUGCAAAAUCCUAUUUUCUGUAUUAGUAUGUAACGACUCAUUCCCAAUCGCAUAGAUAAUGUCACUGUGAUAUCCAGGGUCUCAGGUCCAACUAUGUGAAAAUCAAGAAUGCAAAUGACUAGAUAUCAAGGGGUAAUGCUCAUAAUACUUUCAUACAAACAAGUUAGAAUUGUGUAAGUUCUACAGACGAUUAUUCAAGUAGUUGUACUUCAACACAGAUGAAGUUUGUGAUUUGAAGUUACAACCAUCUGAUAAUAAAGAUGAUGAGAAGGCAUAUUUCUUAAGAAAAUGGUCAUGAUAGCAUUUGGCAGAGAGGAGCAUACUAAUACAAAAGAUUGAAAAUGGGUUGAUAAAUUAACAGGCAGAUGGACGCUUGAUGUGCAUAUUCCUUGACCGAUCAAUAUGUAUAUGAAAAUACUGUGACAAAGACCUAGUUAGCUCCACAAUGAAAAAAGAAGCCCUUGCCAUAUGACGACAGAGGCCCUGUCAUAGACUCACAGGUCAACUACAACCAGUUCCUUCCUAGCUGUCAGAACUUUCCUUAUUGUGCAAGAAAGAAUAAGCAUGAUAUUCUGAUGCUCCCUUACUAAUUUACUACUGAACACAAAUCAACAAGCCAUCCCUUUAAGGACAUAUCUAUAAGUUCCAUCUGGCAAGGACCUCUCCAAUGGUUACAUAUAUCUUUCUUUAUGGGCCACUAAAUGAAGCCCUUUUCCAUAACCCAAUACAACCCGGUUGGAACAUAUCAUCCUCAAAAGUGAGAAAUCAUCGACACCAUAAGGGUGCAUUUGGGAUAUGGGAAUCGGAAAGGAAAUAGGAUGGGAAUGAAGGUGAAUCACGAUAUCAUGUAGAAGAGAGGAAUCAAAAUCCUAGUGAAAGUAGUGUUAAGAUAUGGACUCACAUAUCUAACAAUAGUUCAUGACUAAGCUAUUCACCUCUUUUCAGUAUUUGUUUUCUGUUCGUUCAAGAGUAUGGACCACUUAUGUGUAGAGCCCAACGCCUUCACGGGCCUUAGAUGAUGGGCCUAAGACUUGUGAGGCCCAAAAACCCAAUGGGUAUGGUCCCUAAGGCAGGAGGGUAUAAAAGGUCAAGGGUCUGUUCAUUUUGGUAACAAUCACAUCAGUUUUGGAAUUAGAACAGACCUGUUUCUCUUCGACUCCCAUCGUCUGAGAGAAUUCAGAAAGAUGUGGUGCCCUCCACAGCCUUAGAAGAUCCAUACCGUAUUCAUCGCUGGAAAACAAUGGACUCAGGUAUGUUCUUAGACAACAGUGGAAGGCAUAAUUUGAAUGCUUGGUAUACAUAUAUAUCCUAUUUUUUUUUUUUUUUUUUUUGUGUGUUUUGGGUGAUAAUGGAAAUCAAGAAUAAUAACAAAUGGUAUCAAAGCCUCCCAUUUUCACCAAAACACUCUUUAAAACACAAACAUCAGACCCAAAGCAAAAAACGUUGGACUCAGGCGUUGUUUUGGGCAAUGGGAGUAGCGUUAGGGCGCUGCAACGCGUCAUUAGGAAUCAGAAUAGUGCCAUUUCGGCGCUGUUCAUUUUGUCGGUGUCCUUUACGCUGUUUUGACGCCGUUGAGAUGCCACUGCAGGUGUCGUCAGCCCGAUGUCGCCACGACGCCGGCUGGAGGAGGAUUGAGACGCCGGUUUGGCGUCAUUCUCCAAUCAAGAACGUUGUUCAGGCGAUGGAAAAUGACUACGAUGUCGUUUAGGCAUCGUUUCUCAGUCAGCUGCUCGUGAUUUAGGCGUCAUUUUUUUGGCGUUCCAGACGUCAUCCAAGCGCCAAUGAGGAACGCCAAAAUUAGGGUGUUGUUGUAGGCUACUCAGUAACGUUGUUACUGCAUUUUUCUAGUGAUGACACCACUGAUGACACCGCUGCCGGCAUCCCAUAGUAAAAUGCCUAUUUUUGGUGCGCCGUUUUGGUGGCACUAAAGCACCAUUUUCAGGCGCAAUUGGAGGGGCUGCUGGCGUCCGUUACAAGCGCCAUUAAGGCGUCUGUUACAGGCACCAUUUAGGCACAGUCCCACGCAGCAUUCAAACGUCGUCCAGGCGUAGUCUGAUGGCGUCGUUCGUAGAUGGCUCCAGGGCCGCUGUCAGUUGGAUGCAAAAAUGAUCCCUUUUUAUAGCGUUUGAAAUUCCAUGUUUUUUUAUAAAAAAAAAAUUAUGUAUAUGCUUUUAAAAUUAUGCCAUAAUGAAGAUGGAAUAAUUUGAGAGAGUCUAUAUUCUUUUUUUGUGUUGUGGGAAAUUUUAUAUGUAUAUGCUUUUAAAAUUAUGCCAUAAUGAAGAUGGAAUAAUUUAAGAGAGUCUAUAUUCCUUUUUUGUGCAUUAGGAAAUUUAUAUGUAUGUGUUGCAUGUGAAAUAAUUAGGUAUCAUUCAAUGUCUUAUGAAUCAUGCAUAAAAUGGGUUUGUGGAUAAAUUUUUUAUUGAAUUAUUGCUUGCUAUAUUUAUGUUUAAUAUUUUAAAAUAAAUGAAUUAUGUAUACUUGUUGCCAAAGUAACUUGUAUUAGGUAAUUUUAUUUAUUUUGAAAUGUGUAAGCAUGUUAUUAUUGUAUAAAAUAAUCAACCCAAAGGAGGAUUAUUUUUAUAUAAUAAUAAAUAAAGUAAUCAUGAAUAUGUGACAUACAAGGUUUAUCUUGCAUUCGAUAUGUUAGUCCAAAGACAAACAUAUUGUUUUCGGGUUUUUUUUAUUGUCAAUAUUUAUGAAUUAAUUUAAGGAUGCUACUUACAAGUUGAUAUUUCCAUCCAAAGACUGAAUAUUGAUGUUUGUGCUAGGUAUCUUGUUGUAUGUCCACAUGCAUAUAUAUGUUUAAAUUUUAUUUAUUCAUGUAUGUGUGAUGUUUAUAUGACUGAUUGUGAGCUUCAUUGUUAUUUCAGCAUCUUCUAUAUCUGCAAAUGUCAAUAACACUCCUGUGCUUAAUGGCAUAAACUUCAAGAAAUGGAAGGAGCACGUUAUAAUUGUGCUCAGGUGAAUAGAUUUAGACUAUGCAUUAAGAGUGGAUCGCCCUUCAGAUCUUACUAGUGCCAGCACUGCUGAGCAAAGGUCUGCUAUGGAAAAAUGGGAGCAAUACAAUCGCAUGAGUCUAAUGAUUAUGAAGCACUCAAUUCUAGAAGCUAUAAGGGGUGCAAUACCUGAGGAAACCCAAGCCAAGGCAUUCUUGGACCAGAUAGCAAACCGAUUUGCUGCAAACGAAAAGGUUGAGAUAAGCACUAUUCUUAGUAAGCUUGUCUCUAUGCGGUAUAAAGGGAAAAAGAAUAUAAGGGAGUACAUUAUGGAAAUGUCUAAUCUUGUGACUAGACUCAAGGCACUAAAGUUAGAGUUGUCGGAAGACAUACUCGUGCACUUGGUCUUGAUCUCUCUACCUACACAAUUCAGUCCAUUCAAAAUCAGUUACAACACUCAAAAGGAGAAAUGGACUUUGAAUGAGCUUAUUGCUCAAUGUGUACAAGAGGAAGAGAGAUUGAAACAAGAGAAGAUAGAGAGUGCUCACUUGACUUCCACAUCUCAGGGAUUUGGUGCCAAUAAGAAAAGAAAGAGGGACAAUAAAGGAAAACAAACUACAGUUUCUAAGACAUCAAAGCAGAAGGUGCAGAAGAAACAAGAUAAGGAGAUCACUUGUUUCUUUUUCAAAAAGACUAGUCAUAUGAAGAACACAUGUACCAAAUACGCGGCUUGGCGUGAAAAGAAAGGCACACUUCUCAACUUCGUUUGUUCAGAAAUUAAUUUAGCUAUAGUGCCUACUGACACUUGGUGGAUAGAUACAGGUGCAACUACUCACAUAAGUGUCACUAUGCAGGGUUGCCUAAGGAGUCGAAUGUCAACUGAUGGUGAAAGAUACAUCUAUGUGGGAAAUGGAAACAAGGUUGCAGUCAAGGCUAUUGGUCUUUUUAGACUACAGUUGGACUCUGGAUGUACUUUGGAUUUGGAAGAGACUUUUGUUGUACCGUCGUUUAGACGGAAUUUAAUUUCUAUUUCAUGUCUACGGAAUUUAAUUUCUAUUUCAUGUCUGGACAAAUUUGGAUAUUGUUGUUCAUUUGGAAAUGGAAUAGUUAGUCUUUAUCUAAAUUCAAAGGUUAUUGGUACAGGUAGUCUAAUAGACAAAUUAUACAAAUUGAACAUAAAGGCCACUAAUGGAAAUGAAACCUUGCAUUCAAGUAAUUAUGGCAUUAAGCGAAAAUUAAUAAAUGAGAAUUCAUCAAUGUUAUGGAACAAACGUUUGGGUCACAUUUCAAAUCAAUGGAUUCAAAGGCUUGUGUCAGAAUGAAUUCUUGAUCCACUUGAUUUCUCAUACUUUCAAGUCUGUAUAGAGUGCAUUAAAGGUAAACAAACAAAUAUGAGGAAAAAUGAUGCCAAUAGGUGCAGUGACAUCUUGGAAUUGAUACAUACGAAAAUUUGUGGUCCAUUCCCUACAACUUCUUGGAAUGGACAACAAUAUUUUAUCACUUUCAUUGACGAUUACUCGCGUUAUGGCUAUCUUUAUUUGAUUCAUGAGAAAUGUCAAUCAUUGGAUGUGUUCAAGAAUUUCAAAGCUGAAGUUGAGAACCAACUAAGCAAGAAAAUAAAAGUCGUCAGAUCUGAUCGUGGAGGUGAAUACUAUGGUAGAUAUGACGGAUCAGGUGAACAAUGUCCAGGGCCAUUCGCCAAAUAUUUGAUGGAGUGUGGUAUCGUUCCUCAGUACAUCAUGCCAGGGACUCCAAGCCAAAAUGGUGUAGCAGAGAGGUGAAACCGUACUCUUAAGGAUAUGGUAAGAAGUAUGAUCAGUCAUUCCAUCUUACCAAAAUCACUUUGGGGCGAAGCUAUCAAAACUGCAGUUUACAUUUUGAAUAGAGUACCAAGCAAAGCAGUAGCCAAAACCCCAUAUGAGUUAUGGACUAGCAAAAAGCCUAGUAUUAGGCACUUGCAUGUUUGGGGUUGUCCAGUUGAAGCUAGGCCUUAUAAGCCAAAUGAAAAGAAAUUGGACUCCAGAACAGUGAGCUGCUACUUUGUAAGGUAUUCUGAAAGGUCAAGAGGUUUCAAAUUUUAUGACCCCUCAUCUAGAUCCUUCUUUGAAACGGGUAAUGCUAAGUUCAUUGAGGAUGUUGAGUUAAGUGGGAGAGAAUCAUUAAGAAAUGUGGUUUUUGAAAAGGAAUCUAUUAGUAUUCCUACGACUGGAAAUGGUCAUAUUAUGUUUGAUGACACUAUUUAGAAUGUACAGUCGAUAACAAAAAUUCAAGACACACCUGAAAUUCCUCCUGCUCAAGUUAUGGAACUGAUUCAAGUUCAUCAAGAGGUAACUCAACAACCUCAAGAACCUCAAGUACAAGUGCCACUGAGGAGAUCCACUAGAGAAAGGAGAAGUACAAUUUCAGAUGAUUAUGUUGUAUAUCUUCAAGAACAUGAGUUUGACAUGGCUCUGAAAGACGAUCCAAUUUCAAUUAGUUAAGUCAAACAAAGUUCUAACUCUGAAAAGCGGAUAGAAGUCAUGAAGAAAGAGAUGAAAUCAAUGAAAGACAAUUGUGUUUGGGACCUAGUAGAGUUGCCUGAAGGUAUAAAACCGAUUGGUUGUAAAUGGAUUUUUAAAACCAAACGGGAUUCAAAAGGUAACAUUGCUAGGUAUAAGGCACGCCUAGUCGCAAAAGGUUUCACUCAAAAGGAAGGCAUUGAUUAUAAGGAGACCUUUUCACCAAUUUCGUCAAAGGACUCUUUUAGAAUCAUCAUGGCACUUGUAGCUCAUUAUGUUUUAGAGCUACAUCAAAUGGACGUUAAAACUGCGUUUCUUAAUGGUAACAUUGAUGAAACAAUAUACAUGGUGCAACCGGAGAACUCUGAGUCUAAUGAUUCAAAGCAACUUGUAUGCAGAUUAAAAAGGUUCAUAUAUGGUUUAAAGCAAGCAUCCUGACAGUGGUACCGAAAGUUUGAUCAGGUGAUCACUUCAUUUGGUUUUAAAGAGAACACCGUUGAUCAAUGAAUAUACCUCAAGUUUAGUGGGAGCAAAUUUAUUAUCUUGGUGCUAUAUGUUGAUGAUAUUCUACUUGCAAGUAGUGAUGUGGGACUUUUGCAUGAAACCAAGCGAUUUCUAUCUAGUAAAUUUGAUAUGAAAGAUCUUGGUGGUGCAUCUUUUGUGCUGGGUAUACAGAUCUAUAGGGAUCAUUCAAGAGGUAUACUUGGGUUAUCACAAAAGGCCUACAUUGAUAAAAUGUUGAGUAGAUUUGGCAUGAGCAAUUGUGCACCAGGAAACACGCAUGUGGCAAAAAGCGAUAAAUUUAGUUUGCACCAAUGUCCGAAAAAUGAACUUGAGAAGAAGGAUAUGGAGAGGUUUCCCUAUGCCUCGGCCAUUAGAAGUCUCAUGUAUGCACAAGUUUGUACGCGUCCGGAUAUUGUGUACAUUGUUGGAAUGUUAAGCAGAUAUUUGAGUAACCCAGGUAUGGAUCACUAUAAAAAGGCAAAACGGGUUAUGCGGUAUUUACAAAGGACUAAAGACUAUAUACUCACAUACCAUAGAUCCAGUCAUUUGGAGAUCGUCGGAUAUUCGAACUCCAAUUUCAUAGGAUGUCUUGACAGUAGGAGAUCCACUUCAGGAUACGUCUUCAUGCUGGCUGGAGGAGCAGUUUCAUGGAAAAGUGUUAAACAAACACUUAUUGCUUCUUCCACCAUGGAGGCAGAAUUCAUAGCUUGCUACAAGGCAUCAAACCAUGGGAUAUGGCUACGGAAUUUUAUCACUCAAUUGCGAAUUAUUGAUGGGAUUGAGAAACCAUUGAGAAUCAAUUGUGAUAAUAAGGCCGCAAAAUUGUAUUCUAAGAACAACCGAAGUCCAUCAAAGUCCAAACACAUUGAAAUCAAGUUCUUGGUUGUGAAAGAAAGAGUUCAGAGUCUUCAAGUAUCGAUUGAACACAUAAGCACAAACUCCAUGACUGCGGAUCCGCUCACUAAGGGUUUCCCACCCAAAGUAUAUCAUGAGCAUGUCACACAUAUGGGUGUUGUACACAUUGAUGAUGUGCCAAUAUAGUGGGAGUUUGUAUUUAGAUUUUGUGUUUGUUUUCUUGAUGUGAUAUCAUGUUAUGUUAUCUAUACAGACCUUGGUUUUUAAAGACUAUUGUAUUUGAAUACUCUGAAUUGAAAUGAUGACUUUUAGAAGCAGUUUAGCAUCAAGUGUUGAAAGUGGAAUUUGACUAAUUUUUAGUCAUAAAGUGGGACCAAUUGGAAAUAGACAUAUUAGAGAUCACAUUCUAAGCAACAUAAUCUCCAUUCUCAAGUUCUAAAUCCAUCCAAAUACGUACUUCAUGGCAAAACUGUAACACCCCAAAAUAAACUUUAGGGGCAAAAUAGUAAAUUAUAAAUUAAUUAAUUAAUUAAUUAAACUCAUUAAAGAUAAAAAUCCCUUUUACAAUUAAUAAUCUUUGGUGUAAAUUAGAUUUUUCUCUUGUCUUCUUUAUUCAGAAAACUCUAUUAACCAAAAAUUAGUGAAUUGGAAAAUGUAGGGCUCAAGGUUUGAAGGUCUAGAGUUUGAAGUUCAGAUUUUUCCAAGUAAGAUUCUAACCCUAGAUUAAUAUAUUAUAUUUGUUAAUUAGUUUUGAAUACAUUAGAUAUUCUUUAGAAAAUUUUAAUUUAGAUUAGUGCUAGUUUAGUUAAUUUAUUUUAAGAUCAAAAAAUUGAAAUUAUGAAUAUAAGUUGUUUCAUUUAUGAAAAUAGGGAAAUUUGAAAAAAAUUUUAUAUGAAUAGAUCUAAACAAUGAAAUUGUAAAAAUUAAAUGAGUAAAUAAAUAUAUGAUUAUAUAUGGCUUAAGGGAUUGGAAAAUAAUAAUAAGAAGAAUUGCAUGUUUCUGGAUUUUGGAUUUGAGGCAAUGUGGUGGGGUGACAAAAAAAAUAUGAUAUCUAAUUGUGAAAAGAGUGGUAGUGGAAUAAAUUAAAAUAAUAAUAAUGAGUAGAGUUGGUGGGGUUGUUGGUUAAAAGUACAUGAGAUAUUUUGUUAAAUAAGAGGGAACAUUGGGAUUAAUAAGAAUAAUGAUAAUAAUGAUAUUAAUAAUAAUAAGAAGAAGAAGAAUAAUAAUAAUAAGAAAAAUUGUGUGAUUUGGAUGUUUGUGAGUGAUGUACAAUAGGGGUGUUUUUGGAUAUUGCAAGGUAUCGAAAAAUAUAGUAAUAAUAAUAAUAAUAAUAAUAAUAAUAAUAAUGAUAGUUUUUAAUAAAAGUUUAAAUUUAGUUUAAGUAUACAAAAUAAAUAAAUGGUUAGAAUAAGAUUUGGAAGAAAUAUGAGUUUAUAAAAAAUUUGGAAAUUCAUUAAAUUAUAUUAUUAUUGUUUAAGAAGUUGAAACUAAUAUUGGGUAGUAAUAAUAUUAGAAUAAGAAAUUAAUUAAGAUCCCUAAUGCUAAAUAAAAUAUUUUUAGGAUUGUCAAAUUUUUACCUUUAGAUAAUUGUGUAUGAUAUUAUGUUAGGUGAAGAGUAAAUUCAUCAAGCUAAAUACUUCAAGUUUUUGAGCACUUCUUCAAGGUAAGGGAAAUUAAUGCAGAUUUUUAUAAAUAAUAAUAAUAAUUUUCUUUUUAUAUUGUAUUUUGAAAUGUGUAAAAAUAUUAUUUUUAUCUUUUCGCAUGGAUCAAAUAUGCGUUUUGUGUGGAAAGUAUAUUUGAGAAUUUUCUUUGUUUAUGAAAAAUAAAAAAUUGAGGAGAUAUGAUAUUUUGUUGAGUAAGUUUGACUUAAUGAAAUAAAGUGUUUGACUAUGGAUUAUAUGACCCUAGUCAAUGAGUUAUAUUGUUGAUAUUUUCGGCCUUUGUCAACGAUUUAUAAUAGUUGAUAUUAUAUGGCCCUAGUCAACGAGUUAUAAUAGUUGACCUUAUGACCCUAAUCAACGGGUUAUAAUUGUUGGCUUUUGGUUAUGUUCAUCUUAAAUGGAACAAAUUUGAAACUAGUCACUCAUUUGUAAAGUCUCACCUAAUUGGGCACCAUUUGUUAUUUGAUAAUCAGAGUAAAGAUAUUUUGAAUGUAUUUUAUUUGGUUUUGAUGAGAAAUUGUUUUGAAAUGGAUAUGAGAAAGUUUUGUUGAAAAGUUUGAAUGUAUUAGUAUUUUGAACUUAAAAGUUUUUAUGAAAAUAAGUAUAUGUUAUACAUCCUAUUUGCAAGUAUGAUUGAAAAUGUUUGAUCCAUGAAAUUGUAUUAAUGUUCCUUAUCGGGCUUUGAGUUCCCCUUUUAUUGAUAAUCUUUCAAGUAACCUCAGUUCGGGCGAAGAGUGGCCGUUAUGAGAGAAAUUUGGUUUUAUUAGGACAACUCUUUUUAUCUUGGACAUUGUUGAAAUGUUAAAACUUAAUUCUUGUUUCAAUUAUUUUGAGUUUAGAGUUACUUAGACAAUAACACUUUGGUUGAUGUAUUAGUUUUUAAAAAAAUUUGAUACUUGGAGAUUUUAAAAUUUUGUCCUAGAACAGGAAUUUGAUAAUUGGUAAAUUUCCAGUUACAAUACAGAUGUUUGUGUUGUUUCCACUUUGAGCCUUUAGGCUUGAGAUGUGAAAUGACUGUCAUGCCCUUGGAGUGGGUUUUGGGACAUGAUAGAGUGGUAUCAGAGCACUAGGUUAUGAUCUUGUUGAGAACUUGUUUUAGUUUACUUUUGGGAUAGAUGAGUGACGCAUUAGUUUAAGUUUCAGUUUCAUCUUCUAUAAAUUCAUAUUUUUCCUUAUGAAUCUAAAUUGCCUAAUUGGUUUUUUAGUGACUAAUUUAAUUAUACCAAUGUUUAAUAGGACAACAUGGCACCAAUAAGAACAACAUCUUCCCAAAACAGUCAGGCUAAUAAUGAUGUACCUCUUCCAUUUGAGGGUUUACCUCCCAUGAAUGUAGAAAAGCUUUAUAGGUAUCUUGAGACUUUAGCUGGUUUGGCUAAGCUUCAGGCUAGAGCUAUUGAGACUCAAGCUCUUGGACAACACUCAUCUUCUAAAGGUAGCUCAUUUGAUGACUUUAAUAAGUUAGGUCUUCCUUAAUUUUCUAGUACUUCAGACCCAAUGGAAGUAGAAGCUUGGAUUCUUAAGAUAGAGAAAUUCUUUAAUGUUAUAGAUUGCUCUGAGGAGCAAAAAGCCUCUUAUGCAGCAUUUAUGUUAGAUAAAAAAACAAAUCAUUGGUGGCGUAUGACCAAAAGGCUUUUAGAGGAUUAGGGACCUAUAGUUUGGAGACAAUUUAAGGAGGCAUUUUACAAAAACUACUUCCCUGACAUUGUUAGAUGACAAAAAGUAGGAGAGUUUGUUCGUUUGGAACAGGAGGAUAUGACGGUGGACCAGUAUGAGUCUAAAUUUACAGAGUUGUUACGUUUUGAUCCACAAUUAAUUGCUAUAGAGGAGGAAAAGACAUUAAAGUUUCAGGAUGGAUUGAAGCCUUAUCUAAAGAACAAAAUAUAUAUUUUGAAGCUUAAUGCCUAUUAAAAGGUUGUAGAUAAAGCCCUUAUAGCAGAAAAUGAUAAUAAGGAGCUUUAACAAUACAAAAAACAACAAAGGAAGAGGAGUAGGAGUGAUGGUGCCCAUGAGAACCAAGAACCAAAAAGGUUCGAUUCAAUUGAGAAUCAGAAUAAAGGGGAAACAAUGCAAAAUUCAUAUUUGACUUGUUCUAUUUGUGGUAAGAAACAUUGGGGUAAGUCUUGCUAUAAAGAGUAUGGAGCUUACUUUGGUUGUGGAAAGCAUGGACAUAUGAUUCAGGAUUGCCCAAAGAAUAAGAAGUUUAUGAUUGGGAAGCCUAAGGAAGAGAAUAAAAAUUAUAAACAGAAACCCAAAGUCCAAGGGCGAAUGUUUGUUAUAACUAAUCAAGAUGCUCAAGUCACUUCUGAUGUGGCGACAUGUACUAUUUGAAUUUGCAAUUGGGAAAGUUGUGUUUGCAACUACCUAUUUGAAAGCAUUAUAGAUAUCAAACUGGAAGAAGUUGGAAUAUGAGAUUUGACCGUGAAAUGGCAAAAUAUUAUCUUUCUCAUGCACUCUUUUUCUAACUCCAUUUUAUGUUCCUAGAUUGCCCCUCCAUGUUUCCAUGUCAGCUGCAACCCUAUCUCCAUAUUAGCAGAAAACCCUCCAUGUCACAUAAGAGACUUGAAAUUUAUAAAACAGAAAAAUCAAACCUAUGAAAAAUCACCUGACCCGAGACCCAUGUAAAAUUUUUAAAACCUUUAUUCUCUUUGAUUUGGGAGCUUCUCUCUCUCUCUCUCUCUUGGCUUCAUCACCCACACAAUCCCGAGACCUAUGUAAAAUUUCCUAAAAAUGGUCUCAAAACUCCAACCUGUGUGUUUCUCUCUUGUCCACAUAAAAGUGCAACGAAAUAGAGCAUUCCAUCCUAAGAAUGUCCAGUUAAAAGAAGACUUCAAGAGGCACAUCCAUGAUUAUGAAUCUACUACAGCAGCGCAUACCAGAAUAGAAAGAUGGAAUCCAAAAUAUAUGGUUCGUGAACAAGAUAUCUCUUCCUGUCAUUAAGUGGCAUUUUUCCCUAACCCCAAACUGAAAUAUGAAGGUAAAUUAUUUUCAUUUAUUGUUCUUUAGUUCAUUAAUUUGAUAUAGAGCACAUCAACAAUUUUGGAGUAGUUGGUGGACUUGAACUUUUGUGUUGGGUUAUGGGAACCAUAUUAUUCCCAAAUAACCAUAUGACCCACAAGUCGUAUUGAAUCCAGAUGGAACUUACAACAUAUCUGGUUAUAAGUCACAUUGUUAUUUUGCGGAUUGUACCUUAGGUACUACCUUAAUAGCCCUUAGGUACUACCUUAAUCUACCUUAGGUACUACCUUAAGGGACCUUAGGUACUACCUUAGUUAAAGAUGGGUUCUACCUAUCCCAAGCUCAAACCUUCCUUUGUGACCCUUAGACCAUGCCAUUAUGUGAUUCUUUUGUGUGGGCAAGUGGUCCACCUUUGGUUGUUUGCAGACUAUAACUUAAGUACUACCUUAAUAGCCCUUAGGUACUACCUUAGUUAAAGAUGGGUUCUACCUAUCCCAAGCCUCGGACCUUCCUUUGUGACCCUUAGACCAUGCCAUUAUGUGAUUCUUUUGUGUGGUCAAGUGGUUCACCUUUGGUUUUUUUAGGACUGUACCUUAGAUAUUACGUUAAUAGCCCUUAGGUACUACCUUACUCUACCUUAGGUACUACCUUAAGAGAUCUUAGGUACUACCUUAGUUAAAGUUGGGUUCUGUCUAUUUCAAGCCUCGAACCUUCCUUUGUGAUCCUUAGACCAUGCCAUUAUGUGAUUCUCUUGUGUGGACAAGUGGUUCACAUUUGGUUCUUAGAGGACUGUACCUUAUGUACUACCUUAAUAGCCCUUAGGUAUUACGUUAAUCUACCUUAGGUACGACCUUAAGUGACCUUAGGUACUAUCUUAGUUAAAGUUGGGUUCUACCUAUCCCAAGCCUUGGACCUUCAAUCCCGGACAUUACUUGUUAUAUUUUAAAAUUUGUAGUUUAUCAUUACUAAUACUUUGUAUUUUAAAAUAUGAUAUUAUUUUAAAUUGCAUAUGUUUUUUUUUUUUUAGAAUUUCUCUAAAACAUAUUAUUAAGUAAAUAAAUUUUAAAUCAAAUUAUUAAUUUUUAAAAAUAAUUUGAAACUCAAAAAUCAAUUUAGGGUACUUUUUUAUUUGAAUAACAUAGAAAAUCAUGGAAUUCAACAAAAUAAUAUCAAAAAAAUCAUAAAUUAAAAUUCAUUUUGAAUGACUUCACUAGUUUCUUCUUUAUAUAUAAUUAUAUUUUGGUAAAUUUUUUUAUUUGGCAAAUAAACUCUAAAUCAAGCAAGACUUUGUGCAUUGGAUUCUUUAACGGAUCUAGUAAUUUUUAAAAAUAAGUUAAGCUCAAAUAGUGAUCAAAUUAAUAUGAACAAAAAUUAAUAACUUUAUUGUUUAUUUUCUAUAUAAAAUCAUUUUUUUUAAAUUUUGUUUACUAAAAAAAAUAAACUUCAAAUUAAAUAAAAUUUAAUGCAUUGGAUUUAUUAACAAGUCUAAGUAAUUUUAAAAAAUAAUUUAAAAAUCAAAUAGUGAACCAAUUAAUACCAUAAAUUUUUGGAUAUAAAUUGAUCUCUUCUAUUAUUUAUUUAUUAACAUAGUUAUAUUUUUAUAAUUUCUUUCACUACAAAAAUAAACUUCAAAUCAAACAAUAUUUUGUGCUGAAUUUAUUUAUUUUAAAUUUAUUUUAAAUAAUACUAUUAACCAUUCUUAUUUUUAAAAUAUUAUUAUUAAUUUUCAAUAAAAAAAUAUUAUUUUACAAAGAUGUCAAUAUCCAUAUCUCUAUAAUAAAGAGCAAAAUAGUAUAAUAAAUUCAUUUUAAAUAAUAUUAUUAAUAAUUAUUAUUUUUAAAACAUUGUUAUUAAUUUUUAACAAAAAAAAAAAAUCAAUUAUGCUUUUACAUAGAUGUCAAUAUCCAUAUUUCCAUAAUAAAGGGUAAAAUGGUAUAACUUUAAUAAAAAAAUUAUAAUUUUGUGAUUGUAAUAUAAUAUUACCAUUCCUAUUUUACUAAAGACUAUUUAUUGUUUAAUUACAAAACUAAUUUUAUUUUCAAUAAGAAUUUUAUUAAAUUUAACUAAUAUUACAUAUUGAAUUUUUAUUAAAAUUUAAUUAAUAUUAUAUAAAUUUAAUUUACAAUGUUUUUACAAAAUCAAAAUAAAAAAUAAUGCAUCCAAAUAAGUUUUUUUUUAUCUUUGAAUUUAAAAAUAAAUAAAAAAUAACUUACCAAAUACCCCUAUUUUUAUGAAAUACUAAAAAAUUAUAUCUAUCUAUCUAUCUGUCUAUAUAUAUAUAUAUAUAUAUAUAUAGUUUUUUAACUUCAAACAAUUUUUUCAAAAAUAUAAUAAAAUAUGACCUUAUAUUCUAUUCAAACUUAAACGUUAAAUAGUAAUUCUCUUUUUGUCUGCGAGCUACUAAAUAUUUAUAAAAACUAUCAUCGGAAUAAUAUUUAGAGUGUCUUUGAAAGUAUUUUCUAUAAGGUUAUUGUGGAUCUCGUAUUUUGCACGAUACGUUAUUACUCGAUGAUGUGACACUUUUUAAUUUAUUUGGUGAAAAUUUGAUAUUUUUUUAAAAGGACUUGGAGUCACCACUUAUUUUUGUUUUAUUUUUUUAAGGGAAAAAAAUAAGAAAUAAAAACCCUAAGUGUGACUCCUAAAGCUAUGAAAAACCGAGUCUGAGUCCAAGGGUCAAGUUACUUAUUGAGAAGGUACAGUGGUGAGCCGUAGCAUCCCUCUAAGCCCAUAUACGUACGGCCUCUACUAAACGAAUUAAGGGAAUUGUGACAAUUAAUUAAUUAAUUAUGAAUACUAAGAAAAAUAAUCAUGCAAAUGAGUAUGUACAAGUCAUGGUGAAAAUCAUUAUACAUAAAAAUAAUGAUGAAAUAUAAUUACAAGAAUACACAAAAUAAAUAACAAGAGAAUUAUGCAAAAUGAUUUAUUGAACUAAAAAAUAUUUCAAAAGAAUCAGUUUUCAAGAAAUUUAAAAACAAUUUUCAAUUAAUAAUUUCAAUUUAUUUAUUUACAAAAAAAGGUCAAUUUAUUUUCUCAACUUCAUUCGUAUUCAAUUUUCAAAAAAGUUAUUUACACUUAUUAUAUCAAAAGAAUUUAUUACAAAAUUUCAAUUUGGCAACAAAAAUUAUUUUACUUGCUUUUACAAAAAAUGAAUGAAUUUUUGUAAUUUUAUUUACAAAAGUAUUUCAAUUUGUUUUCAUUUAAGAAAAGUGAUUUAUACAUAUUAUUUAAAAAGACAUGACUUUAUUUGCAAAAGGAAUUUUAAGUGAAAAGAAAAAAAAAAUUUAAAUCAUCAAUUUCUAAAAAAAUACUUUUAAUCCCAUUUUAAUUAAGGAAAAAGAAUUCAUUUUUAAAAAAAAAAAAAAAAAAAUUGGACAAUUUUAUUAAAAAUUAAAUUUUGGGACACCUUUAUUUACAAAACAAUUUUUAAACAAUUUUUAUUAAACAAAGAAAUUUUUGGACAAUUUUAUUAAAAACAAUUUUUCAAAUUCUAUUAAAAAAAAUUCUUUUGGAUUUUUCUAAAUACAUUUUUCUGAAUUUUUAUUAAUAAAAAAACUUUCUUUUAUUAAAAAUAAUAUUUUAAAAUUAUUAUUUUAUUAAAACAUAUUUACUAAAUUCUUCCUCUUAUUUAAACAAAAUUUAUAGUUUGUUCGAUAUUCAGUUUUGUACAUACUAAAUAAAUAUAUACAAAUGAAUAUUUAUAAGAACUAAUAAAAAUAAAACCAAAUAAAAGUGAGAAAUAAAAUAUGUACCCAAAUAAACUUACAACAAACUCAACGUCUUCCUACAACUUUUCGAGUCUCACUUUCUUCCAUGAAAUUUCGUGUUCCAUAUGUCAUAAAUUCGUACUCGGACAACAAUAUUACAGAAUGGGUCCAUACAAAAACAAAAACAUCUCAAAUGUAAAUAUCUAAAAAUGUAUAAAAUUCAUAAUAGAUAUUCAAGCCUAAAUUCAAAUUUCAAAUUAGUUCAAUAAAUUUCAUCAAUUAAAAGUGGGCUCAAAUUAGCAAAUAUAACCCAACAAAAAUAUUUCACAUGUCAUAAGCCCUAAUCUAAAAUUUUCAAAUUAAUAGCCAAAAUAUAAGCUCAAUUAAUCAAACCCAAAACAUGAUAAAUUAAAAUAAAUCUCAUUAGGCCUAAACUUAAUAUCUCAUAAUCCAAGCCCAAUUUAAUAUGCAAACCUACAUCCAAAAUAUAUCACAAUAAUAUAUCAAAUCUAAAUUAAAUAAUUCAAAUGAGUACAACUAUAUCAAUUAUCAACUAAUCUAACCAAAAAUAGCAAAUUCCAAAUUAAUUGACCAACAAUAAAUUAACCCAAAAUUCAUAUUAAUUUACCAACAACAAAUUAACCCAAAUUUCAUAUUAAUUCAACAAUCCAAAUUUCAUAAACAACAAUUACUAUUAAAAUAAAAGGAAAAUAAUAAUAAUAAUAAUAAUAAUAAUAAUAAUAAUAGAAAAUAAGUGGGAUGGGAAAGUGAGGGAAUGAGAGAAAAUGGGAGGGGGUCGUCGACGGCGACUAGCCGGUGAUCUACCGAUAGUGAGGGUUGAUGGGUUUUUGGGAAGCAAAAAUGAAAUAAAAAUAAUAAUGAUAAUAAUAAAAAUGAUAAAUAAAUAUAAAAAAAUGGGAGGAAUAAAAAUGAAGAAAAUGAGGACGAAAGGGUGCCGACAUCAGACCACCGGCAGUGAUGAUGGAGUCGGGUGUGGAUGUGGGCAUUGGGAUGAGCCGUAGGAGAAAAUAAAAUGGAAAAAAAAUGGGCGCCGGUCAUCCAUGUGUGUUGUGGGGAAAGAAAAAAAAUGAAAAAAUGAAGUGGGGAAAUGAGGGAACACGAUUGGGAAUCGGAGUUGGGGUGUGGUCAGGGAGAAAAAAUCCAUAAAUGGGGAGAAUGGAGGUCUAGGUAAGGUCAUCCAACUGCCAGCCCUAAGAGAGGGAGAAGAAAUGGAAGGGCUAAAUGGGAAGCCAAGAAAGUGGGUAGGAAAAAGAGAAAUAAAAAAAAAUAAAAGAGAAUGAUGGAAGAAAUGUGAGGGGGGGCAUGUCCCCAUGACGUGGGAGGGAUGAGGGUAGGUGAGAGUAACUAGGGAAGAGAAAGAGGAAGAGAGAGAAAAGAGAGAAAAUAAAAAAAUAAAUAAAAUAUAAAUAUAAUAUAAUAAUAAAAAUAAAAAAUACAAGUAAAACAAUUUACAAAAUAAUAAAAAUUAAGAAUUAAAGGGUGAGUGGGUCAAAAAUAUCACAUAUAAUCAGGAUUUAAAAUUUAAGUACAAAAUUGGACUCGAAAUUAACGUAAAAAUAAAAUUUGGACAAAUUUUGGGGUCUACAGCUAUGUUUGGUUUAAAAGAUAUGAUACCAUAAGAUAUAUACAUAUAUUAUAAUAUCAUAUGUCAUUGGAUUGAAAAUACAUAUCCUGUGGUAUGAUUUCCAAUGAGAUAUGUAUUAUUGGAUGUACAUAUUCUAUAAACAUGAUAUUUAAAUGUAGCAUAUGAAAUGAAAUAUAUUAUGUUUAUAUUUAAUAUGUAAAAUGGAUUAAAAAAAAAAUAUCAAAUAUAUAUUAUUUUUAAUUGUUUAAAAUAAAAAUUAUAUCACAUUCUAAUAUUUUAUAUUUUAAAAAUUAAAUUUAUGUUAUUCAAUAUAUCAAAAUAAUUUAUAUAUCAUAUAUUAAUAUUAUUUUAUAAUAUUUUUUAUACAAAUUUCUGUAGUAUUUCUUUUUCAAUCAUAAAUUUAAUUUAUAAUAAAAAAAUUAUUUUACAAAAUAAGUAUAUAAAAAAAAAUUAUGAUACAUGAGAUAUGCAUAUCUCAUAUUAUAGUAUAAGAGUAACAUAUCAUAUGUAGAAGGGACAUACUUGCCAUGAUUAGGCUUCAAUUGAGGUUGAAUUUGGAAUGCCUAUGCUCAGAACAACUGCUAUGAUAAUGCAAAAGAGACAUUGAAACAACAUUUUAUGAUAACAUUUCAUAUUAACACAACCAAAUUUAAAAGAUUCCAAGGAAAAACAAAGAAUAAAAUGUUUUGAAAUAACAUUAGUUAUUCUAUCAUCUCCUGAGAUUGGUCUCCUAAAAGCUGAGUACCAAAGUACAGUGCCACUCUGACCAACCAACUCUAAAACCAGUAUUACACUACACACCAUAUUUCCCAUCAAUCUCUCAAUCUCUUCACUACACUACAAUACAAGCCAGUGGGUGAUUUGAAACCAUAUAGAAAAGUGUUAUCAGGAGAAAUUCUAUUCUAGCUAACAUCUUUUCAAUAUUUUGGAGCACAAAAAACAGAAAUUUGAAAUUGAAGACUUCAUAUGUUUUCCAUACUUGGUGAGACUUUUAAGGAAAGAAGUAGAUCUUAAUGAAGAGUGCCAGACCUAUUUGCAAAACAAAUGAAGCAACAAUCACCAGACUUAUGUUGUUACCCUGUAUGUAGGACCUCAGGUUCAAGGCAACAAAGCAAGCUGAUGCGCCACCUACAAGGACUGUGACGAGCCACCGCAGAAACUCAAUCGGAAUAACUAAUAGGACCUGAAAAUGUUCCAGGAGAACAAAUUAGAUGUUCACAAGACUACUACUUAGAAACCCAGAAACUGAAAAUUACACUAUUAAGGUUCUGCAGCAAUGAAAACCCCUAUGUGUUAAUACUUUAAAGACAACAACAGAAUAAACUGGCACUGGAGGUCCAUAGUUUGGAUGAUGCACCACCAACUAUUAACCUAAAUGCUUGCUUGUUAUGUAAUGUAUCUUUUAUUAAGUAAAACUUAAAAGAUACAUUAUGUAACAAUCUUGCUUUAACUCUAGUUAUUUCCCCUACUAUAUAAUGUUUUUAUAAUUGUACAUAUAUUUGACUAAUAUUGCUUUAUUGUAUGUAGUGCAUUUCUAUUAUUUAACAUAUAUUUGGACUUCUAUAUUAAAACAUAUAUUUGACUCAUAAUAAACUUGAUGCAUACAAAAAUACAUACAAACAUAUAUACUUAUGUGGAUGUAUACACGGUGUACAUGCAGGUAUAUACAUACAUAUACAUGCAUACAAAUAUACAUACGUAUAUCAGAAUCUAUUAGACAAAAGAGAUAGAUAACAAAGGACAAAAUUCCUCCAAAAGAAGGAAACAUACACAAGUAUAUUAUAAAAGGAAAACCUUUGGCUUCCCAGCCUUAAGGAAAAAUCCCUAAACUUCAGAGGGGCAUGUGAUCAUCACAUAUGAUGCACCAAAAAAAAAACUCAAAGAAGAAUUUUAUAGACAUAGUGAUAUUUGCAAAGCAAAAUGGAGCAUAAUGUUCCAAAUUUUCCAAUUUAUUUUUUAGCAGAGACACUACAAGAAGAUACGUCACCCUUUCUACAACUAUCACUAAAGUGCCAUCCUAUUGACUAAGACUAAUCAGCUUGGCUCAAUUUUAUCCAACAACCCCCCUAAACAAGAUGUCUUAAGGAUACAGUUGGACCACAAGGCCAUCGAUAAUGUCAGUGAUCAAGAAAGAAACAUAUAAGCACCGUAUUUUUGCACAUAAAGAAUAUUUGAGAUGAGAGAGUGGGCAAGUAUAGGAUCCAAUGAUAAAUUUGACUGCGUGAAAGAGAGACUAAUAAUAACCUAAAUAUCCAAGCUUAUCAAGAGUAAUAUACUUGAGAAAGAUAAUUUGCCAAUAUAGAAUGAGGUCCAACUACUGAUUAUUGGGGAAAGGUUGAUGUUUUAUUUUAUAGAAGAUGGUGUUUCAUACCUCAACAUCAAGAUGAAUUCAUUGAUAUCCAUUGGUUAUACUCAUCCAUCCUUAUUAUAAAGAAGCUGGAACUUGGGGAGUCGCCUCCACCAUAUGCCUUCACAUUUAUAGGUAAAGAAAACUUGCUUACAAUCAAUCUCAAAUAUCCAACAUUAAAAAAAAAAAAUAACUAAGAAGAACCAUGAUUGCUUCAUAUUGAUGCACACAUUCGCAACUUCAGAUGUAUCAAUAGCACUAUUAGUGUUCCUUAAGCACAUUUUUAGAUUAUUCUGUUGCAUGUAAGUAACACCUCUUAUAGGCCUGAAAUCAACAAUGAAGAUACUAUAAGAUGAUGAAGCAUUUUACUCCACCUAGAAAUGACUUUAAAAUGUAGACAUCUCCAUGAAAAGAUCCUUAGUUUGGAAUUUAGCUUCCAUCGUAAAUGUAAAGCUCUGUCUAGCAAUGGGCUAUGUGGUGAAGCAAUCAUAAGUCUGAGCAAAGGGUGUUGGUCAAAUAGUAGAAAAGGCGAGCAUAGGAGCUACUUAAUAGUAGAGAUGCCAAAGGUCAAUUAGACAUUUAACUGAUUGAGCCAACCUUUAAAAAAAGUUGACAUACAAAAAUUAAUGAACUAUCGAUGUACAUGUGAAAAUUUGUUGAGAUUAUAAUGUUGAAGUGUAUGUAUUUCAAAUCCAAUGUUUUUACCAUAUGACUGAAAAGUAGGAAACAAAGUUUACUUCUAGUAAUUGAAUUAAGUUCAUGCUAAAAUGAGAUAAAGGAAAAUGUGAGAAAAAUUAUUUCAUCAUUUGCUCAAGUAGCCCCUGUCAAAGUAGGACCUCUUUCAUUUUUUUCUCACUUUUGAAAUAUUGAAGAGCCUGAGCCUAAGGGUUGAACCCUACUAGAGAAGAAGUACAUAAAGAGCCACCUGACAUGGGCUAAAAUUAAAAUAAAAAGACAGAACACAAAAGGAAUAUGCAUGCAGAAAAUAGUAUCACCAUUGGCACUUGACUCAUAGCACUGAAUUCAGGAAAUCCAUGAAAGAUACCAUUUCUUCCCCAUGGGUAUCUAAAAAGCAUAAAUACCAAGCUUUAAGGAACACGUCACUAAGUUUCAGCACAGGGAGCUCUACAUAAAAAAGGUUCUCAUGUUCCUUCUUCCAAAUACACCAAGAACACAAAGUGGAGCAGAUAUCCAAAGGCUCCCUCUUUAUAUGUCUAUGCACACACACACACAAACAUAAUAACAUUACUUCUUUUCUUUCCCACAGAAAUUCCUCUCUAAAACCAUAGAAAGCUCUUUAUUCGAUCAAGGCAGAACACAAAAAACACAAGACAAGGAAAAAACUAGAGACUAAAAAGGUGGUCUACCAUACAACGUAGAAGGAUAUAGUUCACGAAGUCCUCAUCCUCAUCCUUUUGCAUAAGCAACACCAAUUAACAAUAGCACAACCCCUAUGCCCCCACACAAAUGCCACUUUGUCAAAUGGGAGAGCCUGCUAACCUCAACUCCACUCCACAUAUAACCCUUUCAAACUACAGGUAAACCUAAGUUAUAGGCAUGUAACACUUUCAUUAACCUUCCAAAUCAAUUAAUUUUGUCAAAUUCAAACAGCAAGUACCUAACAGGUUCUCAAAUCAACCUUUUUUUCUUUAAUAUAUUUUCAUUUACACAAAUCUGAUUGUUAUAAACAAAAAAAAUACAAUGAUACUCCUAAGCACAAUCAAAUUGGAAACUUAUGCAUCUUAGUAAUUUUUUUAAUUGCAUUUCCACAUAGCUAAUGAAUCAAGAAAAUAAAAUAUGUUCCUUGUUAACAGUAAUACUGGUAAUUGGAAAAUAGUGCCACAAAAAUGGAAAUCACAAUUCCCAUCAAAUUCACAACUGGAAAGAACAUCAUAAGCUAAAAUAAGAAACAAAUAAAUAUUAUUUAUCUUCAAAAUCAUUCAUUUCUUCAUCAGUUUGUAUUCACUUUCUCACAGGAAUCAUAUACAACCCCCAUCUCCACUUCUUAUCCAAUAAAUAGAAGGUUUAAAAGGACAAGUAUAUGAUGAAAUAGGAAUUGAAUUUGAAUCAUCAUUAAAAUUUAAAAAGAACAAAUAACAAACAAAGACAAAAUUUAAAACCUAAGAAGAUCUUUUGGAUUUUGGAUUGAUUCGCAUCAUGUAAACAAACAAAAGAAACAAAUAGAAAAUAAAGUCAUGACAAAUAAUUGCAAGCUCGUAUUACCCAAAUCAAACCCUGUUACCCUGACCCUUCUCUGUACAUCAAAAUCCUACUUCACGAUUUGAUUUCACACCAAACUCGUAUGGAUAUGAACAGAAACAAAAAGAGAAUCCAUAUCAACAUAUUCCCUGAAACAGAAACAAAAAAAAAUAAGCAAAAAAAAUUGAAAAAAUAAAUCCAAAAAAACAAAAAGGAAAACUGGGUGGCUUUAAAUUCAGAAAGAAACUGAUUUAAAAAGAGGUGGGUCCAUUUGGAAAUUUCUUUAACCAAAACAAAUUGUGUCUCAUCUUCAUUCAUGCGAAAAUUAAUCAAAAUACAACAAACCCCAAAAUAUAACACCUUUAGCCCCAAUAUUUUCUCAAUAGCCAAAUGAAUCCUUAAAUGGAAAACUCACCUAUGAUUGAUUAAUCCACAACAAGAGGAAGCUCCAUUUCGGUUUCCAAAAACCUUAAAAAAAUUCAACCUUUGGUGAAUAAAUAUGAAGAUAUGCCUUAACUUUGGCUUCGUUGAAGGUUUUCGAAAGAUGCCUAUCGGGUUUGGGUGGUCAACUCGUGAAAAGAGACACAAUAGGGUUAGGCCAAAAUCAGACGAAGAUGGCUUUGGGAAGAUGGGUAUCCAUCGUCUAGUCAGGACGUCAAUAAACAGAUCAGUUGCCUACCUUCGUGUAUCAAACGAGCUAUGAAAAUGGGAAUUUUUUUAGAUCGAGUCAGGGCAAAAUGAGAGGAAGUGACAGAAAGAGUUUUGCAACUUUCAAAUGUUUAUCAGGUCGGGUGUUUUGUGGGUUUCAGAUUUGACAACUUCAAGUUUCAAAUUUUGGUGUUUAUUAAAUUACGCACCUACCUGCUGACAUGGACAUUGGUGACUAUUGACAGGGAAACAUUAAAGGGCAAUUUUGGAAAUGCAAACCUAAACAGUAUAUAGUGCAUGAGAAAUAUAAUAUUUUUCCCAUUAAUAGGCACAUCUCAUAUUUCAUUUAUGUGGGUUUCCAAAACCAUAUAUCUUCCUAGUAGCAGCCUACAAACACAACUUUCCCUUUGCAAUUUAUUGUUAGAGCCUUGAUUGAUCUAAACUCAACAUAAUCUAUGUUUCAAUAUCUUUUGUUGGUUUGUUGGGUUUGCUUGUUGAUAGCCUAAACUUUGAUUUGAUUGUUGUUUUUCCUAUGGGAUAUUCUAUUGUGGAUAAUAUUAUGUUUAGAGGUUAUCUUAUGAUGACUAGUUAUAUGGAGAUGUUAGUGGACUUAAUACUUCUUGACAUUAUGAUUUUGAUGUGAUUUUGGAGAUGGAUUAGUUAGUUUCCUUCUAUGUCUAUAUUAAUUAUUUUGGUAAAAAGGGUGACUAUCCACAUUCCUAACUAAUAUACAUUUAGUUUUGAGGGAAAACAUGUGAUUAGACCAUUGUGUAUGAUCUUAGCUUUAUGGGCUAGUUCAUUGCUUAGAAAAAGGUUGUUAAGGGUUUUAUGCUUAUGUAGUGCGUGAUAAAAAAAAUAAAAAAUAAAAAAAUAAAAAUUACAAUAUAUUAUUGCCAAGUUGAUAAAGGUUUAAUGAUGCAAUCUUAGUAUUCAAGAGGUCACUUAGGAAUUAGAAAAUGAGAUAAGAGAAAAGCAUCCUCAUUAUUUGAAGAUUUAUGUACAUCAAGUUUAGAUGACUAAACUUUUGUUAAGGAGGGGAGGAUGUAACACCCCAAAAUAAACUUUAGGGGAAAAAUAAUGAAUUAUAAAUUAAUUAAUCAAUCAAUUAAACACAUUAAAGGUAAAAGAGUCCUUUUACAAUUAAUAAUCCUUGGUAUAAAUUAGAUUUUCCUCUUGUCUUCUUUAUUCAGAAAACUCUAUUAACCAAAAAUCAGUGAAUUGGAGAACGUAGGGCUUAAGGUUUGAAGGUCUAGAGUUUGAAGCUCAAAUUUUUUCAGAUAAGAUUAUAACCUUAAAUUAAUAUAUUAUAUUCGUUAGUUAUUUUUUAGCAUAUUAGAUAUUCUUUAGAAAAUUUUAAUUUAAAUUAGGGUUAGUUUAGUUAAUUUAUUUUAAGAUAUAAAAAAAUUGAAAUUAUGAAUAUAGGUUGUUUCAUUGAUGAAAAUAGGGAAAUUCGAAUAUUUUUUUUUAGAUGAAUAGAUCUAAGCAAUGAAAUUUUAAAAAUUAAAUGAGUAAAUAAAUAUAUGAUUAUAAGUGGCUUAAGGGAUUGGAAAAUAAUAAGAAGAAGAAUUGCAUGUUUUUGGAUUUUGGAUUUGAGGCACUAUGUUGGGGCGACAAAAAUAAUAAUAAUAUGUAACCAUGAAAGGCAAAGGGUGGUAGUGGAAUAAAUUAAAAUAAUAAUAAUAAUAAUGAGUAGAGUUGGUGGGGUUGUUGGAGUUGUUAGAAGUAUAUGAGGUAUUUUGUUAAAUAAGAGGGGACAUUGGGAUUAAUAAAAAUAAUGAUAAUAAUGAUAUUAAUAAUAAUAAUAAUAAUAAUAAUAAUAAUAAUAAUAAUAAUAAUAAUGAUAAUAAUAAUAGUAAGAAUUGUGUGAUUUGGAUGUUUGUGAGUGACAUAUAGUAGGGUUGUUUGGAUGUUGCCGGGUAUCGAAAAAUAUAGUAAUAAUAAUAGUAAUUGGUUUUAAUAAAAGUUUUAAUUUAGUUUAAGUAUACAAAAGAAAUAAAGGGUUAGAAUAAGAUUUGGAAGAAAUAUGAGUUUAUAAAAAAUUUGGAAAUUCAUCAAAUUAUAUUAGUAUUGUUUAAGAAGUUGAAAAUAAUAUUGGGUAAUAAUAAUAUUAGCAUGAGAAAUUAUUUAGGAUCCUUAAUACUAAAUAAAAUAUUUUUAAGAUUGUCAAAUUUUUACCUUUAGAUAAUUGUGUAGGAUAUUAUGUUAGGUGAUGAGUAAAUUCGUUAAGCUAAAUAAUUCAAGUUUUUGAGCGUUUUUUCAAGGUAAGGGAAAUUAAUGCAGAUUUUUAUAAAAGAAAAUAAUUUUCUUUUUAUAUUGUAUUUUGAAAUGUAUAAAAAUAUUAUUUUUAUCUUUAUGCAUGAAUCAAAUAUGUGAUUUAUAUGAAAGGUAUAUUUGAGAAUUUUAUUUGUUUAUGAAAAAUGAAAAAUUGAGGAGAUAUGAUAUUUUGUUUUGUAAGUUUGAAUUAAUGAAAUAAAGUGUUUGACUUUGAAUUAUAUGACCUUAAUCAACAGGUUAUAAUUGUUGACAUUUUCGACCCUACUAAAUGGGUUAUAAUAGUUGACUUUAAGGUCAUAGUCAACGGAUUAUAAUAGUUGACCUUAUGGCCCUAGUCAACGGGUUAUAAUUGUCGACUUUUGGAUUUAUUCACCUUAAAUGGAACAAAUUUGAAACUAGUCCCUCAUUUGUGAAAUCCCACUUAAUUAGGCACCAUUUGUUAUUUGAUAAUCAGAGUAAAAAUAUUUUGAAUAUAUUUGAUUUGGUUUUUAUGAGAAAUUGUUUUGAAAUGAAUAUGAGAAAGUUUUGUUGAAAAGUUUGAAUGUAUUAGUAUUUUGAACUCAAAAGUUUUUAUGAAAAUAAGUAUAUGUUAUACCUCCUAUUUACAAGCAUGAUUAAAAAUGUUUUAUCAAUAAAACUGUAUUAAUGUUCCUUAUUAGGCUUUGAACCCAUCCCCCUUUGUUGAUAAUCUUUCAUGUAACCUCAUUUUGGGUGAAGAGUGAUCGUUAGGAAGGAAAUUUGGUUUUAUUAGGAUAUUUGUUUAAACUCUCUUUAUCUUAGACAUUGUUGAAAUGUUAAAACUUAAUUAUCGUUUGAAUUAUUUUGAGUUUGGAGUUAUUUGGACAAUAACACUUUGGUUGAUAUAUUAAUUAUUUUUUAAAAGUUGAUAUUUGAAGAUUUUAGAAUUUGAUCUUACUACUCUGAACAGGAAUUUGGUAAUUGGUAAAUUUUCGAUUACAAUAUGGAUGUUUGUAUUGUUUCCACUUUGAGCUUUUGGGUUUGAGGUGUGAAAUGAUUGUCAUGCCCUUAGAGUGGGUUUUGGGCGUGACAAAAAUAAUUCAUAUCUCAAAUGGAAAACACUCAACAAUUUUCCCAAAUUUCUUUCUUUUUAGCCAAAUAAAAUAAAAUUGGAUCCACAACAAUGGUUUUAGGCAAUGAAGAUUCAGCAACAUCAAAAUGUGGAAAAAUAAUAGAUCUAAUCCACUUGCAUGCUAAUAAAUAAAUAAUCCAACACCAUCCAAAUUUAUAUUAUAAUUCAAAAAAAAUUACCUUUAAAAGUUCCCAUUGAUAAUAACGAGUAGCUCGAUCAUACUGACACAAAGAAGAUACCUCUAAUUGUUGGUGUAUUUUUUUGCUUGUGAAAUCAAGCAUUGACAUAAAAGCAAAAAAAAAAGGAAUGAAUCAUUUUACCAUAUCCCAACACAAAUAAAUAAAUAAAUAUACUUGAUAGAUUUAUAAUAUAACACCAAAAAAUACAAAAUGAAAAUCCAAUCCAAAAAUAAAAUAAAAUAAAUCAAGAGAUAGAAAUUGAAAAGGGUUUGAAAGUUAGAACAGGUAUUGGAAUUGGGUUUGGGUGCUCAAGUGGGCUAACCCGACUUGACCCAAAAACUGUCACUAUUGUAAAAAAAAAAAAAAAAUUCUCUCUAUGGAAACCCUCUCUUUCUGAGUACUCUCCCUCAAAAAACUUUUUUUUUCUCUCUCCGAAAACCAAAAAGUGAAAAAUAUAUUUCUUCUUUCCCUAAAAACAAAAGAAAGAAUAUAUUUUUCUUUCUAAAAGAAAAUCAUUUCUCGAAGUUUUUUCUAUUUUUCUUCCUAAAAACGAAAAUCAAGGUUCUUGUACCGUACGAAAAGAAUAAUCUUUAUAUUUAUAAUUUCAUUCAUGACUUGAAGCAAAAAAAUUGAUCAGUAAAAUAACCAAUCAGAAUUCUUAAGCAUUUCAAUAGGUAAUCAAAUGCAUUAUUUUUCAUGAAGGAAAAAUUUUGAAAAACAAAUAAUGAAUAGAAUCCAUAAAGAUAAAGGAAGAAUCCAAAAAUAAAGAAAAUUAUAUAUAUAAUUGCAGUCGUAAUUGGUACAUGAUAAAUGGGUGACGAUUUUCAAAAGUGAAAUAAUUGUAAAUGAAUCCAAAUUUACUUAAAAACCAAGUCAUGAGGUGGAAGGAAAUCAUGUUUAUGAGAGUUGUCGCCGUGAUUGGACUAGGCGUCUAGCAUAUAAAGUCGAGAGAUGCAAGUGGGAACUCCUAAAUACGAAUAUGGUAUUAAUGUUUAGGCGCGGGUGGCUUGAUGGUUUUGAAAACCGGUUUUUGCGAGAAAAAUAUUUUGACAAACACGUCACACUUUUGAAAUUAGUAGGCAGACGUUUGAGCUUUUACACGACGAUAACACGAACCGUCGAAUAGGAAAUGACGCGCGUAAGUGGAAAGGUGGGAAUUAAAAAGUUGUUGGGGUUUGAUCUCAAGGCAUAUAUCUAAUUUUUAAAAAGGAAAAAGUGGGACAUGGCGGCUCCGAGUCUCCGACUGUCGUCAAAAGCGUGUGGGCCUCUCUCCAUUGUCAUUUCCGGGCAACUCCAAUCCAGCGGAAUAUGAUUCCAUUCCCGUCAACCAAAAGUCUAGCUCAAUUAUCUGUUCAGUGAUCCGAAAUGGCCAAUAAACCACUCACUCUCUUGCCCACGGGUUAUAAAUCAAGCUGCAGCGUCACAGCUUCAAAUCACACACAGAGAGAGAAAAUUUGCACAGAGAAUAUGGGAGAAACACUUGGAGAUCGUAUUGGGUUGAGCGACGAAGUCAUUAAUGCAGCGGCUUCUCUAGCCAUGAAAGCCCACGAUUGCACUGGUAAGCCAUUUCUUCGCAAGAAAGGCUUACCCGUUACUGUUUUUGCAUUUGCUGGAUCUUGGCUUCCCGAUGAUUGGUGUGCGCAGCCACCUUUUGGAGAAACGAAGAUGGAUACUAGUAACUUUCCUUCGCUUAAAAGUUUAGGCGAUGACGGAGUCGCUCUGGUCAACGGGUCGUUUCUCCGGCGAUUCAAUGCCAUCCAAUCAUCACUUGCCAAAAAGGUACUUCAAUUCAACUUAUGCAUAGAUAUAUGAAAAACAAUCUCGUGAAUUCAAAAUGUGGAUGUUGGGGUUGGAUUUUUCAGGUGAAAAAAGUAAUUGGAGAGAAGAAGCAAGUUGUUUUCACCGGCUACUCGUCGGGUGCUCCGGUGGCCAUCCUGGCAACUCUAUACCUCUUGGAGAAGUCAGAGCCCAAUCAGAGCCCACCCCGCUGCGUCACUUUCGGAUCCCCCCUCGUCGGUGAUCGGAUCUUCUGUCAUGCUGUCAGGCGGGAGAAAUGGUCCGACCACUUCAUUCAUUUUGUUAUGAGAUACGAUGUGAUCCCUCGGAUUAUGCUUGGCCCUUCAUCCACUGAGCACAAACAAAUUCUCGAUUUAUUCAAUCCCGGAUCCGAAUCCUUCAGAAAACACACUGAUUCUUCUUUAGGUUUAUAUUCCAGCGUGAUGAGGAAUGCAUCCAUGGUUGCAAACUAUGAUGCCUGCAAUUUCAUGGGAUGCAAAAUCCCGGCGUUGGAAACUCUAAGGAACUUCAUUGAGCUCAGCCCUUACAGACCUUUCGGAACUUACAUCUUCUUCAGUGGAAGUGGAAAACCGGUUGUCGUAAGGAACCCGAAUGCAGUACUGCAGAUGCUGUUUUACUAUGCUCAGUGGAGCCAAGAAGAAGAUGCAGAGGCUGCAAAAAAGGGCCUAAAUGAACACUUGGCCUACCAAUUAAAGAAACUACAGAGCUUAGGAAAGCAGAAUGUAGUCUAUCUAGAUCAUCUGGAAGAGCUUCCGGUGUCUUCUGAUGGCAGUCCAGCCACAGUCAACACGACCUUGAAUGACCUCGGCCUGGUGAGCCUUCUUUCUUUCUUCUUACUGCCAAACUACAGAAUUUUAGCUUCCACAUAUGUAUGUAAAUCUCAGCUGAUGUUCUAGUGUUUUGGAUUGCAGAGCACACAAGCCAUGCUAUGCCUUCAAGCUACAGGAGAGUUGGAGAAGCGAAAGUCAAGAAACCAGGAUAAGAUCAUUAAUGAUUAUAAGCAAAAGAUUGAAGGUGAAUUAAGAAAGCUGAGUAAGUACAAGGAAAAGGCCGAGACUUGCGGACUGGGCUACUAUGAUUCCUUCAAGCUCCAAGAAAAAGAAGAUGACUUCCAGGCUAAUGUGAGCAGGCUUGUGCUAGCUGGUUACUGGGACGAGAUGAUGGAAAUGUUAAAAGCGUAUGAACUUCCGGAUGAAUUUGAGAAGAGCCAUGACUUUAUACGACUUGGAACCGAUUAUCGCCGCACGGUUGAGCCUCUAGAUAUUGCCAACUUCUAUCGACACGCCAAGGAUGAAGAGACAG